UAGCAACCAAGUUGAGUAUAUGACAUGCACAUCUCACAUGAAAAAACAGACCAUCGCAAGCUAAAGAGCCAUGAUUCUCAUUUAGAUCAGCAAUAAUGUCAUUAACUGCUACUUCAUUUGCACUAGCAUUGUCUAAAGUCAAUGAAAAUAAUUUCUUCUCAACAUACCAUUUCACCAUCAAUUCUGUAAAUGUUUGUGAUAACCUCUGACCUGUAUGGCUGCCUGCAACAUGGAAAAAACCUACAAUUCUCUUUUGAAUACGCCAUUCAUCAUCUAUCCAAUGGAGAGUAACACACAUGUAGGACUUGUUUUGACAUGAUGUCCACAUGUCCAUGGUUGCACUAAAGCAACAUUGAACAUUUUUCAAACAACCAUACAAAAUAUCCUUUUGUUCCAAGUAUAAGUCCAUGAUUUCUUUUCUAGUAGUGAUACGAGACUUGAUACUAAAGUUGGGUCGUAGGGAUUUAAUGAAGUCAACCAUGUACUCAUGUUCAACUAUAUUGAAAGGAUACUCAUGCAUGAUUAUUGCCAAAUACAACUUCCUUAAACUAACUGCUUGGUCAAACUUAUAGGGUUCCACCACAGUGCAAUCCUUUUCAUGAUCCUUUACCAUACUGAGUUGUCGUUGGCCUUUAACAAUCCUAUGUGCUGAUCUCAAAUGGUUUAGAAAUGCAGUUGUUCCAUACCUGCCUUCACAUCUGUACCUUGCCUUACACUUAGGAAACUUGCAAGAACCCCACUUUUGAUUGUAAAUCUUCCCAUCCACCUCAACUUUAAUAUCUGUCUUCUCAAAAUAUUCCCAUACUACUGAUGUGCGCUUCUUAUCCCUCUUUGGAAGGGAGUGGUCAUCCCCAUCCUCUUGUGUGCCAGUGCCACUGCUAUCUAUCACAUUUGUGGUACUCUCAACAAUUGGAGGUGCUGCUGGUGCUGGUGCUAGUGUAUCUUCAACUUCAACACUCCUAGCUCUAGCUGCAGGUCCAGAUGCCGCAAUAAGUGUGGUUGCUUUCCUCUUAGUACCAGCAGUUCCAAGAGCAGCCGGUGGAGGCGGCGUUCCCAACAACAAGCGCGCCGAACUACGGUCCGAGCUUUCAUCUCUCCCUGCCAUGGUCCUACUAGAAAUAUGGAAUGAGGAUGAGUGGAUCAAUGAGUAGAUCAAUAAAAUAAAAAACAUCAACUUCAUUACCUUGUAGCCGCAGGAGCGAGGAGCUAGGCAGCUAGCCGGCCAGAGAGCAGAGACACCAGCAGUCAGUCCAGGCGUCCAGCACACACCGACCGAGCGACACACGAGCGAGCGCGGCAGUGCGGCACACGAGCGAGCAGCCUGCAACCAGCCGACCGCCGACCUGAGCGACCUGGGAAGUGCCGAAGUGGGGACUUGGGGUUGGGGCGCAGGGCGCUCCGGCGCUGGGCGAGGGCUGGCCGGCUGGGCGACCGCCGACCGGCGACAGCCGUCAGCCGACAGGGCUGGGCCGCCUGGGCGCCUGCGCGAAGGUGGGAGGACCGGAGGUGGCUGGGGGCUGGGGCUGGCGGGCGGCGGCCACGGGCAAGGGCAACUGGGCAAGCCGCAAGCCGGCAAGGCCACGGGAUAGGGUUUCCAGUUUAAUGUGUUAUGUGUGUGCGUUGGUGGGCCUUGUCGCCUUGGGCUCAUGGGCUGCGCUGACAUUGCCACAUUGGAGAAUUGAAAGGCCCAAAACCGAAUAGCCUAAACCGUAUCAAAAACGGGAUUUUCCCGACCCAAAACGGUAACCGCAAAAACGAACGAAAAAACAGUCUGCUCGUUUUCGAUACCGUUACCGAAGACAAUCUACCCGUUUUCGUACCGAAACCGAAAAAAAACCGAAGUAUACGAAAACGAUCGGAAAAAACCGGUACUCGGAACGGGACGGUACGGGAUUUUCCCGUACCGUUUUCAUCCCUACCUGGCCGCGCCCUGGCCGCGCCCCCCCCUGGCCGCUCGGCCGGCUCAGCCGCCCCGGCUCGGCCGCCCCGGCUCGGCCGCCCCUGCGCGCCCUGCCCCGGCCGGUUCAACCGCCCCUAGGGCCGGUUCAACCGCCCCCCCCCCUCUGUUUUUUUUAUUUUAUUUUAUUUACUUUCUGUGAUCAUAGCUAUUUUGUUUUAGGUAGGUUAAUCAUUAUUAAUGCCAUUGAAAUAGGAAGUUUAAUUUAAAAUUCCGUUAUAUUAAUUGAUUCAUGUAGUUAAUUGUUUAUCUCGUGCGAUGUUGAUCAACUUAAAAUGAUUAGGUUCCCACUAGCGCAUAUAACAGAAUUCUUUUGUUAAGAACCAAUUGUAAUUGAUCGUUAGUGCAUAAGAUUUAACCCCCUGCGAUACCCUUCCCGUUUCUUUCUAACCAUAACAAAUGCGAUAUCGAAUGUCAUACUUGAUGCAUACUCACUUUAUUUGUUCCCUUGUAUGGUGUACUGUUCUUUUGUAUUAAAUGUGGAUGGAUGUAUGUAUGUUUGCAAUCGCAUAGAGAACGAUCCGGUCGAAGAGCCCGAGGAAUUCGCAGGAGAAGCCCCUGAGCAGCAGUCGUUUGGUGGAGGCAAGUGUCCUUUGACCUAUCUCUGUCCUAUUCAUUAUUUAAUUCACCUCCCGCAUUACACCUUUAUACCUAAGGAUUGACUAGCUUUUGUUAUCCAUGUCCUUGUUUACCUAUUUGGGUUGGAUUAUUACUGUUUAGCUUUAUGCUAUUGCUCAACUCUAAUCAAUGAACAUGAUGAGAUUAUCUAUGAUACGCUGUUUUCCCUUCUCUUAUUAUGAUGUUGUACUUGUGGUAUUCAAGGGGGCUCGAGCGGUUUCUCGAGUGCCUCUCCGUAAGGACCUGUUCUAUGGAUGACCGCCCGGGAAAACAGUGCAACCAUGAGGGUGGAAUGGGGUGCCCUUAGCUGAAUAAUUAGAGGAUCCGGGGUGUAGUUCACUUAGCCGUCGUGCCGUCAAUGGGGCUCGGUGUAUGCGGCUCGCUCUGCCAAGUUUGGGUCCGCCCCUUGGGGAGGAGUGCGGUGCAUUUAGGAAACCUAACGGGUGGCUACAGCCCCGGGGAAUCUUUGUAAAGGCUACGUAGUGAGACCCUGCCUAUUCACCUUGGUAGUGUUUAAGGGUUUGAUCGGCCCGAGGCAAGAGGGAAUCACGGCUUGUGGGUAAAGUGCACAACCUCUGCAGAGUGUUAUGAAACUGAUAUAUCAGCCGUGCUCGCGGUUAUGAGCGGCCAAGGGAGCUCCAGUGAUUAGUGGUACUUGAUCAGAGACAUUGUGGUACAGGUGGCAAUGAGAUUGAUGGUUUUGGUUAUGACUAUGGUGCUGGUAAGUGGUAUUCUUUCCGUUUGGAAAGGAUACAUUGGGCUAAUAACUUGGGUAAAUGUUAAAACCUGGCUUUCUACUAGUAAGUAAUAACCUGACCAACUAAAAGCAACUGCUUGACUUAUCCCCACAUAAAGCUAGUCCACUACAGCCAAACAGGAUACUUGCUGAGUAUGUUGAUGUGUACUCACCCUUGCUCUACACACCAAACCCCCCCCCCCAGGUUGUCAGCAUUGCAACCACUGCUCAGGCGAAGAUGAAGCUGUGGAAGGAGACUUCCAGGAGUUCCAAGACUACGACGAGUUCUAGGUGUGGGUUAGCGGCAACCCCCAGUCGGCUGCCUGUGAAGGCCGCGUUAUCUACGUUUCUUUUCCGCACUUUGAUUUAUUGUAAGAACUAUAUGGACGUCUCAGACGUAUGAUGUAAUCGACUAUUUCCCUUAUUAAUACUAUUUUGAGCACUGUGUGAUGAUGUCCAUAUUAUGUAACUGCUGUGUACGUGAAUAACUGAUCCUGGCACGUACAUGGUUCGCAUUCGGUUUGCCUUCUAAAACCGGGUGUGACAGAUAUCAUCAACGGGUCAAGAAACCCUGUCUUAAGUUGUUUCUUCUUAUCAUCCAUGUAUUGCAUCCUACGUGUAAAAGUGUUAAUCGUUAGACUCUCGUUUAUGUGUGCGUGUACAAAACUAACAAAUAUGAAAGUUUAGAGGUACUUACAAGCAAAAGAGGGUUAAGUAGUUGGUUUCCAUCCUUUGUCGGUGGUACAACGACCAGAGAUCGUCAAAGAAUAAAUGCCGCACAGGAUCUAUAUGAUCAUUGCUCCAAAAUGCAUCUUCUGGCACAACAAAUGUGAAGUCCUCGAGUUUGUAUUUGUUGCUAGCCACCAUGUACCACUCAUGCAUUCUAAUCUCCGGAGUCGACAACUUAGAAAGUUGCACCGUCGUCAAGAACGGACUCCCAUUCACAAAUUUUGGAGGAACAUCCUCCUUCUUGUAUACCGAGAUAUUGGUUUUAAGACGUAAUGAUUCUCGAGUAUGAAUCAUUCCAUCUUCUUCCCAUACUUCGAAAUUGCCUAUUUGGGACCAUGUGCCUACUCCAUGAGAUGCUGAUUCCGCUUUUGAUUGAUUUGUCAUAACUCUCCGCAAUUUAUGCAGGUAGCGUGACACUGAUUCUGACGGUUUCUUGACAUCGUCAGUGGCGAUUCGCUGAUGAAUUUUCUUUGAAAUAGUUGGCCCUUCAACAUUGGUGCCAACCUUUGGUUCCUUUUUGAUGUUGACGUCGACAUUCUGAGGAACAAUUUUGUCUACGUCCCCCUCGUCGAGUUCCUUCGCAAGAGGCGAUAUGAUUGUUUCAACGAUUUUUUUGGAGGUCGGUGUCAUAUUUUCCUACACCAUGGGGUGUGGAAUGAUCGAACUAUCUUUUUGUUGCAUUGGUGUUGAAUUCGGCUCAUCACCCAACUUGAUGUCGCGUCGAUGCCAAAGGACCAACUCGUUCAUUGCCUCCUGCAAAGUUAUGAUCCCCUCAACUGGAAAAUCUAUCUCCCAAUCGUCACAACCACUGUCUGUGAUUUCUAGAACUUGGACCACAGUAUAGUGUGGCGGGACAGGAUUAUCCUUGUAGUUAACAAGUCCUGGUUUUACCAAACCAGUAGCAGCUUGCUUUGUUUUUGUCCCAGACCGAUUGAUUGGAAUAUGAAGAAAGUAAGGCUUGUCCUCAACAAUAUCGUCUACAGGGUACUUGGUGAAGUCUUGCACAGAUCCUACGCUGCUAGGGACUAUAGGUGGACUCAUCUGGCUUGGCUUGAGUUCAAAUGAUAUGCAUUCUGUUUUCUUCAUUUUGUUCAUCACGUCAUUAAUAGCCUUUUGUACCCUUUCAUCAAUAGUCUCUUCAAGGGUCCUUUUCGACUUCUCGUGUUUCCUAUAUGACGACACAUACUCUGGAAACGCCUCUCUCCAGGAAAUCUUAGAAGAGAUUCCCCGAGCCCGUCCAGUGUGUUCAGGAUUGCCUAGUGCUGCAGUUAGUAUGUCAUUCUCCCUCCGAGGCUUAAAUUCUCCUUUUUUCUCUUAUCUGCAUAUUCUUGAAUUUUUGUCGAAACUUCGCCUACCAAUUCUGGAUGCAAAAGUUUGCCGUCCUCACUCAAACCUGCCCGACCUAAGAUCCAACGAAUAGCUCGCUCAUCGAUAUCUUUUAAUAUUGGGUCCAAAGUGCCGUUAGCUAUAGCUUCCUCGAUUAUCCUGUUCCACUGCACAACUUUAUGGUGAUAUCCGGUUGACCCCAGGCGAUGGGGUGUUUGUUCAUCUUCGCUCUCUGAGAAUUAGUUUCGCCCAGUUCUUUGGCCUUCAGUUCGGUCUUCUGACAAACAAAUUCCUCCCACUGAGCUUGAGUGAUUUUCCCCAUUUUCUUGGGCGGAGGAACCUUAUUCUUCUUAACAAAUUCCCUAUUCAUCUCGGCCUUCCACCCACGAAACAUCUUGGCCAUAGCAGAGAGCAUCGACUUCCUUACUGCAUCCUCUGUGCCUUUUGGGAACUUGAAUGACUCAGACAACUUAGCCCAUAACUUAUUGCGGGUGUCUUCAUCUAAAUCCUUUCAUUUUUGAAGUGUGAUUGGCACUAUAUCUCUAACAGUAGACCCGCAGGAAUUUCGAAACUUUGUAACCAUGUCAAGUGGUUCUUCAGGAAACCCCUCUGCAUUUAGUUUUGUUACGUACAUAACUGCACCUUCUUUCAUCUGAUUCGGACCUCGUCGCCCUCGUUUCCGCUUAUGUGAAACGGAUGAUUCAGGCAUCGGAGCAUCCUCCGUGUUUCGUGUAGAACAUGCAUCCUCUUUCUUCUCUUCAUUUGAAAUCUAUAUAUUGAAACAAUUAAUGGCCUUUCAUAUAUGAACAUUAUUUUAGAAUAUAGUCGGCAUAUUUCUAUUUACCUCUUCAUCGUUGGGAAUAUAGUCGGCAUCAAGCUCAUCUGAUGUGAAAGGGAAAUGUGCCCUUGGGCCAUUUCUUAGUAUUUUGGUGAUUUAGUGUCCAACACAAGUGCCCUAGUGUAAAAAGGUGGACAAAGUACAAAUCAAGGAUAAAGGUAUGUUUCUCAGACUUAGUACAUUGUUUUAUGGACUAAUGUAUUGUGUCUAAGUGCUGGAAACAGAAAAAAUCGAGUUGGAGAAGAGAUGGCUCGAGCAGCCAAAGUCUGCUCAGUCUGGGUGCACCGGACUGUCCGGUGGUGCACCGGACAGUGUCCGGUGUGCCAGGCUGGCUCUGGCGAAAAGGCUGCUCUCGGGACUUCGACGGCGGUGUACGACUAUAAAUCACCGGACUGUCCGGUGGUUCACCGGACUGUCCGGUGUGCCGUGCACAGGCAAACUCGUCGCUCUCGGGAAACCAUCAACGAUGUACGGCUAUAAUUCACCGGACUGUCCGGUGUGCACCGGACUGUCCGGUGAGCCAACGGUCGGCAGGGCCAACGGUCGACCGCGCGAUCUGCGCGGGACACGUGGCCGAGCCAACGGCUAGAAGGGGGCACCGGUCUGUCCAGUGCGCCAACGGCUCUCAGGCUGCCAACGGUCGACUGCGCCAUUUAUGGAAGGAAAUCGGGCACCGGACAGUGUCCGGUGCGCCAGUCGACAGAAGGCAAGAUCAGCCUUCCUAGAUUGCUCUCAACGGCUCCUAGCUGCCUUGGGGCUAUAAAAGGGACCCCUAGGCGCAUGGAGGAGUACACCAAGCAUUCCUACAACAUUCCUAAGCACCAAGACAUCAAUUCCGCACCUUUGAUUCUUUGCGAUAGCAAUUAGAGCUCUAGUUGAGUAGUGAACUCAUUGAGUUGUGUUGUGAGCUCUCAUUGCGACUUGUGUGCGUGGUGUUGCUGUGAUUUCUUGUCUUGAGUGUGUUACUAAUCCCUCCCUUGCUCCGUGUUUCUUUGUGAAUUUCAAGUGUAAGGGCGAGAGGCUCCAAGUUGUGGAGAUUCCUCGCAAACGGGAUUGAGAAAAAGCAAGCAAAACACCGUGGUAUUCAAGUGGGUCUUUGGACCGCUUGAGAGGGGUUGAUUGCAACCCUCGUCCGUUGGGACGCCACAACGUGGAGUAGGCAAGCGUUGGUCUUGGCCGAACCACGGGAUAACCAAUGUGCCAUCUCUGUGAUUGAUCUUGUUGGUUAUUGUGUUUUGUUGAAGAUUCCUCUCUAGCCACUUGGCAGUUAUUGUGCUAAUACUUAACCAAGUUUUUUGUGGCCUAAGUUUUAAGUGUUACAGGAUCACCUAUUCACCCCCCCCCCUCUAGGUGCUCUCAAUUGGUAUCAAAGCCGUUCUCUUCACAAAGGGACUAACCGCCCGAAGAGAUGGAUCCUAAGGGGAAGGGAAUCGUGAUUAACGACAAAGAGAAGGAAUCCUUCGUCAACGAGCCGAAGGAUGACAAGCCCACAGACUCCGGCUCGGGCCAUAGACGGAAAGACGGGAAGAAGAAGAAGACAAGGCGCAUCAAGGAAAUUGUCUACUACGACGACAGCGAUGAGUCUACUUCUUCCCAAAAGGACGACGACCACAACGACUACGAGAGAAGGAAACCAGUCAAUUCGAACUUUUCUUUUGAUUACUCUCGUAUUCCUCAAAGUACAAAUGCUCAUUUAUUAUCCAUUCCUCUCGGCAAGCCUCCACACUUUGAUGGGGAGGACUACGGAUUUUGGAGCCACAAAAUGCGUAGUCACCUUUUCUCUCUCCAUCCUAGUAUAUGGGAAAUUGUAGAGAGUGGAAUGCACUUCGAUAGUACGGAUAGUCCCAUGUUCAUUAAUGAGCAAAUUCAUAAGAAUGCAUAAGCUACUACUGUUCUUCUAGCUUCAUUGUGCAGGGAUGAAUACCACAAAGUGAGCGGCUUGGAUAAUGCCAAGCAAAUAUGGGACACCCUCAAGAUUUCUCAUGAGGGGAACAAUGUCACCUUGCUCACCAAGAUGGAAUUGGUGGAGGGCGAGCUUGGUCGAUUCGUGAUGAUAAGGGGCGAGGAGCCAACCCAAACAUACAACCGGCUCAAGACCCUUAUCAACAAAAUAAGGAGCUACGGAAGCACGCGAUGGACGGACCACGACGUCGUCCGACUGAUGCUAAGGUCCUUUACCGUUCUUGAUCCUCAUUUGGUGAAUAAUAUUCGUGAGAAUCCCAGGUACACCAAAAUGUCGCCCGAAGAAGUCCUUGGGAAAUUUGUAAGUGGGCGAAUGAUGAUCAAGGAGGCGAGGUACGUGGACGACGCAUUGAAUGGUCCAAUCAACGAGCCUCAACCCCUUGCUCUCAAGGCAACAAGAAGCAAGGAGGCGCUACCUAGAAAGGUGGCACAAAUUGAGGCGGCCGGACUUAAUGAUGAAGAGAUGGCCCUCAUCAUCAAGAGAUUCAAGACGGCGCUAAAGGGUCGCAAGGGGCAGCCAAGCAAGACCAAGACAAAGGGGAAGCGCUCAUGCUUCAAAUGUGGUAAGCUUGGUCAUUUUAUUGCUAACUGUCCCGACAAUGAUAGUGACCAGGAUCAAGGGAACAAGAGGGAGAAGAAGAAGAACUAUAAGAAGGCAAAGGGCGAGGCACAUCUUGGCAAGGAGUGGGAUUCGGAUUGCUCCUCGUCCGACUCCGACAAUGAAGGACUCGCCGCCACCGCCUUCAACAAGUCGUCCCUCUUCCCCAAUGAGCGUCACACAUGCCUUAUGGCAAGGGAGAAGAAGGUAUGUACUCGAGACUCUACCUAUGCUUCUUCAAGUGAGGACGAAUCUAGUGAUGAGGAUGAAAUAGAUUAUUCAUGUUUAUUUAAGGGCCUAGAUAGAACCAAGGUAGAUAAAAUCAAUGAAUUGAUUGAUGCAUUAAAUGAUAAGAAUAGGCUUUUAGAAAAACAAGAAGAUUUGUUGUAUGAAGAACAUGACAAAUUUAUAGAAGCACAAAAAUCUCAUGCUUUAGAAGUUAAAAGAAAUGAAAUGCUUUCUUGUGAAUUAUCUUCUUGCCAUGAGACGAUUACUAGUUUAAGGAGCAUUAAUUACGAUUUGAAUGCUAAAUUAGAAAUAGCUAGUAAAUCAACAACUUGUGUAGAAAAUGACGUUAUUUGCAAUAGAUGUAAAGAUUUUGAUAUUGAUGCUUGUAGUGAACACAUAGCUUCUAUUGCAAAGUUAAAUGAUGAAAUGGCUAGUCUUAAUGCCCAACUUAAGGCUAGCAAAAGUGAUUUUGAUAAACUAAAAUUUGCUAGGGAUGCCUACACGAUUGGUAGACACCCCUCAAUUAAGGAUGGGCUUGGCUUCAAGAGGGAAGCCAAGAACUUAACAAGCCAUAAGGCUCCCAUCUCCGCCAAGGAGAAAGGGAAGGCCCCUAUGGCAAAUAGUACUAAAAGGAACCAUGCUUUUAUGUACAAUGAUAAAAGACAGUCUCAUAGGAGUUGCAAUGCUUUUGAUUCACAUGCCUAUGACUCUUAUGCUAUGUUUGCUCCUAGUUCUUCCUAUAUGCAUGGUAGAGAUAUGCCUAGGAAAAAUGUUCAUCAUAUGCCUAGGAAGAGUAUUGUUCAUGUUCCUAGAAAAGUUAUGAAUGGUCCCUCUACAAUUUAUCAUGCUUUAAAUACUUCCUUUGCUAUUGGUAGAAAGGAUAGGAAGAUAGUUGCUAGGAAAUUAGGGGCAAAAUGCAAGGGUGAUAAAACUUGCAUUUGGGUCCCUAAGGAAAUUGUGACUAACCUUGUAGGACCCAACAAGAGUUGGGUACCUAAGACCCAAGCCUAAAUUUGCCUUGCAGGUUUAUGCAUCCGGGGGUUCAAGCUGGAUUAUCGACAGCGGAUGCACAAACCAUAUGACGGGGGAGAAGAAGAUGUUCACCUCCUACGUCAAGAAUAAGGAUUCCCAAGAUUCAAUCAUAUUCGGUGAUGGGAACCAAGGCAAGGUGAAAGGUUUAGGCAAGAUUGCAUUAUCUAAUGAGCACUCUAUCUCUAAUGUGUUUUUAGUUGAGUCUCUUGGAUAUAAUUUCCUAUCUGUCAGUCAAUUAUGUAAUAUGGGAUAUAAUUGUCUAUUUACAAAUGUAGAUGUGUCUGUCUUUAGAAGAUGUGAUGGUUCACUAGCUUUUAAUGGUGUACUAGACGACAAACUUUAUUUAGUUGAUUUUGCAAAAGAAGAGGUCGGUCUAGAUGCAUGCUUAAUGGCUAAGACUUGCAUGGGCUGGUUGUGGCAUCGCCGCUUAGCACAUGUGGGGAUGAAGAACCUCCACAAGCUUCUAAAGGGAGAACACGUGAUAGGUCUAACCAAUGUACAUUUCGAAAAAGAUAGACCUUGUGCAGCUUGUCAAGCAGGUAAACAAGUGGGAGGAGCACAUCACAGCAAGAAUGUGAUGACCACUUCAAGACCUCUGGAGCUGCUGCAUAUGGACCUCUUCGGACCCGUCGCCUAUCUGAGCAUAGGAGGAAGUAAGUAUGGUCUAGUUAUUGUUGAUGACUUUUCCCGCUUCACUUGGGUGUUCUUUUUGCAGGAUAAGUCUGAAACCCAAGGGACCCUCAAGCGCUUCCUCAGGAGAGCUCAAAAUGAGUUUGAGCUCAAGGUGAAGAAGAUAAGAAGCGACAACGGGUCCGAAUUCAAGAAUCUUCAAGUGGAGGAGUUCCUUGAGGAGGAGGGGAUCAAGCACGAGUUCUCCGCUCCCUACACACCUUUGCAAAAUGGUGUGGUAGAGAGGAAGAACAGGACGCUCAUAGAUAUGGCGAGGACUAUGCUUGGAGAGUUCAAGACCCCCGAGCGCUUUUGGUCGGAAGCCGUGAACACGGCUUGCCACGCCAUCAACAGGGUCUACCUUCACCGCCUCCUCAAGAAGACUUCAUAUGAGCUGCUAACUGGUAACAAACCCAAUGUAUCUUAUUUUCAUGUAUUUGGGAGCAAGUGUUAUAUUCUUGUGAAGAAAGGUAGAACCUCUAAAUUUGCUCCCAAAGCUGUAGAAGGGUUUUUAUUAGGUUAUGAUUCAAAUACAAAGGCGUAUAGGGUCUUCAACAAAUCAUCGGGUUUGGUUGAAGUCUCUAGCGAUGUUGUCUUUGAUGAGACUAAUGGCUCUCCAAGAGAGCAAUUUGUUGAUCUUGAUGAUAUAGAUGAAGAAGACGUUCCAACGGCCGCGAUACGCACCAUGACGAUUGGAGAUGUACGGCCUCAGGAACAUUUGGGGCAAGAUCAACCGUCUUCCUCAACUAUGGUGCAUCCCCCAUCCCAAGAUGACGAACAGGUACCUCAAGUGGAGGCGCAUGAUCAGGGGGGAGCAUAGGAUGUUCAAGUUGAAGAGGAAGAAGCAUCUUAGGCACCUCCAACCCAAGUUCGAGCGACGAUUCAAAGGGAUCAUCCCGUCGACCAGAUAUUGGGUGAUAUUAGCAAGGGAGUAACUACUCGCUCGAGAUUAGUUAAUUUUUGUGAGCAUUACUCCUUUGUCUCUUCUAUUGAGCCUUUCAGGGUAGAAGAGGCCUUGCUAGAUCCGGACUGGGUGUUGGCCAUGCAAGAGGAACUCAACAAUUUCAAGCGCAAUGAAGUUUGGACACUGGUGCCUCGUCCCAAGCAAAAUGUUGUGGGAACCAAGUGGGUGUUCCGCAACAAACAGGACGAGCACGGGGUAGUGACGAGGAACAAGGCUCGACUUGUGGCAAAAGGUUAUGCCCAAGUCACAGGUUUGGACUUUGAGGAGACUUUUGCUCCUGUGGCUAGGCUAGAAUCAAUUCAUAUCUUGCUAGCAUAUGCCGCUCACCAUUCUUUCAGGUUGUACCAAAUGGAUGUGAAGAGCGCUUUCCUCAACGGGCCGAUCAAGGAGGAGGUGUACGUAGAGCAACCCCCUGGCUUCGAGGAUGAACGGUACCCCGACCACGUGUGUAAGCUCUCUAAGGCGCUCUAUGGACUUAAGCAAGCCCCAAGAGCAUGGUAUGAAUGCCUUAGAGACUUUUUAAUUGCUAAUGCUUUCAAGGUUGGGAAAGCCGAUCCAACUCUUUUUACUAAGACUUGCGAUGGUGAUCUUUUUGUGUGCCAAAUUUAUGUCGAUGACAUAAUAUUUGGUUCUACUAAUCAAAAGUCUUGUGAAGAGUUUAGCAGGGUUAUGACACAGAAAUUCGAGAUGUCGAUGAUGGGCGAGUUGAACUACUUCCUUGGGUUCCAAGUGAAGCAACUCAAGGACGGCACUUUCAUCUCCCAAACGAAGUACACACAAGAUUUGCUAAAGAGGUUUGGGAUGAAGGACGCCAAGCCCGCGAAGACGCCAAUGGGAACUGACGGACACACUGACCUCAACAAAGGAGGUAAGUCCGUUGAUCAAAAAGCAUACCGGUCUAUGAUAGGGUCCUUACUUUAUUUGUGUGCUAGUAGACCGGAUAUUAUGCUUAGCGUAUGCAUGUGUGCUAGAUUUCAAUCCGAUCCAAAGGAGUGUCACUUAGUGGCUGUGAAGCAAAUUUUGAGAUAUUUAGUCGCUACGCCUUGCUUCGGGAUCUGGUAUCCAAAGGGGUCUAACUUUGACUUGAUUGGAUAUUCAGACUCCGACUAUGCUGGAUGUAAGGUCGAUAGGAAGAGUACAUCGGGGACGUGCCAAUUUUUAGGAAGGUCCCUGGUGUCGUGGAACUCUAAGAAACAAACUUCCGUUGCCCUAUCCACCGUUGAGGCCGAGUACGUUGCCGCAGGAUAGUGUUGUGCGCAACUGCUUUGGAUGAGGCAAACCCUCCGGGACUUUGGCUACAAUCUGAGCAAAGUCCCACUCCUAUGUGAUAAUGAGAGUGCUAUCCGAAUAGCGGAAAAUCCUGUUGAGCACAGCCGCACAAAGCACAUUGACAUCCGGCAUCACUUUUUGAGAGACCACCAGCAAAAGGGAGAUAUCGAAGUGUUUCAUGUUAGCACCGAGAACCAGCUAGCCGAUAUCUUUACCAAGCCUCUAGAUGAGAAGACUUUUUGCAGGCUGCGUAGUGAGCUCAAUAUCUUAGAUUCGCGGAACUUGGAUUGAAAUGUAGCAUACAUGUGUUUAUGCCUUUGAUCAUGUUCAUUCUGCAUUUUGUUGCUUAUUGUGGUGCUCAGGUUGUACAAACACUCCCUGGACCUCACAAGUCCUUUUUGCAAGUGAUGCACAUAUUUAGGGGGAGCUGUGCUACAACUUGACCCUUUGAGACUAACCAUAUUCUUGAGUUUGGUUGUUUUAGUCUCAAAGGAGGAUUGAAAGGGAAAGGGUGGACUUGGACCAUGCAAGACUUCCACUGCACUCCGAUGAAAAGAGUAACUUUUCCAAGUUCAUCUUUAUACUCUUAUUGCCUUUGUACUCUUAUUUGAAGAUUUUGGUGAGGCAAUGGGGUUAAAGGGCCAAGAUUUAUCCUGUUUUGGUGCUUGAUGCCAAAGGGGGAGAAAAUAAAGGCCAAAGCGAUAAAUGGAUCAGCUACCACUUGAGAGUUUUUGAAAAUAGUAGAAUAGAGCUUUUGGUUUGUCAAAACUCUUUUAUUGUCUCUCUUGUCAAAAGUUGGUUUCUAGUGGGGAGAAGUGUUGAUUAUGGGAAAAAGGGGAGUUUUUGAAAUCUUGAAUCAAUUUCUCUUGGAAUGACUCUCUUUAUGUCUUAACACGUGUGUUUGACUUAGAGAUAGAAAUUUGAGUUUGAUUUGCAAAAACAAACCAAGUGGUGGCAAAGAGUGAUCCAUAUAUGUCAAAUUUGAAUCAAAACAAUUUGAGUUCUUAUUUGAAUUGAUUUUGUAUUUGUUCUACUUGCUUUAUGUUGUGUUGGCAUAAAUCACCAAAAAGGGGGAGAUUGAAAGGGAAAUGUGCCCUUGGGCCAUUUCUAAGUAUUUUGGUGAUUUAGUGUCCAACACAAGUGCCCUAGUGUAAAAAGGUGGACAAAGUACAAAUCAAGGAUAAAGGUAUGUUUCUCAGACUUAGUACAUUGUUUUAUGGACUAAUGUAUUGUGUCUAAGCGCUGGAAACAGAAAAAAUCGAGUUGGAGAAGAGAUGGCUCGAGCAGCCAAAGUCUGCUCAGUCUGGGUGCACCGGACUGUCCGGUGGUGCACCGGACAGUGUCCGGUGUGCCAGGCUGGCUCUGGCGAAAAGGCUGCUCUCGGGACUUCGACGGCGGUGUACGACUAUAAAUCACCGGACUGUCCGGUGGUUCACCGGACUGUCCGGUGUGCCGUUCACAGGCGAACUCGUCGCUCUCGGGAAACCAUCAACGAUGUACGGCUAUAAUUCAUCGGACUGUCCGGUGUGCACCGGACUGUCCGGUGAGCCAACGGUCGGCAGGGCCAACGGUCGGCCGCGCGAUCUGCGCGGGACACGUGGCCGAGCCAACGGCUAGAAGGGGGCACCGGUCUGUCCGGUGUGCACCGGACAUGUCCGGUGCGCCAACGGCUCUCAGGCUGCCAACGGUCGACUGCGCCAUUUAUGGAAGGAAAUCGUGCACUGGACUGUCCGGUGCGCCAGUCGACAGAAGGCAAGAUCAGCCUUCCUAGAUUGCUCUCAACGGCUCCUAGCUGCCUUGGGGCUACAAAAGGGACCCCUAGGCGCAUGGAGGAGUACACCAAGCAUUCCUACAACAUUCCUAAGCACCAAGACAUCAAUUCCGCACCUUUGAUUCUUUGCGAUAGCAAUUAGAGCUCUAGUUGAGUAGUGAACUCAUUGAGUUGUGUUGUGAGCUCUCAUUGCGACUUGUGUGCGUGGUGUUGCUGUGAUUUCUUGUCUUGAGUGUGUUACUAAUCCCUCCCUUGCUCCGUGUUUCUUUGUGAAUUUCAAGUGUAAGGGCGAGAGGCUCCAAGUUGUGGAGAUUCCUCGCAAACGGGAUUGAGAAAAAGCAAGCAAAACACCGUGGUAUUCAAGUGGGUCUUUGGACCGCUUGAGAGGGGUUGAUUGCAACCCUCGUCCGUUGGGACGCCACAACGUGGAGUAGGCAAGCGUUGGUCUUGGCCGAACCACGGGAUAACCACCGUGCCAUCUCUGUGAUUGAUCUUGUUGGUUAUUGUGUUUUGUUGAAGGUUCCUCUCUGGCCACUUGGCAGUUAUUGUGCUAACACUUAACCAAGUUUUUUGUGGCCUAAGUUUUAAGUGUUACAGGAUCACCUAUUCACCCCCCCUCUAGGUGCUCUCAUGAUGUUUUUUUCUUCCUUGGAGGUAUAGGAGUACAAGGAUUGUCGUCACUAGAACUAUCCUCCCCGAUCCCUUCACCGGAGCUGCUCGUUGUCUGCCAUUCAAGUUUGGUCGCGUCUUCAUCAACUUUGUUAGACGCACCGGUGCAGACCACAUCCAUCCUAGGCUGCUCGUUGUCUGCCAUUCAAGCUGGUUCCAUCGAUAAAGGGAUAUACUGUUAGUCUGAUAUACUGGUUCCAUCAAUAAGGGAACUUGGAGAAAAGGUGAUUCAAAAGAAAUCGAGCCCAAACCCGCCUUCGUGUCCCUCCUUUACUCCCCAAACAGAAAGCCCAAACCCGCCUCCGAGGCAGGAUCGGGCCGGGAAGCACGGAGCAGAUAGAAGUGCACUUUCCAAUGCAGUUAGACAGAGAAGGCAUGGCUGUGAUGUUAUAAUGCUGAAGGACCCCAAGAAGAGAUUAUGGCAUGUCGUCCACCACCACUGCCCGUUAUUUGUGGGCUUCACCGAGGGCUGCAAACAUUUGGUGACAGCAAACGACCUUUAAACUGGGGACGUCUGCGAGAUUGUUAAGGGGCUAGACGAUGGUGAGCCGGUGUACUCUGUCUGGAUGUGUGGUCACAAAAUUUAAAGCCGCCCCAGCUUCAUCUGUGCGCUUCUCUUCUCUUAUGUCGGCUACUAAGAUCACUUAGCACCCCACCUAAGAGAAGAGAAGCGCACACAUGAAGCCGGGGCGGCUUUAAAUUUUGUGACCACACAUCCGGACAUAGUACACCGGCUCACCAUCGUCUGGCCCCUUAACAAGCUCGCAGACGUCCCCAGCCUGAAGGUCGUUUGCUGUCACCAAAUGUUUCCAGCCCUCGGUGAAGCCCACAAAUAACGAGCAGUGGUGGUGGAUGACAGGCCAUAAUCUCUUCUUGGUGUCCUUCAGCAUUAUAACAUCACAGCGAUGCCUUCUCUGUCUAACUACAUUGGAAAGUGCACUUCUAUCUGCUCCGUGCUUCCCGACCCGAUUCAGUCAUUCAGCCGAUGCCAUUCUCCAUAUAUGUCCCAAACAGAGAAUAGGGAUGAGGUAGUCAAGAUUGUAGGCGCUAGUGCUCAACUACUAGCAUCUAUAGAUAUGGACACAAGUCCAAAUUUGGUGCUACUCGGCACCAUCGAUAUCACUAGGGAAAACAAAUACAUCAAAGAGAUCCACUUCCCAAUAGUACUCAAAGAUAGUUCAUUGACUUGACACUCUCUAAGAGGUUCAUACAAAAUACAUUAUCUCUAAGAGUGAAACCUACGAUACUCAUAUCGUGUUGUUUAGGACUAAACAUCAACAACCCCUUGACUGGUCGCUAUCAUACUCAAUUCCAAAAUAUUUUUCCAAUAUGUCGGCUUGAGUAAGGAGAUCUGGGCUUGGGAGUUCCUCCAAAUCAUCUGCAGCUUCAUCAUCUUCAGCAUAUUGCAGGGCUUCAUCUUGAAUAAUUUUAGCCCUCUUGGAGUCAGCAUACUUUUUGAUGGACAGAGCACACUUCUCAAGCAUGUCGCAUACAUCUCCAAUUUGAAACAAAGUGGUCUUAAGUGUGUACACUGAUUCCGGUUCACUAGUAUCCACAACCCCAUCAGUCACUAGACUGCGAAUGAUGUCAACAUGUGUCUCGAUGACUCGAACUGAGCUCUCAACCAUGUCAAGUGGCUCUUUUUCCAUCUCUGAAACUGAAAAUGACCAAGUCUCACAAUCAAAAUUGAGAUCGCAACAAAGGCAGGGAUCAGAGGGAAAACAAGGAUGUGGCUUAUAGGGCAAAAAGAAGGGUCCAAAUAACAUUGUCAUGGCUAUGAACAAGUCAAAGAUGGGAGAUAAGAACAAGUCUUAUAACAUAGGGUUGGGAAGCAAAGAUAGGUAUUCAAAAAACUUAGAAGGGAGAUAAGAACAAGUCUUAUAACAUAGGGAGAUAAUAACAUUGUCAUGGCUAUGUACUUCCAUGAUGUAUGUGGCCAUAAGCACAUUUGGCCUAAUGAUUAUCAAACAAAGAUAGGUAGUCAAAAAACACUAAAAAUAGACUUCAUUCGAAGGAUACUAACACCUUAAUGGUAUACAAACAUUUAAUCAACAGGGAUAAAAGAAAUAAAAAAACUGAUACAUGAGAAGUAAUUGACAACCAAACAAUAAACAAUAAGCAUAUUGACAAUAUAUGUAAGUGAAAACGCCAACAGUAAUUAAUCUAAGCACUGAUAAUCAGGGAUAGCCAUCGAUUGGGCAGAAUGCAUAUACACAAUUUGUCAAUAUGCACUUAUGAAAUAUACACAAUGAAAUACUCCAAGUACUUGAACUGAAAUAUACACAAUGAAAUACACAAUUCUGCUUGGCUCUUGAACUGAAAUAAGAAUGCAUAUACACAAUUUGUAGAACAUUGCUUGCUUGUAGCCAAUAGAACAUUGCUUGCUUGUAGCCAAUGGAACCUAAACAUUGCUUGAACUGAAUUAAGAGCUCGGGGAAGAAGAAAUGGAACCUGAACUUCGACCUUAUCGAGAGGAAGAAGACAGAGCUCGUGGACGGCGGCGCUUCGGGCUUGGGGACCGUGACGGCGGCGCUUGGGCUCGGGGACUCGCCGCUCGGGCUCGGGGACGGCGGGCGCUCGGGCUCGGUGAAGGGGACGGCGGUGCUCGGGCUCGGUGAAGGGGACGGUGUUGCUCGGGCGCUCGGGGACGGCGGCGCUCGGGCUCGGGGACGAGGACGGCGGGGCUCGAGCUCGGUGAAGGGGACGGCGGCGCUCGGGCUCGGUGAAGGGGACGGCGUUGCUCGGGUGCUCGGGGAUGGCGGCGCUCGGGCUCGGGGACGGGGACGGCGAUGCUCGAGCUCGGGGAUGGGGACGGCGGCGCUCGAGCUCGGGGACGGCGGCGCUCGGGUUCGUGCUCGGGGACGGGGACACGGCGGCAGCCUGGCGGCGCAACUGUGUCAGCUCGGGCGGGAAGAGUUAGGGUUCCUGCCGACCAACGAGCCUUUUAUAUUGUAAAGAAUCCCAGGCGGAUAUUUAGCAAAACCGCCUGUGAUAGACAACAUCACAGGCGGUUGUUCAUUCCGACCGCCUGUGAUAAAUUAACUUCACAGGCGGUCGACUUAAAAAACCGCCUGUGAUGUUAUCUAUCACAAGCGGUUUUGCUAAAUAUCCGUCUGUGAUGUGUGUACACUAUAAAAGGGCUAGCCCCCCACGGGUUCCAGAACCCUAACUCGCAGAACCCUAAUUCACAGCACUGUAGCGGCGGCGGGUUUUUUUUUGAGAUCUACAGGGAGAAGGUUUUGUUUUUGAGUUUAUUGAUUGAUUUCAAUAGUUUAUGCAUAUAUAUGAUCUCCAUUUGUUUUCUUUCUCAUUUGAUGCGAUUUUUCGCCUCAAUUUUGUAAUAUAGAACGGAUUUGAAGAAAAGCUUUGGAAUUCAAGAUUUGGACUUAUAAUAGUUGAUCUAGUUUAAAGAUUCUUUAAAAACACAAUUGUCUCACCUCAAGGUAUCUAUUGUUGCAAUGUUUGUUUCAUUUUCAUACAUAUCAAUUCGUUUCAUGUUUUAUGGAUGAAUUCAAUUAAUUAAUGAUUUUAUUGAUGUUAAUCAAUAUAAGGAUAGGUAAUGGACCGAGGUUGGAUGUACAAUGUGCCAAGACCACAUCCAUCGUAUAUUCGAAAUUUGAGAAGCUUUAUUGAAGCGGCCAAAAAGCACGCGAAUUUGCGAAAGAGCAAGGAGAUAUUAUGUCCGUGCAUCGACUGUGAUAAUAAGAUAGCUUGGAGAGAUACAGGAGUAAUCCAAUCACAUCUGCUAAAAAGAGGGUUUAAAAACAAUUACACGAUAUGGUCAUAACAUGGUGAGUUGGAUCCGUGUGAAGUGCCUGGUAAUGACGAGAGAGUUGUCGGAAUUUUAGAUCUUAAAGUUGAUGGUAAAGUGGAUAAUGUGGAUGCUAAUCAAGAUUUUGAAGAAUUUGAUUGCGAAGAGAUGUUGCGCCAUAUGGAACCAGAAAUGUUGAGUUCUGUGGGAUCGCAGAAAGGGCUAUCUAAAAUGGAGGGACUGGAAAGUGCUUCAAAAGAACCUUUAUAUGAUGAAUCAAAGGGUUGUGACAAAGAGUUUACUACACUGCGUACAGUUCUAGAACUUCUGAAGUUGAAGGCUAGUGCCGGAUGGUCUGAUACUAGCUUCACGGAUCUUUUGAAUUUUCUGUCCCAAUUACUACCAAAACCCAACAAACUACCAACAAGCACUUAUAAAGCGAAGAAGCUUAUAUCUCCCAUAGCUCUGGGUGUGCAAAAAAUUCAUGCAUGUCCGAACCAUUGUAUUCUGUAUCGUGGCGAUUUUGAGAACGCAUCAAGAUGCCCAGUUUGCAAUGUCAGUCGAUACAAGAAGAGCUACAAUCAAGACUGUGUAAAAAAAUUCCCGAAGAAAAAUAAAAACAAGAAAUCCACUAUUGGACCUGAAAGUGACGAUGACACUUUUGAUGACAUGGAUGGGAAAAAGAAGUCAAAGAACCCAGCUUUGGUGAUGUGGUAUCUUCCAGUAAUUGAUCGCUUAAAACGUUUGUUCUCAAAUCCUAGGGAGGUUGAGCUUAUGCGUUGGCAUGCUGAAAAUCGCAAGCAAAAUAACAAACAGAUUUGACACCCUGCUGAUGCAUCACAAUGGAAAAAUUUCGAUCUUAUGUAUCCUGAGUUUGCCAAAGAAACCAGAAAUGUAAGAUUUGCUUUGGGUACAGACGGAAUGAAUCCAUUUGGUGAAAAAAGAAGUGUACAUAGCACCUGGCCCGUGACUUUAACGAUGUACAACCUUCCAUCAUGGCUGUGUCACAAAAGAAAGUACAUUAUGUUGACUAUUCUUAUUCAAGGUCCGAAAUCAGCUGGUGUUGAUAUUGAUGUGUUCCUAGAACCUCUUAUGGAAGAUAUGACAAAGCUCUGGAAUGAAGGAGUUAGAAUAUGGGAUGAGUAUUGCCAUGAGUAUUUCAACUUAAGAGCAAUUAUAUUUGUUACCAUCCAUGAUUCUCCCGGUGGCGCCACACUAUCAGGGCAAAAGACUAAAGGAAAGAAUGGUUGUGUAGUGUGCGUCGAUGGAACUGCUUCCAUGUACCUUAAAUCAUCCAAGAAGUUGGUGUUCAUGGGACACAGACGGUUCUUGAUGAAGCAGCAUAAGUACCAAAAGAUGAAAGCGGAAUUUAACAAUCAACUGGAAAGUGAAGGUGCACCAAAGCCUUAUAGUGGGAAACUUGUUUUUGAAAUUGUAAAGAACAUUCAUGUUGUAUUCGGAAAGGGAAAAAACAAAGGAGAAAAGAGAAAGAGAACUGACCCUUCAACUUACACAACUUUCAAGAAGCAAUCAAUUUUUUUCAAGUACCUCCCAUACUGGAAGGAUAUGGAAAUUUGCCACAGCAUUAAUUUGAUGCAUGUAACAAAAAAUGUUUUUGACAGCAUCAUUGGAACCUUGCUGGGCAUGCCGAGUAAGACAAAAGACGGACUCAAAUCACGCAAUGAUCUAGUAGAUCUUCAAAUCAGACCGGAACUUCAUCCAGUGGAUAGUGGCAAAGGGAAGCCUUACCUCCCCCCAGCUAGCUACAACUUGUCAGUUGAGGAGAGAACAAAGAUUUGCAAAUGUUUGCGUGGGGUCAAAGUGCCCACAGGUUUCUCAUCCAAUAUCAGCAGACUAGUCAGGAUGAAGGACUUGUCUCUAUUUGGCUACAACUCUCAUGACUGCCAUGUGAUGAUGACGGUGUUCCUCCCAAUUGCGGUAAGAGCCCUCGAAACAGAGCAUGUCAAAGUUGUCAUCACACACUUGUGUUACUUUUUCAAUGCGGUUUCACAAAAAGUAAUAGCUUUAGAAGACUUGGACUAUCUAAAGGCAUACAUCAUCGAGACUAUGUGCAAGCUUGAAAUGUGUUUUCCUCCAUCAUUUUUUGAUAUGCAAGUACACCUAAUCAUACAUCUCGUGGAUCAGAUAAAAAUAUUAGGGCCACUAUACUUACAUCAUAUGUUUCAGUUGGAGCGAUACCUGGGAGUAUUAAAAGGUUAUGUGCGAAAUCGCGCUCACCCAGAGGGUUCAAUCAUGGAGGGAUACACUACAGAAGAAGUGAUUGAGAGCUGUAUAGAUUACAUCAGUGACGGAACAAUGAUAGGUGUGCCUGUACCUAAACAUGAGGGUAAACUAUGUGGGAGAGGGAGAAUGGGCAAGAAAACUUUUCGCGUUGAGGAUUACAAGCUAGUACAUUGUGCUCAUGGUAGUGUACUACAACAUCUCACGAUAGCCGAGCCUUACAUAGAGGAACACCUGGAUGAGCUUCGUAAAGAAAAUCAGAACCGCACAGAGGACUGGAUCAUGAGGGAGCACAAACAUCGUUUCAGCGAAUGGUUAAUGGACAAAAACAUCCCAUUCGGAGACUCUUUGGAAGAGAAAACAAUGAAGAAUUUGGCUUCUGGGCCAUCGUGUUUUGUGACAUCAUGGCAAGCAUAUGACAUCAAUGGGUACACAUUCUACACUAAAUCAAAAGACAUGAAAAGUGUUGCACAAAAUAGCGGUGUUGGUAUCGAUGCUUUUGACCUACAUGGACAGAAGACCACAUAUUUUGGAUUCAUAGAGGAAAUAUGGGAACUUGAUUAUGGCCCAAGCAUGAAAAUACCCUUAUUUAAGUGCCAAUGGGUACAACAUCCCGUGGGGGUGAUAGUGGAUAACUACGGACUCACACUGGUAGACUUAAAGAAAGUAGGAUAUAAAGAUGACCCGUGGGUUCUCGCUGAAUGUGUUGCACAAGUGUUCUAUGUACUCGAUCCAGCAGAUGAGAAGAUGCAUGUAGUUAUUUCUAGAAAGCAAAAAAUUGUUGGAGUUGAGAAUGUGGGAGACCAAGAUGAGGAAUACAAUAAGUAUGAAGAGAUGUUCGUCUUUAACGGUCCAGAGAGAAUCAAGCGUGUGGAAAAGAAAAUUGAUAAGAACUUAAAGCCAUACAUGCGGAAAAAUGGUAGUUCAUGAAAAAUUGUAUGAAUCAAAUUGUAUUUGUUAUCAUGUAUGAUCGACUAUGAAUUGUGGUUGCCAAUUAAUUUAAAAUCUUUCUAGUUAUCUGUGUUCUAUUAUAAUUCAUUUAAAUUGUAUUUGCAUAUUAUUGUUAAAAAUUAAAUAUUAAUUCAUUUAAAUUGUAUUUGCAUAUUUCUGUUAAAAAUUAAAAUUAUUUUCAUAUUUCAAUUGUAUUUUCAUAUUUUUACAAUCACAGGCGGUUUUUCCUUAGGGUCCGUUUGUGAAAAGGAUAGAGCACCACAGGCGGUCCUAAACAAAAACCGCUUGUGAUACUAUUACAUCACAGGCGUACCGAACCGCCUGGGACAUCACAGGCGGUUUUCUAACCGAACCGCCUGUGAUGUAAAAAGCCUACCGCUUGUAUAGAGCCAAAUUGUACUAGUGUCUUAGCACCGCCUGGUUAUCACAGUGUCAUUCGCGCGCCCACCCCUCCCCUUGCAUGGUGGCUACAGGAGCGCCACCACACCCAUAAGACUGUGUUCAGCAGUUACCCCUAAAUUUCUCCUCUUAUAUCCCACUCACGUGCCACUUUAGCGUUCUCUUCCCCCUAUAUCUCCACCCUGUACAGCAGUUCCCCCUAAAUCCUUCCCCUAUACCCCACUAUAAUCAUAAAAUACCAUUUUCCAUACCUAUUCACCAUCUAUUAUCAAUUUUUCCAAACUAAUAAAUACUUCUGUGCACAGAAACCGAGGCAAGGGGGCGCUUGUGGUACCUCUUCAUCUAGCGUGCACAACAACCACCCGCUACCACUGUAGCAGCGGUAGGGGCACCGUUGAAGAGGAAGAGGGAGUACUGGCGCCGUCACAGCGAGGGGAGAGGCCACCGUUGAAGCCAGUCUAACGCGGCCCCUGCGAGGCCCCCCAGCCGUUUGCCUCCUCUCUCUCUCUCUGAUUGUGGCGUGCAGCCGGCCACCCCCUUCGCUCUCUCUCCCUCCUGUAGCCAUGGGUCCCCUUCUAAUUGUUAGUAGAUGAAAAAUUGAUAGUGAAUGGAAAGUAGGUAUAGAAAAUGAUUUUUUAUGGUUGUAGUGGGGUACAGAGGGAGAAUUAAUAGGGAACUGUUGCGGGAGAUGAAAAAAGUAGGAGAUAAAAUAUUGAGGAUGUGACGCAAAAGAGUGAUAUAGUGAGAGAAAUUUAGAGAAAACCGUUGCGGAUAGUCUAAGACAUACCAUGCCCAGCAGACUACAUAGAUCACGCAAACACAUCCUACAUGAGGGGGCAAAGUAUCGUGCAGGUCUUACAGUACUAUAUAAACAACAUAAUGAAAGGGAAAUGUGCCCUUGGGCCAUUUCUAAGUAUUUUGGUGAUUGAGUGCCAACACAGGUGCUCAAAUGUGAAUCUAUACCCAUGGAUGGACAAAGUGCAAAUCAAGAGAAAAGGUAUGUUUCUAAGCCUUAGUACAUUGUUUUGAAGACUAAUGUAUUGUGUCUAAGUGCUUGAAUCAGGAGAAAACAAGUCAGAGAAAAGUUGGCUGUGUACAGCCAAAAGGCUGUUCGGUCUGGAGCACCGGACUGUCCGGUGGUGCACCGGACAGUGUCCGGUGGUGCACCGGACAGUGUCCGGUGCGCCAGGCUGCCUCGAGCGAAGUGGUCGCUCUCGGGAAUUCGCCGACGGCGUACGGCUAAAAAUCACCGGACUGUCCGGUGUGCACCGGACUGUCCGGUGUGCACAACGGUCGGCCGGGCCAACGGUCGGCCGCGCGAUCCGCGCGCGACACGUGGCCGAGCCAACGAUCGGAAGGGGGCACCGGACUGUCCGGUGUGCACCGGACUGUCCGGUGCGUCAACGGCUCCCAGAUCUGCAACGAUCGACUGCGCUGUUUAAGGAAGGAAAUCGGGCACCGGACAGUGUCCGGUGUGCACCGGACUGUCCGGUGCGCCCGACGACAGAAGGCAAGGAUGGCCUUCCAGAUUUGUUCUCAACGGCUCCUAGCUGCCUUGGGGCUAUAAAAGGAACCCCUAGGCGCAUGGAGGAGAACACCAAGCAUUCCUACAACAUUCCUAAGCACCAAGACAUCGAUUCCACGCAUUUGGUUCAUUGUGAUAGCAUCUAGAGCUCUUGUUGAGUUGUGAACUCAUUGAGUUGUGUUGCGAGCUCUUGUUGCGACUUGUGUGCGUGUUGUUGCUCUGAUUUUGAGUCUUGUGUGCGUUGCUAGUUUCUCCCUUACUCUGUAUUUCUUUGUGAAUCUUAAGUGUAAGGGCGAGAGGCUCCAAAGUGUGGAGAUUCCUCGCAAACGGGAUAUUGAAAGGCAAAGCAAAACACCGUGGUAUUCAAGUUGGUCUUUGGACCGCUUGAGAGGGGUUGAUUGCAACCCUCGUCCGUUGGGACGCCACAACGUGGAGUAGGCAAGUGUUGGUCUUGGCCGAACCAUGGGAUAAACCACUGUGGCAUCUCUGUGUUUGAUCUCUUGUGGUAUUGUGUUUUGCUGAGACUCCUUUCUAGCCACUUGGCAAUCAUUGUGCUAACACUUAACAAGUUUUUGUGGCUAUAAGUUUAAGUUUUUACAGGAUCACCUAUUCACCCCCCCUCUAGGUGCUCUCAAUUGGUAUCAGAGCCGUUCUCUUCAAGAAGGGACUAAUCGCCCGAAGAGAUGGAUCCUAAGGGGAAGGGAAUCGUGAUCAACGACAAGGAGAAGGAGUCCUUCGUCAACGAGCCAAGGGAUGACAAGUCCAAUGACUCGGGCUCGGGCCACAGACGCAAAGACGGGAAGAAGAAGAAGACAAGGCGCAUCAAGGAGAUCGUCUACUACGACGAUAGCGAUGAAUCUACCUCUUCCCAAAAGGACGACGACAACGACUACAGGAAGACGGUCAAUUCGAACUUUUCAUUUGAUUAUUCUCGUAUUCCACAUAGUUCGAAUUCGCAUUUGCUUUCCAUUCCUCUUGGAAAACCUCCACACUUCGAUGGGGAAGACUACGGAUUUUGGAGUCACAAAAUGCGUAGUCACUUAUUCUCUCUCCAUCCAAGCAUAUGGGAGAUUGUAGAGAUUGGAAUGAAAUUUGAUAGCUCGGAUAGCCCUAUGCUUAUAAAUGAACAAAUCCAUAGAAAUGCACAAGCUACUACUGUUCUAUUAGCAUCUUUGUGCAGGGAAGAGUACAAUAAGGUGAGCGGCUUGGACAACGCCAAGCAGAUAUGGGACACCCUCAAAAUCUCUCACGAGGGGAACGACAUCACCAUGCUCACUAAAAUGGAGUUGGUGGAGGGCGAGCUUGGACGAUUCGCAAUGAUAAGGGGAGAAGAGCCAACCCAAACUUACAACAGGCUCAAGACCCUUAUCAACAAAAUAAGGAGCUACGGAAGCACGCGAUGGACGGACCACGACGUCGUCCGCCUAAUGCUAAGGUCCUUUACCGUUCUUGAUCCUCAUUUGGUGAACAAUAUUCGUGAAAAUCCUAGGUACACCAAGAUGUCGCCCGAAGAAGUUCUUGGAAAAUUUGUAAGCGGGCGAAUGAUGAUCAAGGAGGCAAGGUACGUGGACGACGCAUUGAAUGGUCCAAUCCAUGAGCCUCAACCCAUUGCUCUCAAGGCAACAAGGAGCAAGGAGGCGCUACCAAGCAAGGUGGCGCAAGUUGAGGCGGCCGGGCUAAAUAAUGAGGAGAUGGCCCUCAUCAUUAAGCGCUUCAAGACGGCGCUUAAAGGUCGCAAGGGACAGCCAAGCAAGACCAAGACAAAGGAGAAGCGCUCAUGCUUCAAAUGCGGUAAGCUUGGUCAUUUUAUUGCUAACUGUCCCGAUAAUGAAAGUGACCAGGAACAAGGGAGCAAGAGGGAGAAGAAGAAGGCAUACAAGAAGGCAAAGGGCGAGGCACAUCUAGGCAAGGAGUGGGAUUCGGAUUGCUCCUCCUCCGACUCCGACAAUGAAGGACUCGCCGCCACUGCCUUCAACAAGUCAUCCCUCUUCCCCAACGAGCAUCACACAUGCCUUAUGGCAAGGGAGAAGAAGGUGAGUACUCAAGACUCCACUUAUGCUUCUUCCAGUGAUAAUGAGUCUAGUGAUGAUGAUGACAUAGAUUAUUCAUGCUUGUUCAAGGGCUUAGAUAGAUCUAAGAUAGAUAAAAUUAAUGAGUUGAUUGAUGCUUUGAAUGAUAAGAAUAGAUUACUAGAAAAACAAGAGGAUCUUUUAUAUGAGGAGCAUGAUAAAUUUGUUAGUGCACAAAAUUCUCUUGCUCUAGAAAUUAAAAGAAAUGAAGUGCUUUCUAGUGAAUUAUCCUCUUGUCAUGAAACCAUUGCUACUUUAAAAGGUGUUAACAAUGAUAUAAAUGCUAAACUAGAAGUGGCUAGUAAAUCUAACUCUUGUGUAGAACAUGUUAUGGUUUGCACUAGGUGUAAAGAUUUUAAUGUUGAUGCUUGUAGUGAACACCUAGUUUCAAUUUCUAAAUUGAAUGAUGAAGUGGCUAGUCUUAAUACCCAACUUAAGACUAGCAAAAGCGAAUUUGAUAAAUUAAAAUUUGCAAGGGAUGCCUAUACGAUUGGUAGACAUCCCUCAAUUAAGGAUGGACUUGGCUACAAAAGGGAAGCCAAGAACUUGACAAGCCAUAAGGCUCCCAUCUCCGCCAAGGAGAAAGGGAAGGUCCCUAUGGCUACUAGUGCUAAAAAGAACCAUGCCUUUUUGUAUCAUGAUAGGAGACAAACUAGAAAUGCCUAUAGGAGUUAUAAUGCUUACGAUGAUUUUUCUCAUGCUAUGUUUGCUCAUAGUUCUUCAUAUGUGCAUGAUAGAAAUGUUGGUAGAAGGAAUGUUGUUCAUAAUAUGACUAGGAGAGAUGUUGUUAAUGUUCCUAGGAAAGUCAAUGAACCUUCUACAAUAUAUCAUGCUUUGAAUGCUUCCUUUGCAAUUUGUAGAAAGGAUAGAAAGGUGAUUGCUAGGAAGUUAGGGGCAAAAUGCAAGGGUGAUAAAACUUGCAUUUGGAUCCCUAAGGAAAUUGUGACUAACCUUGUAGGACCCAACAAGAGUUGGGUACCUAAGUCCCAAGCCUAAAUUUGCCUUGCAGGUUUAUGCAUCCGGGGGUUCAAGCUGGAUUAUUGAUAGCGGAUGCACAAACCAUAUGACGGGGGAGAAGAAGAUGUUCACCUCCUACGUCAAGAAUAAGGAUUCCCAUGAUUCAAUUAUAUUCGGUGAUGGGAAUCAAGGCAAGGUAAAAGGGUUAGGUAAAAUUGCAAUUUCUAAUGAGCACUCUAUCUCUAAUGUGUUUUUAGUAGAGUCUAUUGGAUAUAAUUUGCUAUCUGUUAGUCAAUUAUGCAACAUGGGGUAUAACUGUCUAUUUACAAAUGUAGAUGUGUCUGUCUUUAGAAGAAGUGAUGGUUCACUAGCUUUUAAGGGUGUAUUAGACGGCAAACUUUAUUUAGUUGAUUUUGCAAAAGAAGAGGCCGGUCUAGAUGCAUGCUUAAUAGCUAAGACUAGCAUGGGCUGGCUGUGGCAUUGCCGCUUAGCACAUGUGGGGAUGAAGAACCUUCACAAGCUUCUAAAGGGAGAACACGUGAUAGGUUUGACUAACGUGCAAUUCCAAAAAGAUAGACCUUGUGCAGCUUGUCAAGCAGGUAAACAAGUGGGAGGAGCGCAUCACAGCAAGAAUGUGAUGACCACUUCAAGACCCCUGGAGCUGCUGCAUAUGGACCUCUUCGGACCCGUCGCCUAUCUGAGCAUAGGAGGGAGUAAGUAUGGUCUAGUUAUUGUUGAUGACUUUUCCCGCUUCACUUGGGUGUUCUUUUUGCAGGAUAAGUCUGAAACCCAAGGGACCCUCAAGCGCUUCCUCAGGAGAGCUCAAAAUGAGUUUGAGCUCAAGGUGAAGAAGAUAAGGAGCGACAACGGGUCCGAGUUCAAGAACCUUCAAGUGGAGGAGUUCCUUGAGGAGGAAGGGAUCAAGCACGAGUUCUCCGCUCCCUACACACCACAGCAAAAUGGUGUGGUAGAGAGGAAGAACAGGACGCUAAUCGAUAUGGCGAGGACGAUGCUUGGAGAAUUCAAGACCCCCGAGUGUUUCUGGUCGGAAGCAGUGAACACAGCUUGCCACACCAUCAACAGGGUCUACCUUCAUCGCCUCCUCAAGAAGACUUCGUAUGAGCUACUAACCGGUAACAAACCCAAUGUAUCUUACUUUCGUGUAUUUGGGAGCAAGUGCUACAUUCUAGUAAAGAAGGGUAGAAAUUCUAAGUUUGCUCCCAAAGCUGUAGAAGGGUUUUUGUUAGGUUAUGACUCAAAUACAAAGGCGUAUAGAGUCUUCAACAAAUCAUCGGGUUUGGUUGAAGUCUCUAGCGACGUUGUAUUUGAUGAGACUAAUGGCUCUCCAAGAGAGCAAGUUGUUGAUUGUGAUGAUGUAGAUGAAGAAGAUGUUCCGACGGCAGCUAUACGAACCAUGGCGAUUGGAGAAGUGCGGCCACAGGAACAAGAUGGACGAGAUCAACCUUCUUCCUCAACAACGGUGCAACCCCCAACUCAAGACGAUGAACAGGUUCAUCAACAGGAGGUGUGUGAUCAAGGGGGAGCACAAGAUGAUCAUGUGAUGGAGGAAGAAGCGCAACCGGCACCUCCAACCCAAGUCCGAGCGAUGAUUCAAAGGGAUCAUCCCGUCGAUCAAAUUCUGGGUGAUAUUAGCAAGGGAGUAACUACUCGAUCUCGAUUAGUUAAUUUUUGAGGAACUCAACAACUUCAAGCGCAAUGAAGUUUGGACACUGGUGCCUCGUCCCAAGCAAAACGUUGUGGGAACCAAGUGGGUGUUCCGCAACAAACAGGACGAGCACGGAGUGGUGACGAGGAACAAGGCUCGACUUGUGGCAAAAGGUUAUGCCCAAGUCGCAGGUUUGGACUUUGAGGAGACGUUUGCUCCUGUGGCUAGGCUAGAAUCAAUUCGUAUCUUGCUAGCAUAUGCCGCUCACCAUUCUUUCAGGUUGUACCAAAUGGAUGUGAAGAGCGCUUUCCUCAACGGGCCAAUCAAGGAGGAGGUGUACGUGGAGCAACCCCCUGGUUUCGAGGAUGAACGGUACCCCGACCAUGUGUGUAAGCUCUCUAAGGCGCUCUAUGGACUUAAGCAAGCCCCAAGAGCAUGGUAUGAAUGCCUUAGAGACUUUCUAAUUGUUAAUGCUUUCAAGGUUGGGAAAGCCGAUCCAACUCUUUUUACUAAGACAUGUGAUGGUGAUUUGUUUGUGUGCCAAAUUUAUGUCGAUGACAUAAUAUUUGGUUCUACUAACCAAAAGUCUUGUGAAGAGUUUAGCAGGGUGAUGACGCAAAAAUUCGAGAUGUCGAUGAUGGGCGAGUUGAACUACUUCCUUGGGUUCCAAGUGAAGCAACUCAAGGACGGCACCUUCGUCUCCCAAACAAAGUACACGCAAGACUUGCUGAAGCGGUUUGGGAUGAAGGACGCCAAGCCCGCAAAGACUCCGAUGGGGACCGACGGACACACCGACCUCAACAAAGGAGGUAAGUCCGUUGAUCAAAAAGCAUACCGGUGUAGGAUCUAGGACACCGGCUAGAGGGGGGGGUGAAUAGACGGUUUUGACUAAAAACAACAAUACUAAGUAAAUUUAAUCAAUACAACAAGAGGAAUAAAUUUACUAGUGUCAAUAAGUAAACAAUGUAUGAAAGACAACUACGGAGAUUGAAUACUUGAAGAACAAUAAGCAAAACACUAAUCAAUUGCAAGGCAAUAAGUAAUGCUAGAAGGAAUAGACACCGAAAUUUAUCCCGUGGUAUCGGUGAUUUGCCGAUCACCCCUAAUCCACGUUGAGGUGGACUUCAAGCUCUCACUUGCUCCUCUAUCAAGACACGACUUGAUCUUUGAGCCAAGUGGACAAGAAAUCACUCAAUACCUCGAUUCCACUAAUGUCACCUUUGCCGCUCCGGCGAGGUAGGCGCGAACCCCUCACAAUCAACACCGCGGCUUCUCCACAAUCUUCUUGGAGAGCUCGACGGAGACAAUCACCCGAGCCGUCUAGGAGGCGGCAACCUCCAAGAGUAACAAGCCAACGACGCUUGCUCGGUGUACCACCUAGUGCCUCAAGAAUCACCAAAUGAUGCAAAUGCACUAGGAACCCUCAAUCUCUCACUAGAAUGCAAUCUCAAGCAAAGAGUGUGAGAGAGUGAGUUGGAGGAUCACAAAUGAGCUCAAUGUGUGCAAGGAAUAGCCAAGAGAGGUCUCACACACGAGCUACCCUUCUAUUUAUAGUCCCCCAUCUAAAACCAACCGUUAUGUGCAAAAGGGGCAGUUCUGCGCACACGCGGACCGUCCGCGCCCUAGGACCGGACGGUCCGCCGUACACCAUAACGGCUAUAAUGACCGUUGAAGCAUGUCAGAGCAUACUCAAAAGGUGGGUCCGGACAGUCCGCCCCUCAAGGCCGGACCGUCCGCGACCUGGCAAUUUCAAACACCCGAGCCUCGGAUCAAACGGAGUUAACACACGCGGACCGUCCGGCUAUAAAUCCCGGACCGUCCGCGACCUGAGACUGUACUGUCCGGACUGGUCCCCCGGACCGUCCGUAGUACAAAUCUAUAAAAACACACAGUCCCUGUCCAAAAACGAGUUAGACACAUGCGGACCGUCCGCGCCUUACAGGCGGACCGUCCGCCUAUAAUUCAGGGACUGACCCGAAGCCACCUUCCUCUGGUCAGGACUGCGGACAGUCCGGCCCUAAGGCCCGGACGGUCCGCAGUGCAAAAAAAAACACAGAGUCAACACAAAUGGUCAAACCUCGGACCUUCUGGAGGAUCACGGACGGUCCGCCCCCAAGGGCCGGACAGUCCGCGCGACCAAGACUUCUCAAAUUUCAAACAUGCUUUUGAAUGAACUUUUAACUCACGAAAUGAGAAGCGCUGUUAGUCCUUAUGCAAAUGCAACUACUUGAUGCUCUAUGAGGCACUAAGUUUUACACAGAUCUAAGUCAUUGACCCCUCUUAAUAGUACGGCUAUCUAGCCUACUAAUCCGGUCAGGUAUCUUCUCUAAACUCCUCAAGACCGGCAAAAGUAAAACCUAUAUUAUACCUUUGCCUUCAUCUGAUCCACAACCAAUGCGUAUGACUCUUCAACAUUUCCUGUUCUAUGUGGUCCAACCCUGCAUUCUUAUUUCUCCAAGAAUCGUUAGUCCACAAGUAGUUGUCAUUAAUUACCAAAACAUUACCAAAGGGGCCUAGAUGAUUCACAAUCUCCCCCUUUUUGGUAAUUGAUGACAACACCACAUAGUAUAUUAAAGAGAAGUUUAGUUUCUCCAAAUCUCUCUCAUACCUAAGGUAUAAGAUAGAUCUUGGAGAUGAGUUUCAUAGGACUUAUCUUGAUUUGAAGUUCUGUCCAAGAGAUAGAUAAAUCCAAAUAAAAACUCAGUAUGCAAGAAGGGCUCCCCCUAAGUGUGUGCAGGAUUAUUUGAAGUUGAAGAUAUAACACACAUAAUAUAUUGGAGCUUGAUGGAGACUUUCCUACAAUCAUGGUUAUCGAGGCAUACAAGAGAUGAUUCGUAGAGUGAGCGCAGCAAUUAUAAUCACAUCUCGAUUAACCACACACAGAGUAAUUUGAACUAAAACAUAGUUCAUCCCACAGAAUAUUACAGAUAAUAAUCCACAGACAUACGACAUAGAGGUACAGAUAAUAGUCCACAGACAUACGACAUAGAGUUAAUAGAUCAAACCAAGUUUCAAAUGCAUAAGACAUAAACUAAAGCGGCAUGAAAAAGGUAAAAUGCAUAUGCAUGGUCUUAGUGUCCACAUAGAACCACCAACUCCCCCUGAAGGAGACGCCUGACAACUUCUCAUCACUUCUCUCCCCCUUUGGCAUCAAUUGCCAUAAAGGAGAGGCUUUACUGAUCACUCGGCGGAGGAUGCAUGUUGUAAUAAUGAGUGCUGAAGGUGUCAAAUAGGGAGGAGAACUGGCCAAAGUCCUGCUGGAGCUGCUGCUGCCUCUGACUUAUAUCAUGCAUGUUGUCAGUUGUAGAAAGAUUGUCAAACUGACUGGAAAGAGCACCCAUGUUAUCUUGAAAACUUUGUUGCAUAUUAUUCAGCCUUGACAUGAUGGGAUCAGUGACAUUAGUGUGAAUUUGAUCACAAAAGUCAGAAAGUUCAGAGUUGAGCGCAUCCCAGUUGCUGUCAAAGCGAGACUGCAUGUCAUCGAGGCGGUGAUCCACAUGUGACAUCAACCCCUCAAAGCGAGUAUCAAUAUGAGUCUCCAGCCCUUGCUGCAUAUUGUGAAAAUAAGGAUCAAAAUAUCCUGGAGCAGGCUCCCAAUAGUGCUGAGGCUGAGGAGGAGGUGGAGGAGGAGGCAUCUGCUGUUCCUCAACAUUAGGAGCUGCUCCACCCUCAUAGCUAGGGUCUUCCUCAUCAUCUGGGAGCCUAGACAGUACUCAGCCAUAGAAAAUCUCCGCUUGGGAUAAGUCCAUCCUUGGAUAUCAAUGGGAUAAUCAGGAUGAACAUGAAGAAAAUCUUCAGCAUCCAUGGAUUCAGUGCCCCCAGCUGAGGAUUGGGCCUCUGAAUCAGUGGUCGGUGUGUAGUCAUCAUCAUUGCCACGAGGGCGCUUGGAUUUAAAGCGACCUGCAAGUUUCUUGCGGAGACCACCAAAACCACUGCAACAAGGUGACAGACAUCCAUAGAUAAAUAAUUGAGAUCAAUCACCACUUAUAAAAAGGAAUGGAAUGGUAAUGCUCUGCCAGGGUCCGGACGGUCCGCGCUAGGGGGCCGGACUGUCCGCGCCAGAGGCCCGGACGGUCCGCGUCCACCAGGCGGACGGUCCGCGACCGACCAGGGGCGACUCCAAGAACCCUAGCCGCCACAAGUGUUCACUUUGAUGUUUUUGCAGAUAAUACCCAGCCAAACAAGUUCAAAAUUUGGCAUAGCAUUGAUAUUGAGAAGAACUAUCAAUCCCACCAAUUAGAUUUUGAAACCCACUGCUCAAUUUCAGAUCAGAGAAGAAACCCAAAUAAUCUCAAAGUUGAUGAAAUUUGAUUAAAUCCACAAGAUUUGAAGAUACCGUGAUGAAGACAUGUUGAGGGAAUGUUGCUGCAAGCUGUCGGACUGUCCGCACGCAACUUCACUUCACGGUCCGCGCACACUCGACACAAGAGAGUAUAUGGCGAGUGGAGAGCAAGAGAGAACAAGCGAAUGGGCACAACUGGCAAGUCUGCGGGCUCUGUCCCUUUUUCUGCCCUGUCGCGGAUGGUCCGCGCUGGGGCGGCGGACGGUCCGCGCCCUGAUGAUCUCAGACGGUCUGCGAGGCUGCUCGGACUGUCCAUUUCCUGAUGCUGCGGACGGUCCGCGGUCCAUGGGCGGACGGUCCGCGGCCUGAUACUCAUUUUUCAAUUUCUGUCCACUUUCUGAUUUUGAAUUCCGAAUCCGAAUUGGUGCUCAUAUAUGGACAUUUUGACCAAUCCAAGAGUUGGUAUGCAUGCAUAUACAUAUGAUGUAAUUGAGUAAUGCAAGAUUUUUGAAUUAAACUAUCUAGAGCAAUUAGAAAUGAAAAAUGCACAAAUAAUACCAAAUAAAUAGCAUAAAGAGCAUACUUAGACCCGAGAUGCAAGACGACACAUGUGUGAUCAACUUCAAGUCACAUUUGAGAUAUCGAUCACAUUCAUUUCACUUCUUAGAGAACAAAAUCUUGUUUCAUCCAAAGGUUUUGUAAAAAUGUCUGCUAAUUGAUCAUCGGUGCCAAUGGAAUAAAUAGAGAUAUCUCCCUUGCCAACAUGAUCUCUUAAGAAGUGAUGCCGUAUAUCAAUAUGCUUGGUUCUUGAGUGUUGGACCGGAUUGGUAGCCAAUUUUACCGCACUCUCAUUAUCACACAUGAGAGGCACAUUCUUGAAAAUAAUUCCAUAGUCCAAUAAGGUUUGUUUCAUCCAUAAUAGUUGAGCACAACAAUUUCCGGCCGAUAUAUAUUCCGCCUCGGCGGUAGAUAGAGCAACCGAAUUUUGUUUCUUAGAAGACCAUGAAACAAGAGAUCUACCAAGAAAUUGACAACAACCGGAGGUGCUUUUUCUAUCAACUUUGCACCCCGCAUAGUCCGAAUCCGAAUAUCCAAUUAAUUCAAAUUGAGCACCUUUGGGAUACCAUAGACCAAUAUUGGGAGUAUACUUCAAAUAUCUUAGAAUUCUUUUAGCGGCCUUCAAGUGAAUCUCUCUAGGAGAAGCUUGAAAUCGAGCACACAUGCAUACACUAAACAUAACAUCGGGCCUAGAUGCGGUAAUAUAAAGCAAACUACCAAUUAUUGAACGAUAAAGUUUUUGAUCAACUAUAGUACCUCCUUCAUCUAAGUCUAGAUGACCAUUUGUUGCCAUUGGAGUCUUGAUAGGCUUAGCAUUUUCUAAACCAAACUUCUUGAGCAUGUCCUUCAAAUAUUUUGAUUGACUUAUAAAAAUUCCAUCUUUCAAUUGUUUGAUUUGAAGGCCAAGAAAGAAGCUCAAUUCUCCUAUCAUAGACAUUUCAAAUUCUUUUGACAUCAUUUUUCCGAACUCCUCACAAAAUAAUUCAUUAGUAGAUCCAAAAAUAAUAUCAUCAACGUAGAUUUGACAAACAAAUAAAUCUUUGCCAAUUCUUUUAGUGAAUAGAGUAGUGUCAACCUUCCCAAUUUUGAAGUCUUUGGAAAGCAAGAAAUCCCUAAGCCUUUCAUACCAAGCGCGUGGAGCUUGCUUAAGCCCAUAGAGAGCUUUAGAAAGCUUGAACACAUGGUUAGGUCUUUUGGGGUCCUCAAAACCGGGAGGUUGUUCAACAUACACUAGUUCACUAAUCUUACCAUUUAGAAAGGCACUCUUUACAUCCAUUUGGUAGAGCUUGAUAUUGUGUGCACAAGCAUAAGCAAGUAGAAUCCGGAUUGCUUCUAAUCUUGCUACGGGAGCAAAUGUCUCCCCAAAAUCCAAUCCUUCAAUUUGAGUAUAUCCUUGUGCAACUAAUCUUGCCUUGUUUCUUACUACCACACCAUCUUCAUUGUGCUUGUUGCGAAACACCCAUUUUGUACCAAUAACAUUGUGGUUCUUUGGUCUCUCAACAAGCUCCCAAACUUCAUUUCGAGCGAAGUUAUUUAAUUCUUCAUGCAUUGCAUUCACCCAAUCAACAUCAAGUAGAGCUUCAUCUACACGGUUAGGUUCCAUACAAGAUACAAAAGAGAAAUGUUCACAAAAUGAAGCUAUGCGAGAGCGAGUUUGAACACCCUUACUAAUAUCACCCACAAUUUGAUCAACCGGGUGAUCCUUCACAAUGGAAUGAUGAAUUCUUGAUACCGUUUGAUAGUUGCUUGUUGAAGCAUUAGGAGGAACCGUAGGUCUUGAAGUACCUUGAUCAUGAGUAUCCAUGGUUUCAUCGAGUUGUUGGCUUUGGUGAUCUUCCUCAUUUAUAGUUGAGGAUGAAGGAAUGACAACCACACUAUCUUCAUCAUCAUCUUCCUUUGGUUUUAUUUCACCAAUGGCCAUUGUUUUCAUUGCAUUUAUCAAUUGAGUUCCCCCAACAUCAUCGAGAUUAUCACUCUCAUCUUGAGAUCCAUUUGUUUCAUCGAAUUCAACAUCAUAUGCUUCCUCAAUAAUACCAUGAGUUUUGUUGAAGACUCUAUAAGCCUUACUAUUUGAUGAAUAUCCAAGAAGAAAGCCCUCAUCACAUUUCUUCUCAAAUUUAGAAAGCCGGCUUCCCUUUCUCAAAAUAUAACAUUUGCAACCGAAUACCCUAAAAUAUGAGAUAUUUGGCUUUCUACCAAUGAGCAAUUCAUAUGGAGUUUUCUUCAAGAGCUUGUGACAAUAUAGUCUAUUUGAUGAAUGACAAGCGGUAUUUAUUGCCUCGGCCCAAUAAGAAUCCGAUAUAUUAUAUUCCGCUAACAUAGACCUUGCCAUAUCAAUAAGAGUUCUAUUCUUUCUUUCAACAAUACCGUUUUGUUCCGGGGUAUAUUUGGAAGAGAAUUCAUGUUUGAUACCCUUGUCAUCACAAUAUUGAUCAAUUCUUGCAUUUUUGAAUUCCGACCCAUUAUCACUUCUAACCUUUUUGAUGUCAAAGUCAAAUUGAUUUUGAGCCAAUAUAGCAAAUGACUUGAAUGUUUCAAACACAUUGGAUUUGUCUCGUAGAAAAUAAACCCAAGUAAAUCUUGAAUAGUCAUCCACAAUCACAAGACAAUAAGAAUUACCACCAAUACUUACAAAAGAUGUGGGCCCAAAUAAAUCCAUGUGAAGUAAUUCCAAAGGUCGAUGAGUGGACAUUUGACUUUUAUUUGGAUGAGUGUUUGCCACUUGCUUACCGGCUUGACAAGAGCUACACAAUUUGUUCUUUUCAAACUUCACAUCUUUUAAGCCUCGAACUAAGUCAUGCUUGGUUAGCCGAUUGAGUUGCUUCAUCCCAACAUGACCAAGUCUUCUAUGCCAUAACCAACCUAGUGAAGCUUUUGAAAAUAAGCAAGUUGUGAGCUUUGCCUCAUUAGAUGAGAAAUCAACAAGAUAAAGAUUUUCAUGUCUAAAACCUUUAAAUUUAAGAUUGCUACCAUCAACACUAGAGAUAAUAACAUCUUCAACUGUGAAAUUGCAACAAAAUCCUAAAUCACAUAAUUGAGCUACGGAAAGUAAAUUAAAAUUCAAAGACUCAACCAAUAGCACAUUUGAUAUAGAAUGAUCAUUUGAGAUAGCAAUUUUACCCAAACCUUUAACCUUUCCUUUACGAUUAUCUCCAAAUGUGAUACUAUCAUAAUUUGAGCAAUCUUCCUCACUCAUUUGGGUAAACAUCUUCAUAUCCCCGGUCAUGUGUUGAGUACAUCCACUAUCCAACACCCAAUGAUUCCCUCCCGCCUUGUAGUUUACCUACAAAAGGAAAUCAAUCUCUUUUAGGUACCCAAACUUGCUUGGGUCCUUGGAUGUUAGUGACCAAGGUCUUUGGCACCCAAAUAGCUUUCUUUUUGUUUCCAACAAUUGAAGUACCAACAAAUUUAGCAUGAACACCUUUUGCAUUAUGAGAAAGAACAUAACAAUGCUCAAAACAAGUGGAGGAUACAUGUUUGAACUUGGGACAAUUUUUCUUAACAUAUCCCUUUUUGUGACACUUGUGACACACUUUGUCACAUUCUUUCACAAACAAUGUCUUUUGCUUUACAAAAGCAUUCUUUCCUUUCUUGGGAACAUAUCCAAGACCUUCACGGUUAAGAGAGCAUCGUUGACUUCCCAAUAUGAAAUCCAAUUUCUUCUUACCACCAUAUGCCUUUUCUAGGUCAUGAGUUAGAUUAUUUAUUCUAUCCACUAACACUUCAUUCUCAACAAUAAUUUUUGAUUCAUCAAGAGCAAUAUUAUCAUUGAGAGAAAUUUUGCAUUUAUCACAAAUAGAGUUAGUAGGUAGUGGUUCACUUGUAAGACUAUCAAGUAAGUCACAAGUGACUCCAACAUCCUUAGUGACCACCUCAACUUCAUGCACAAUAGAUGAUUUUUGAGCAUCCGCAAGCUUCUCACAAUUUUCUUUGAGGUCAUUGUGAGAGGUCUUGAGCUCCUCAAAAGACACUUGGAGGUUUUUAUACAAUUCCUUCAAGGCCUUAAAUUUUUCUUUUUCUUUGUGCAUGUAGUCAUCGGCCUCACCUAACAUUCUAACAAGAUCAUCAUAUGAAUAGCCAUCAUCAUCAACAUCAUCGAUAUCAUCAUCAUCAUUUAUAUCAUUUAAAUCGGUGAUGAUUUUUACCUUAGCAUCUCCCUUUGCCAUGAGGCAAUGGGGGGAUGAGAAGAGUGAGGGAGCUUCCUUGAUGGCAAUUCCGGCAUUAAGCUUGGAUGAGGUGUCAUCAUCAUCAUCAUCCGAGCUAUCAUCCGAGUCCCAUUCAACUAAGUAGGCUUUGCCAUCUUUCUUCUUGUUAUAGUAUUUCUUUUUCUUCUUGUCACUUUCAUCUUUGCCCUUCUUCUUCUUGCUUGGACAAUUCAUGGCAAUGUGACCGGGUUCCCCACACUCAAAACAUUUUCUAUCAUUGAAAGCAUUUCUUCUAGAUGUUUGACCUCUUCUAGGUUGACCUCUUUUCAUCUUCAUGAAUUUAUUGAAUUUCCUUACAAAUAAAGCCAUGUCACCAUCACUCUCACUUUCAUUUUCUUCAUCAUUGCUAUCUUCCUUUUCAAUUGCCUUUGAGGCCUUGGCUUUGAGAGCAAUAGAUUCAUUUUUCACCUUCUUUGCCAAACUUAAAGCAUCGGCUUGUGACUUCUUAAAUAUAUCUUGAGUGAGAAUUUCUCCCAAUACUUCGGUUGGAGAGGUUGUAGAUAGAUCACUCCUUACUAGCAUUGUCACAAUAGUCUCAUAUUUCUCCAGAAGUGAUCUAAGGAACUUGUGUGUGAAAUCCACAUCCGGUACAUUAAAACCAAGUCCCUUGAGUUCAUUUACAAUCUCAUUCAAUCGAUUGAACAUAUCGGAUACACUCUCAUCUUCUUUCAUAAUAAAUUGCUCAAACUUCCCUUUGCACACAUAUAGUUUGGCACUCUUCACAAUUGUAGUUCCUUCAUGAAUUUCCAUUAGUUUUACCCAAAUCUCAUGAGCGGUUGUGAGAUUCUUGAUACGAUUGAACUCAUUUAUAUCAAGAGCAUCAUAAAAGACAUUCAUGGCUUGAUCAUUUGUGAGGAUAUUCUCAUUAUCACUAACGGAUGGUUCAUCUUCCUUCAAUACAACAAAUCCAUCUCUAACAAUUGGCCAAAUUUUUCCACCCAUUGCUCUAAGAUGCAUUGACAUUCUUAUUUUCCAAUAAUCAUAAUUGUUUCCAUCAAAGUGCGGUGGCUUCCCAAUGUGCACAUUGUUGUUACUAGCCAUUUUGUCCCACUCCGGGAUGAUUAGAUCCACAAACAAUGGAGUCCUCGGCUCUGAUACCACUUGUAGGAUCUAGGACACCGGCUAGAGGGGGGGUGAAUAGACGGUUUUGACUAAAAACAACAAUACUAAGUAAAUUUAAUCAAUACAACAAGAGGAAUAAAUUUACUAGUGUCAAUAAGUAAACAAUGUAUGAAAGACAACUACGGAGAUUGAAUACUUGAAGAACAAUAAGCAAAACACUAAUCAAUUGCAAGGCAAUAAGUAAUGCUAGAAGGAAUAGACACCGAAAUUUAUCCCGUGGUAUCGGUGAUUUGCCGAUCACCCCUAAUCCACGUUGAGGUGGACUUCAAGCUCUCACUUGCUCCUCUAUCAAGACACGACUUGAUCUUUGAGCCAAGUGGACAAGAAAUCACUCAAUACCUCGAUUCCACUAAUGUCACCUUUGCCGCUCCGGCGAGGUAGGCGCGAACCCCUCACAAUCAACACCGCGGCUUCUCCACAAUCUUCUUGGAGAGCUCGACGGAGACAAUCACCCGAGCCGUCUAGGAGGCGGCAACCUCCAAGAGUAACAAGCCAACGACGCUUGCUCGGUGUACCACCUAGUGCCUCAAGAAUCACCAAAUGAUGCAAAUGCACUAGGAACCCUCAAUCUCUCACUAGAAUGCAAUCUCAAGCAAAGAGUGUGAGAGAGUGAGUUGGAGGAUCACAAAUGAGCUCAAUGUGUGCAAGGAAUAGCCAAGAGAGGUCUCACACACGAGCUACCCUUCUAUUUAUAGUCCCCCAUCUAAAACCAACCGUUAUGUGCAAAAGGGGGCAGUUCUGCGCACACGCGGACCGUCCGCGCCCUAGGACCGGACGGUCCGCCGUACACCAUAACGGCUAUAAUGACCGUUGAAGCAUGUCAGAGCAGACUCAAAAGGUGGGUCCGGACAGUCCGCCCCUCAAGGUCGGACCGUCCGCGACCUGGCAAUUUCAAACACCCGAGCCUCGGAUCAAACGGAGUUAACACACGCGGACCGUCCGGCUAUAAAUCCCGGACCGUCCGCGACCUGAGACUGUACUGUCCGGACUGGUCCCCCGGACCGUCCGUAGUACAAAUCUAUAAAAACACACAGUCCCUGUCCAAAAACGAGUUAGACACAUGCGGACCGUCCGCGCCUUACAGGCGGACCGUCCGCCUAUAAUUCAGGGACUGACCCGAAGCCACCUUCCUCUGGUCAGGACUGCGGACAGUCCGGCCCUAAGGCCCGGACGGUCCGCAGUGCAAAAAAAAACACAGAGUCAACACAAAUGGUCAAACCUCGGACCUUCUGGAGGAUCGCGGACGGUCCGCCCCCAAGGGCCGGACAGUCCGCGCGACCAAGACUUCUCAAAUUUCAAACAUGCUUUUGAAUGAACUUUUAACUCACGAAAUGAGAAGCGCUGUUAGUCCUUAUGCAAAUGCAACUACUUGAUGCUCUAUGAGGCACUAAGUUUUACACAGAUCUAAGUCAUUGACCCCUCUUAAUAGUACGGCUAUCUAGCCUACUAAUCCGGUCAGGUAUCUUCUCUAAACUCCUCAAGACCGGCAAAAGUAAAACCUAUAUUAUACCUUUGCCUUCAUCUGAUCCACAACCAAUGCGUAUGACUCUUCAACAUUUCCUGUUCUAUGUGGUCCAACCCUGCAUUCUUAUUUCUCCAAGAAUCGUUAGUCCACAAGUAGUUGUCAUUAAUUACCAAAACAUUACCAAAGGGGCCUAGAUGAUUCACAACCGGUCAAUGAUAGGUUCUUUGCUUUACUUAUGUGCUAGUAGACUGGAUAUUAUGCUUAGCGUAUGCCUGUGUGCUAGAUUUCAAUCCGAUCCUAAGGAGUGUCAUUUAGUGGCGGUAAAGCGAAUUCUUAGAUAUUUGGUUGCUACGCCUUGCUUCGGGCUCUGGUAUCCAAAGGGGUCUACCUUUGACUUGGUUGGAUACUCAGAUUCCGACUAUGCUGGAUGUAUGGUCGAUAGGAAGAGUACAUCAGGGACGUGCCAAUUCUUAGGAAGGUCCCUGGUGUCGUGGAACUCUAAGAAACAAACCUCCGUUGCCCUAUCCACCGCUGAGGCCGAGUACGUUGCCGCAGGACAGUGUUGCGCGCAACUACUUUGGAUGAGGCAAACCCUCCGGGACUUUGGCUACAAUCUGAGCAAAGUCCCACUCCUAUGUGAUAAUGAGAGUGCUAUCCGCAUGGCGGAAAAUCCUGUUGAACACAGCCGCACAAAGCACAUAGACAUCCGGCAUCACUUUUUGAGAGACCACCAGCAAAAGGGAGAUAUCGAAGUGUUUCAUGUUAGCACCGAGAACCAGCUAGCCGAUAUCUUUACCAAGCCUCUAGAUGAGAAGACCUUUUGCAGGUUGCAUAGUGAGCUAAAUGUCUUAGAUUCGCGGAACUUGGAUUGAUUUGUAGCAUACAUGUGUUUAUGCCUUUGAUCAUAUUCCUUAUGCAUUUUGUUGCUUAAUAUUGGUGCUCAAGUUGUACAAACACUCCCUGGACCUCACAAGUCCGUUGCAAAGUGAUGCACAUGUUUAGGGGGAGAUGUGUUACAACUUGACCCUUUGAGACUAACCCUGUGCUUGAGUUUGAUGCUUUAGUCUUAAAGAAGGAUUGAAAGGGAAAAGGUGGACUUGGACCAUGCAAGACUUCCACUGCACUCCGAUGAAAAGAGUAACUUUUCCAAGUUCAUCUUUAAAUUCUUAUUGCCUAUUUUGCUCUUAAUUGAAAAUUUUGGUGAGGCAAUGAGGUUAAAGGGCCAAGAUUGAUCCCGUUUUGGUGCUUGAUGCCAAAGGGGGAGAAAAUAAAGGCCAAAGUGAUAAAUGGAUCAGCUACCACUUGAGAGAUUUUGAAAACAGUAGAAUAGAGUUUUUUUUAGAAUGUUGUCUCUCUUGUCAAAAGUUGACUUCUUGUGGGGAGAAGUGUUGAUUAUGGGAAAAAGGGGGAGUUUUUGGAAUCUUGAAUCAAUUUUCUUUGGAAAACCUCUCUUGAUGUCUCUACAAGUGGAUUUGACUUAGAGAUAGGAUUUUGAGGUUGAUUUGAAAAACAAACCAAGUGGUGGCAAAGGAUGAUCCAUAUAUGCCAAAACUGAAUCAAAAUAAAUUUGAGUGUUUAUUAGAAGUGAUAUUGCACUUGUUUUAGUUGCUUUAUGUUGUGUUGGCAUAAAUCACCAAAAAGGGGGAGAUUGAAAGGGAAAUGUGCCCUUGGGCCAUUUCUAAGUAUUUUGGUGAUUGAGUGCCAACACAGGUGCUUAAAUGUGAAUCUAUACCCAUGGAUGGACAAAGUGCAAAUCAAGAGAAAAGGUAUGUUUCUAAGCCUUAGUACAUUGUUUUGAAGACUAAUGUAUUGUGUCUAAGUGCUUGAAGGAGAAAACAAGUCAGAGAAAAGUUGGCUGUGUACAGCCAAAAGGCUGUUCGGUCUGGAGCACCGGACUGUCCGGUGGUGCACCGGACAGUGUCCGGUGCGCCAGGCUGCCUCGAGCGAAGUGGUCGCUCUCGGGAAUUCGCCGACGGCGUACGGCUAAAAAUCACCGGACUGUCCGGUGUGCACCGGACUGUCCGGUGAGCCAACGGUCGGCCGGGCCAACGGUCGGCCGCGCGAUCCGCGCGCGACACGUGGCCGAGCCAACGGUCGGAAGGGGGCACCGGACUGUCCGGUGUGCACCGGACUGUCCGGUGCGUCAACGGCUCCCAGAUCUGCAACGGUCGACUGCGCUGUUUAAGGAAGGAAAUCGGGCACCGGACAGUGUCCGGUGUGCACCGGACUGUCCGGUGCGCCCGACGACAGAAGGCAAGGAUGGCCUUCCAGAUUUGUUCUCAACGGCUCCUAGCUGCCUUGGGGCUAUAAAAGGAACCCCUAGGCGCAUGGAGGAGAACACCAAGCAUUCCUACAACAUUCCUAAGCACCAAGACAUCGAUUCCACGCAUUUGGUUCAUUGUGAUAGCAUCUAGAGCUCUUGUUGAGUUGUGAACUCAUUGAGUUGUGUUGCGAGCUCUUGUUGCGACUUGUGUGCGUGCUGUUGCUCUGAUUUUGAGUCUUGUGUGCGUUGCUAGUUUCUCCCUUACUCCGUAUUUCUUUGUGAAUCUUAAGUGUAAGGGCGAGAGGCUCCAAAGUGUGGAGAUUCCUCGCAAACGGGAUAUUGAAAGGCAAAGCAAAACACCGUGGUAUUCAAGUUGGUCUUUGGACCGCUUGAGAGGGGUUGAUUGCAACCCUCGUCCGUUGGGACGCCACAACGUGGAGUAGGCAAGCGUUGGUCUUGGCCGAACCACGGGAUAAACCACUGUGUCAUCUCUGUGUUUGAUCUCUUGUGGUAUUGUGUUUUGCUGAGACUCCUUUCUAGCCACUUGGCAAUCAUUGUGCUAACACUUAACAAGUUUUUGUGGCUAUAAGUUUAAGUUUUUACAGGAUCACCUAUUCACCCCCCCUCUAGGUGCUCUCACAUAACACGACAUAUCUUACAGGCAACCGCCUGCAGGCAUAUGCACAAUGCCCUCAGCCAUCACAGGUCCCAAAAGCACGGAUGUACACAACGCGCGCAACCUUCACAGGUCCCAAAAGCACUUUGCCAUAGCUGGUACUACGGGCCCUCUAGCGUACUACUGUUGUUGAAAAACUGUAUUAGAGGCUAAAUAUAUGUGUGUAUCAUAAAAGUAGGAUCGUAAACAACCAUAUAAUCUUCAAAGAUGUAGGUAGGAGGUGGAGCUACCGAAGUUUAGCACAUGCAUCUGUGUGGCCGUCAUCAUCGUCCUUGAAAGUUGCCUAGAGGGGUUGAAUAUAAGAAAUCUGAAACUUACAAACUUCAACACAACCUCAAACCCUAGAAUAGUGUUAGAACGAAAAUAAGAACAAUUGGGGUGAGGGAGAGAGAGAUAUUUUUCAACUACGUCUAGGGACAUACGAGCGAUUUGUUUAUUCAAGGUUCGGCUCUUAAGAACCUACGUCGGCAUUAAGGAUUCCACUAAGGAUGAGUCUUUUUCAACUACUUCCCUCUCUCAAACAGUCACGAAGACUGAUCGAGUUUUCUUCUCUUUUCCAGGGACCUCAAGCCCUACAAGGAUCAUCAAACACUUACGUGUCUCUUGCUAGCUCGUUACAACAUGAGAAUGGGGAUGAGAGCGAGAGCGAGAAUUAAAACCAAAAUAAUAUCACAAGAACUUGCAACACUCAAAAGCACAAGGCACUAAAUCUCUCAAACUUGAAUCGAUCGGAUGUGGCACUUGCGUGGCUUUGAAUGCGUGGGAGAUGUUGCUUUGAAUGUUUGAAGGCUUGAUGUAGCUCUUGUGUCUUCAAUGUGUUGGUUUGGGGGUCUUUAUAUCCCCAACCGCCCCAAAUAACCGUUGCAAAAGUGGGGCUAAAACUGCACUGUCGGGUGAUGCACCGGACCCCCUACAGUGUCGGUCUGGUGCACCACCGGACCGUCUAACCCUGACUGUAGCAGGUGACCGUUCUAACUUCUGAGGGGCAUCGAACCGUCCACAGUGAAGGUCCGGAGACCAUCGAACCACUGCCACAUCACAUAGUCGUUGGAGGAAGCCGACCAUUGAAUCUUGUCAGACGCUCCAAUGUGCCACCCUAUUGGUCCGACGUGCUAGCCUCCAAAUUGCUCAUUUACACCCUAUUGAACCAAAUUGCUCAUUUAGAAUAUCAAACUCUUUCUCACAUUAUUAGACACUUAGGGUGAAGUUUGGGCUUGUGUGUAGGAUUAAAAUUGUAAAAAAAAUAGGGAAAUCUAAUUCAUCCCUAAUUUUGGACAUCUUGAUCCUUUCACUUAGCCUCUCAAUCAUUUGCAACCUCUCCCAAUUUCUUGUAUGAUACUAUAUCCUAUGAUACACUGGAUAUGUCCGGUGAGUAAAAAGCCUCACACUCGCCUACAAUGUUCUCUAGGUGUCAUGUAUGGUGCACCAAGUACGGUGCACAUCGAACACGCUGGUGUUAAGUAACUCCUUUUCUUCCAUAAGGGUAUCUAUUACUAGAUUUUACGGGUGUGUAUCGGCACUCGUCACUAGACUUACUUAAGUCAUGCUACUAACCGGUGUCUCUUUAUGGUACUGCCAAAGAAAAAAAAAUAAAGAUCAUCUUGCUAAUUUGUAUGUCCAACAAUUUUGUCGACACGUAAAACUAGUCAACCAUUAACUUUCUUACUCAUCCUUUGAAAAUCAAUAAUUUAAUACCAUUCGUAGGGACACGAAAACCAUAUGAGCCUAAUAAAUCUCUAUUAUUAUUACGACGUAACCCAAUUUACUUUUAUAAAAUACACGUUAGUCACAAUAAUCCAUUGAUGUCAUUAAUCACUGAAAUCCAAAUAAAAGACACAAAAUCAUUAUAUAUAUAUAAUAGUGCAUAGCAACCCGGCCAGGGCCCAUUCGUGUCCAGCGCGCGAUCCCUUUCACAGAAGCUGAAACUGCGAUGACACGCCAGAGAGAAAGUGCAAAACGGCAAAAAACCCAAACGAACUAGCUUUAAUUACGAGCAACCAGCGACGGAUCGAGCAUCAGCAGUAGCAGCGGCCAUUAGUACGUCUGUCAAUUUGCAUAACCGCCGCGGAUUGCAACGGCGCAGAGAAAGUGUGUGUGAGCAUUUCCAGUCCAGCUGCUUUCGAUCCCAAAAGUCAACAAGGAACACAAGGUACGUACAGUACUUUUCAGACAGUUGAGCACACAGCACGCAGUCACCAACAUUUCCACGGCCGGCGGCCGGGCAUGGGCAGUCAGAACCAAUCCGAGGCGACGGAUGAAUGGACCGGUGUGUGGCGCGGCGUCCACCUCGGUCAGCAGUACUGCAGUGUCCUACGUCGUUUGGUUAAGGUUUAGGUGACGAGCCUAAUUAAAGCAUACUGAGAGGCUACUUCUACUACGUACCUGCCGCGCCGGCCGGCCGGCUCCGGUAGGAACCAUUUUAAAACGAAUCCUGUCAAGAUCAUCAUCUGGUAGCCUGACUGAACUGAAAUUAAGAAGCGGCUCAAUUUGUUCAUCAGCGUGCGUGCAUGUAUAGUUGUAUACCCUAGCUAGUUUCAACUUGUCCACAUGAAGAUGAAGGAAUCGUAUUCUCAAUUCGUCGCAUAUAUACUAGAAAGAAAGCGCGCGGUACGUGCAAGUGGGAUCUCAUGGCACCAGAGGGCUGAGGCUGUUCGAUCUGUUUUCAGAUGAAGAAGAGAAUCGAAACCUUUUUAGCGAGGAAUUUUAAUUUACGCAGGCACAUAUAUAGCGGGCGGGCGGGGCGAUAGGAUGCAUGGUUGAGUGCGCAGGUGAUGAGUCAGCCCUAGCUGGACGAGAGAUGUGCAUGUAAGUAUACAUAUCCACAAACGGAUGGAUGACGCGCGCGGACGACCACGGCGUACAGAGAGACAGCCCUAUCUCUCUCGCCGUACGUUCGAGUGGAUCGGACCGCAUCGUCGUCUCCCUGCAUAUAUAAUUCCUCCAGAAAAGUGGCGCUAGCUUUCCGGCUCGCGUCGCCGUCCGCCUCCGGCCGCUGUCGCUCAGCGCACGCGAGAGCACGGCGAUGCAUGCGCCGGUAUGGCCCGGUGUCAUCGGGCGGGGCCGGCACAUCCGCCCGCGUACCAUGACGUCGGCGCCGAGCCAUGCAUGCAAACGUUCACCCCCGCGGCCCCGCGGUCUGUUAAAGUAGUUGAAACUUGACUAAAUUUAUUGUAAUAAACAGUAGUAUUCAUAUCUACAUCUCCAAAUCGAUUUAUUAUAGAAAAAGUACAUCUUUUCAUCUAAUAUAUGUUUAGAUCAUAAAUAUUAAUAUUUUUUGUAAACCCUUAAUCUAACUUAGAAGCAUUUGAUGAUUUCUUAAAAACGAAAGUUGUAUUCUAUUUUUUUGGAACCAGGGAAAUGGAUGAUAGAAUUGAUUGAAGUACGCGUACAAUUAUCUCAAGUUAAUUAAAAACCGUAUAUUAAUUUAUACGGUGCGUGAUAAUGUACAUGCAUGUGUAUCUUAUCCAUCACCAACCUCUCUCUCUGUAUACUACUAUAGCUACGAAGGGAGAUCAUCGACCAAUUGACGACGACGUUACCGUAUUUAUCAAUAUAUACGGUAACCGCGCGCGCGCGUCGUCUCCGAAAGAUCCCUUUCGAUGUGUAUAACAUAUACAUAUAAAAUACGUACUCAGCAUCACUCACGGCGUACGCAUCUGGGAGUAGCUACCGUACCAAUUGGAUCGGAUACUCACUCCCAGCGGUCGCAAAGCAAGCCCACAUAUACCAUAUAUAUACAUACAUGCUACGUACUAUCAUCUGUAUACGGCCGGAUCGACACAUACGGCUGCAGGUCGAUCGUCGUCGUCCGUCGUCGGUCGGAGCCACCACCAGGGCCAGCUAGCAGCUAGCUUGGAUCGGUACGGUUAACGGUUCUUCAGAAGCUGAUGGGGUAGACGUGCUGCAUGUUGGGGUAGAAGAGCCCCCAGUUCUGCUCCACGCCGCUCUCCUUCUGGUUCUCGUUGAACAUGGAGAAGAGGUAGGUCUCGAUGGCGCCGGGGUGGCGCGGCGUCCCGCGCCCGACGUGGUUGAUGAGGUACUGGUUGUACACCCUCGCGUUGGCCGGCGUGGCCUGGACGCCGCCGCCGGACGGCCACCCGCUCUCCGACACCACGAGCGGCACGCCGGAGCCGCCGUUCUUGCCCAUGGCGACGUAGAAGGCGUCGACGGUGGUGUCGAAGAGGUUCUGGUACCCGUAGGCGCCGUCCUGCACGACGGUGCCGGAGGAGGUGAAGAGCGCGUAGCUCAUGUCCAUGGCGCUGGGGUUGUAUGCCCAGGCCAGGUACGGGUAGAUGUUGGCCAUGAGCGGCGACCCGGUGCGGGCCAGGAACUGCAGCACGGGGCCCAUGUACCCGCGCGCCUCGCCGGUGAACUCCGCGGCGGACGGCGGGCUGUACACGCCCAGGAUGGCCUGCGACACCGACGUCGUCACCUUGAUGUGGCCCAGCCCGGCCGCCGCCAGCGCCGCGUGCACGUUCUCCAUGGCCGGCGCCAGGUCCUGCGCCGCGCCGCCGGCCACCUCGUUGCCCACGCACACGUAGCGGAACGACACGGACGGGUACGCCUGGAUGUUGUUGCGCACCCACGACGCGGCCGCCGCGGGGCUAGCCGCGAUGUUGGACAGCACGUCGUUGGGGGCGCCCACGGCCACGCUGAUGCCCGUGCCGCCCACCGCCUGCAGCGCGCCCUGGUCCGGCGCGUACAGCCGCAUCGCCGAGAUGCCGUUCGCCUUGUACAUGCUCACCACCGUGCUCGCCGCCGGCAGGUUGUUGGCGCUCAUGCCGUAGCACACCCCGAUGGCCUCAGCACCUGCGAUCGAAACGCACAUACGUCGUACCAAUACUUAUUAGUUAAUCAUAAUUAAUGCUAGUGAUACCAAUAUAUCAUGCUUUCGUCUUAUUAUUAAUAAAAAAAGUCCAUGGUUGUUUUGGAUGAACAAUGUCGUGCUACACAAUGCGAAGAUGUCAGUCUCUAUAGCCUCCCGUUGCCCACACACUCGGAAGAAAAAGCCUUAUCUGUUCGCACGCCACACACUGCACCCGCCUCCCUCUCCUCUCUCCGCUUCGUCUUAUUAACGUUAAUCCCGUGCUUACUAAUGGGCCUUAUUAUUACUUGAUUAAUUAACCACGGUAAAUUUAUUAUUUACUGUAUCACUAUCGACUUCCCAUAUAAGGAACAUUAAUUAAUUGCCACUCCUAGCUUCUAAGUAUUAAGCAUGCAGUAAAAAUACGGUGAAUGGAAUGGAAUAUUACAAUUACAAGCAAGGAAAAAGAAACGAAAGAAAGUGUACAAAUUAAUAAAAAUACUAGAACUGAACAAGAAGCAGCAGGUCGCAGCGAGAAGAGGCGGUGCGUGUAGAAUUAAAGGAAACCCGACGAUCCACUGGUUUCCUAACCCUAGAGGAAAGCGACAUUUAACUGAAACUUUGUAUCUAUGCAUACUCCUCCUAAACCUUGCUUAUUCCUUCUCGCUCUCUGUAUUUCUGGAGGACUCUUUAUUGCUGAUGUUACGUGAAACCAGUUUUUUUUUAAUCUCUGGCCGGACUGGGGGUUGUCGCUGCGUGCAAGAAACUAGCUAGGAUCAGAGCGAGUGGAAUUUAGCUAGCUCGCUCGAUCGGUCACCAGAGCAACGACCUUAAACAACGGACUCAACUUUGACCCCUCUGCUGGUGCGUACUGCGGCGUGCAACAUUUGAUCGGUAAAAGAUUUUCAACAGGACUGCAUGCAACAAGUAUGACACUAUUAUUAAUUAGUCAACUUAGGAAAUGGAACAUACAGUAUGCUUAGAGGGAGAGAUGGAGAAGUAGAGGACCACAUGCAUGAUGCUUGCUAGAGAAACAGAGACAGGGGUGUGUACUGUGGGGAUAAAGCUAGCUAGCUCUUGGUCCAACGUCCGCACCACGACCGUUGGAUAGUCCACGUAUGAUCGAUGUGGAUCGCCAAAGCCGUUAGCUAGCUAACGUACGCUAACCUCUAAUAAUCCUUAAUGCUAGUGAGUCGGUUGUUUGUGCUGCAUCGGUCGAUGAUCGUCCUGCACCACCAGCCGGCCGGCGUACCCGUACGUAGACACGGGCAGCUAAGACGCCGGCCGGUGUGUGGCGACGGCCGGCCGGCGAAAAACCGAUGAUGGAGUGGAGAGGAAGACGCAACGCAAAAGGAGGAUAUGGCUGGCCGGCGGCCAGGUGGUGGGCAGCGACGGGUUGGAUUGUUGCGUCGCUUGGUUGCUAGUUAGCUAGCUAGACGAGAGCGGUUGCACCAAAUCCGUUCCAUCUGCUUCUCUAGCUCGAUCGUCAGGCCGCAGCAUCGAAUCGAAUCAUAUAUUUUAUAUACGAAAUUGAAUUUGACUGGCGGCCGGCGGCGCGGGCAGCAUAUAUAGAUGAAAAAUAAGCUUGCAGUUACACGCACGCAUGCAUGGCAAGAGAAGAGACAUAGGUUGCAUGCGGCGGCCAGGUUAAUUAACUUUAUGAUUGAUUGAUUGAUUGAUCGUUUACGAAUGAAAGAGGAUUAGGAGGGCAACUAGCAGUGCUACCUGCAAGCUAAAGUGACGUGCGCGCGUGUGCUGCAGCUGCUAGCUGCUCACCGAACAGAUUAAAGGGCAGACUUCAUCUGCAAGCUUUGCUGCAUGCAUGGCCAUGCCCCAGCCCCCAGAAGGGGCGCACACACAGUAGUAACUUUACUAGCUUCCAUGUUUCGCCGUCAGCUUUCUGUGCUUUUAGAUACUAGCCCAGCAGCUAGCCGGCCAGAAACAUCGUUUUCUAGGUGAUCGAUACAGAUAUUAAUUAAUUCCCUAGGAAAGAGUAUAUAUAUAUAUGCUUAAGACAUUGUUUCCUAUCAAACUUUAUUUUUCUUUGGACACAUGUAACUUUCUCUCUCUCUCUCUCUGCUGUAAAAAAACAUGCACGUGAGGAAAGCAAGGUUUGCAAGCAAAGAAGAAGAAAACAUUAGUAGUCGUUAAAUACAGUAAGUCCACAAGUUAACAUGCAUGCAUGCCGGCAGUCAAAAUUUGGGUCCCGUGCAUGGUUUUCGUAAGAAAGUGACGGGUGACAUCACCGAAUUACUAAUACUACUGUUCCAUUGGCGCAGGAGUACGUGAUCCAUGGCGAGUGAAGGAGACGCCGUUUACCCUGCUGCGACCUAGCUAAUAGAGUAGACAGAAUAAAUAAAUAAAAUAAAAUAAAAUAGACGCAGAAAGGAAAGCGACGGCCGGGCACCCAAUGGACCCGGCGGUUUGGACGGCCAAAGGAAAGGAGGGAUCCUUGCCCUUGCAUGACGUUGUUGAUGGGAGAGAGAUGUGUGUGCGCGUGCGUGCGUGCGCGCGCUAGCUUCUCUGUCUCGCUCCUAUAUUUUAUCUAUUCAUUCAUGCCAUGGCAAGGUCUUCUGCUAUGCAUGAAUAUUGCAUGUAGGAGUAUAUAAACAAAAAUACUACUCUGCCUAGCUAAUCAAUUUUUUCCCAAGAUGCAUGCAUGGAUGAGAGGGGAGACAUAGAUAGAGAGAGAGAGAGAGAUGGAAAGGCAAUCACUUUGUGGGAUGGAUGCAAAGACGCCGAGGAGCAAUGCCGUGGCGAACAUGGAGGCGGCUACACCUUGCCUGCUUGCCAUUCUCUCUCUCAAAACCUCUCUACCUCUGCUGCCUUGAACGCACGCACGCACGCUGCUGCUGGCUAGUUAGCUAUAGCUAGACGAAGGCCGGCAGGGCCAGCACUCUCUUUCGUGGCUAUAUAUGCUAGGCAGAGCACGUCUCUCCGAGGCGAAGACUCUUCUCCGAGAUCCCCUCUUCUCCCUCUUUUUGGUGGUGCGUGUGCUGAAUUGUGUGUUUCCUUGGCGAAACAAGUAGUGGCAGCAGGUCCCCUUAUAUAGAUGCCGAGGAUCAUCAUCAUCGGAGGAGGAGGCGGACAGGGGGUUCGGUCCAAUCCAAUCCACUUGAAAGAAAAAAGAAAAAAAAAAGACAUCAAAUGGCCCCGGCCCGCGCCCGACCGGCCCUCUCCAGCAGCAGCAGCCAGCCAACCUAGCUAUUUGACGAGCCGUUUGCUGGCGUCACGAGCCCCCCCUAGUGUCUGGUAGCCUGAGGUUAUCCGGUACACUAGGUUGUUGUGACUUGUGACUAGCGGGCUCAUCGUCAUCAUAUAUACCAAACAACUUUUGAAAAAUAAACACCGUGUUUAAAAUUUUAGGCGCCAUAUGGGGUGGUGUUCCAUGAAAGGGAAGUUUCUAGGUCAAUUCCGAGGACGCGGCGCGUCGAAUCGGGUUACCUUACGUAGUUUGGUCGCUCGCGAGUGUGCAUGUCUUAUUCACAGAACAUUCGGCACGCGUGUGUUAGUUUUUCUUUUACGACAUCUUUUUUUUAAAAGGUUUAGAAGUCAACGCGAGCGACUUAAUUAAUUGACUAUUACCUAGCUAUGUGGCGUAGUUAUGCGGAAAUAUCUAUGACUUUGAUAUAUGUAGUUGUUGCAUAACCUUUUGUCAUCAAGUCAUCUAUUAGGGAGUUAUUUUCUUGGACAAUCAAGGUCACUUUAACCGUUGUCAUCCUUGUGGUAUAUAUAUCUAACUUUUGUUGCUCUCCUAUCCUAUGUUUGUCAACGAACAAUAAUAGCAAGUGGCCUUAUUAGCUUCAACUCUGUUUAUAGAUUCCAUAAAUUUGUUGUGAGAAACUCGAAGUUCAAAUGAUGACAAAACUAGCGUAUUUGGUGUACCUAAAAUUAAUAAUAAUCGCUAAUGAAGAGAAACGAAGUACUUGCACCACUUUAAUGUGAUAUUAGGUACGUGCUCCAUGCAUGGACUCCAAUACACCCAUGUACACACACACACCUUUUUCAGAUAACCAGUUCCACUUGAGCUGGUGCAUGGUUUAUUAUCAAAUGAGAUUGAUUGGUUUGAAUUUAUCAGUUAUAUAUAAAAAUCAUAAUUCAUUUUAAAAGAAAAACUAUUUAAUAAUAAUCCUACAAUUAUUUGUGGUAACUGCGCUGAGACAGAAUAAUAUAUAAUUAACUUGUAUGAGUAUACAUAUCAGGUUACGAUCCUGUUAAGUUGGUACCAUAUAAUAAUAUUCCUCCUCUCGUAUGUUAUAUCCAACCCUGCAAUACCAAACUGGCUUGCUCUACCAUCCAACCGUUGGUUUUUUAUUUAUUAUUUAUAAUGCUAACGUGACCUGUGGAUAGGAAGGCCACAUGCAUGCUGUACGUUGCUAUCGGCGGAGGGAGUCCCGUUAUGCAACUGCUUUCUAGCUAGUAUAACUACUAAUGAAGAGAUAGAAUUAGGUGUACCCAAAUUGGUUCACACACAUCACCAAAGAGCAGCUAGCUAGCUAGCUUGCAGUUGCAGCUGAUCCAUAUACUCUUGUCAAUGUAUAUGCAUGCGAGAGUAAUUAAUAGAUUAAUAUUUGCGACCGAGUAUAUACAGUUAGAUCGUUCUGAACUCGACAUAUAUUAAUUCAGUUCUAGUAGCAAUUAUCGCUGACGAUUAUGUAUGUAUGUAUGUAUGUAUGUAUGUAUGUAUGUAUGUAUGUAUGUAUGUAUGUAUGUAUGUAGGAUUUGGCCGGGGCCCUGGCACAAUUGGUGUAAUAUACAAUAUGCAGAAGCUGCUUCCUAUAUAUUACUCACUUUAAUUUGAAAUCAUUAAAGGCAACGACUAAUAUGUGCAUGGAGCACCUAAUAAUAUCACAUUAAAGCAGUGCAAGUACUUCUUUUAUCUUCAUAAGUACUUACAUAGCAGCCUCUCUGCCUUUUGACGUGCAUGCCAAUGCGAGAACCGGUCUAAUGGAGGUUCAGACAUGUGUUUUAUACAGUUACACACUACUGAUUAGAUGGGGCCUAGCCUAAUGGAAAUUGAAGCCAAAUCAGAAACUUCUUUGAUCCGAGGACACCCUUUGAAAGUCGCUAUACCAUAUUGUUAUUCAAAAGACAAGUAGCGCUAUACGUGUGGUGCAUUGGCCUAGCUAUACGUGUGGUGUGCAUGCAUAGUACAGGAGCUAUAAAAAAAUUGUACCCAGAAGUUUUUGGGGUCGGAAGGAUUUACAUUUUUUGAUCUGAAAAUAUAUAAUUAAACAUCCGUAGUUACUCGAGAGGCCAGGCGCAUUAAAUAUACGCUGUAAUUAACCAUAUCUGAAUUUUUGACACAUGUUUUAAUCCAUCAGGUACUACAGAGAGAUAGUUUGCAAAUAUCGUCGUUGUUUUAGAAAAUUAAACUACAUCAAUCAAGUUUUAGAAAGAGACCAUAUUGCACUUUUAUUGGGACGCUUUUUAUCUAGCCAGCAUAGGGCAGUGACUUAAAAUCCCUAGAAUCGGGAUGCACAGCAAUGACGACGAUAUAGACGGCCGGCCGGGACCUGUCAACAAUAACAUGUAUGUCUCUCUAUAUAUGAGCAACAAGGACACCCACAAGGCAGCAAUUGUGUAUGGUAUUAUUUGUGGCCGCAGCAAUUUGGCGGAGUUGGUUAUCCGGCGCUUUUUUUGCCUACGUGGAUACCAUGUGUCACCCCGCUUGUCCUAUCCGGUGGGAUUGAAUGGACACGGGAUGAGGCCGGACGGCCUGCGCGGCAGCCGAGUCGGACGGUCCACCUGGAAAGUUCCGCUCUAUCCACAAUUCUCUGCCUAUGUGGACGCGGGAGAGCAACGUGUCGUGCGACGACAAGCGGUACGCGUCACCAACGUGUCCUGGUCCUGCUCACGAGUUUUUUUUUUGGCUUUGGCUUUUGCGGCUGCUUUAGCCGUCUGGCCUAAUUUUAUUUAUUUAAACUCCGUCCCCUGGCUCGUGCGGUCGUGCCUCACUUUCUUUAAGCUAGCUGCACCUUUUCUUUUUUGUUUAUUCCCUAGCUACUAGCACUGUUGUCGCGUAUGUGUUCGGCUGGCAGGAGUCUGACCAGGAGAGAAACAAAGCUACGUGUCCGUCAACGACGUGUGCCUGCCUCUGCCCGCUGUAGUUGUCGAUGUCUCAAGAAGGUAGAGAAUUCGACGGAAAAGAGAGACCUGCUGUGCUGGGCGGGUCAUCCUUGAUAAGUUUAUCUUUAUCUUGCUUGUGUGGACGCGGUGACAUGUCUUGUCGUGUCAGCAGAGAGCGCGGGCGGCCGGCUGGUAACGAUGGCUAAAAGCCAGCCAGCCAGCCUUCUGGGAUCAGAACUCCCCUCACGCACGCACGCUUUACUGCAUCCGGCCGGCUUGGCGGCGGCUCCGUGAUCAAGUGCUUAUCUUCUUUGCCGUUGGACUGCUAGCUGUGACGAGUCUAGCACACAAAUAUCAGCAAAAAUAUUACGUGCACGAUAAUACCAUUGUUCCUGGCAUGCCGAUCUAUUUUAUUCGGUUCGUCAGUCGUCACUUCAUUUACUUCGGAAAUAUUAAGUACAGUGCGUGUAUUUGGAUGGGCAGAAAUGAUGCUUUUUUGUAGCAAAUAAAAACGUAAUAAAUAAAGCACUGAUAAAAGAGUAUAAAAGAAGCGCAUGAGCUAGGGGCGGGCCUUAUAUAUCGGCCACGAAAAAUAGAAAAGGAAAAUACAAGAGGCCCCACAAGCUAGGGGGGGGGGGGGGGGGGGGGACAGCGCUCCUACUAGCUUACUAUACAUGCGCUCGGGUAUAUACAGGCAGCAGCAACAAAAAAAAAAUGGAAGAGGAAAAAAAGAGGGGGGCAAAAAACGAGGGACGUCGGAAUCGACUCUGGUGGUGGAGGAGGAUAAAACUAUAAGCAAUGCAAGAAGAAUGAUGGCGCUGUGUGUUACAUGAUUAGGCAUCAGGGGCCCCCACCACAGUUAGCUGAUAAGUGCAGCAGUUAAAUGGCGGCUAAAGCUGACGAACCGCGGGUCAUGGAGGAGAGGAUCGACUACGUACUCAUCAUCAUCAUCAUGGCAUCGAUAUCCAAGAUCUCUCAACACUAGCUCAUUAGCUAGUCUGCUAGUAAGUAACUUGAAGGAUCUCCUGCUAUGCAGCCUUACUCCUGUCCUGUCACCACCGUGGCACCGUACCGGCCGGUCGGUUAGACUCGUGGAAGAUGGACCGGUCGUACCAGCACUAGUGCACGCACAGAGAGAGUUCCAGUAUUUCUUCUCGGCGUCUCCGUCCGGCGUCACGGUCACCGUCUCCGUCUCCAUCGCCGUCGCUGCUGUUUAUUCCAUAUAUAUAUGUAAAAUUUGCUGGCUAAGGAUCAGUAAGGAGAGGAGGAUAUCUGGAUAACGAUGAUCGGAUAAGCCACAGAAACAACUUGCUGAAGCUAUAGCCCCCUGCUGGUCUGGGUAAGGUUUCCACGUCGAUCUACACACACACACGAACUAGUAUAUAUCAUAUAUAUUGAUAGACACUCCUAUAUAUGUACUACGUGCGUAUACCAUCGUCACACUUGGUUCAUCAGUUGCCUUAAUUUGCAUGUGUGUACCAAUGUAAAAGUCUGGCCAUGCGGAACUGCACUAAUUUCCCAGAGCUAUUAAGUUAUUAUUAUUAGCUUGUUUUUAACGAGUUUUAGCAGCUGGUAACCAUUAUAUAGUUGUAGACGCCACUCCGUGGUACAAGGAAUGAAUAUAAAAUCUAGUGACAUACAUGGAAUUUUUCCUUACAUCAGGGCCUAGCUAGCGAAUUAUUCGAGAGGCAGCAGCAACAUGAUGCGCAUCGAGAUGCAUGACCGAUCGAUUGACCUCCGCUAGCUAUAGCUAACUGCCUCUCUUGCGGAGGUCGCCCGACGCUGACGUUUUGUAGGACAGUACUAGUACGUAGUAGUAGUACUAGUGCACGUACGUAUGAGAUACGAUGGAAGGACGACGGACCUAGCUAUGUGUACUGUACUCCUCUCCUAUACUGUAUAUGCAAAAGUGAGGGGGCCGGGCGCGCGGGAGAUCCAUCGAUAUCAAUAGGAGCUAGCUCCGUACGUCGUCGCCCUACUUCACGACACUAGCUAUUAGCUAGACACGCUUACAUUUUCUUCCUUAAUUGUUGUUGGAUUAAUAAUUCUUGCCAUCAUAGCUCUGUCAUUGGCAUACGUACGUACGUGCCACAUGUUUGCGUAUAAAUCAGACAAGUAAUUCAAACACAGUACAAGUAGAGAUGUACUGGACACCACGGGGUUACGAGCGACGACGACGUGACGCGUUAGACGAUUAUUUUUGUAUAUAAAUAAACCCAUCACGCAUCAACUUCCCGGCCUAGAGAGAAAACAAAACUGUAUGUAUGGUGGUACAGGUAGUAGAGCGAGCUAGCUACCUGCUGCCUCAUCAGCAUUAUAAUACAAUGCUUAGUCCAACAAACUACUACUACUACUACGGCGUUAUUUUUCUACAACACCUGCCAAACUUCCAAAGCUUAAUUUUCUCUCCCUUUGAAAGGGAAAACAUGUGAAAGGAACAGAGGAGUGCGUGCGUGCACCUAUAUAUGUGGCGGGCUAGCACUUGCAGCUUUGGGGGUUUAUAUUUUUUUUGAACAUGUAACAUCAGUAUUACCUCAUGCAUCUCUUGAACUUGCUUACAAGACACCACCUCUAUUGAUUAAUAUAUAGGUGCGCAGCGAGACUAUACUAGCUAGCAGCAGUGGUAGGUGUAGGUCUUGAUCCCUUGACGUGCUGCGUUCAGAUCCAUAUUAAUUAAGGGCUACCUUUGGGUGAGGGAGGAUUUGGCCCAAUAAUAUUUGUUCCAGAGAUCAUCGAAGUGUUUAUAUAAAUUAAUAAUUAGCCACGCCUUUCUGCCAGAGUAUAUAUAUAUUAUAGAUUAACAAAGCAAUAAUUCUGGCAGCAGGAAUCGUUCUGGUGCGCGCGCAUGGUUACCCAGAGAGCCGAUAUAUCGAAGGACUUCCCAAGUCAAAUAUCGUGUCACGUACAAACAAUAUACAUGUAGAAUCAAAGGAAAACAAGAAAACGACUAAACUGCACGCUGCGCUGGGGAGAUGGGUAUACGUUUCCAUCUAUAUAUGUUCAAUCACUCUCGUCAGCCUUAGAUAGAUGCAAAUACUUCAAAGUCAGAGAGUUGGUGGGUCUCGUCUACACACUUGGGUGCUGUUUUUUGGUUCACGAAAUGAAAUGUAACGUGAAUGGUAACGAUAAUGAUUCACACUCGAGUACCGGUGACAACGAAGUUUGAAUAUACCGGUAUUACUUUAUAGCAGUGUGUUAUCUGAUUACGGUUGCACCUAAAUAAAUAUGAUCUAGCAUUAUUAGCUACCCGUCACGUACGUUACAAAUGUGUGAACUAAAUCACACCUUACCUUUCUUCGAGACCCCUUUCAUCCAUGUAAACGACGCGAUUAAACAAUAUAUAUAAUGCUAUAUACCUCCAAGAUAUAAACAAAAGUAUUUUUUUUUCCUCGGCAAAAUUUAAUCUUAUCCCGAUGAACUAUAUAGCUAGCUAGCGCUUAGUCUUGCGAGAUGCUUCACCUAGUCAUCGUCUCUCAUGCAUCUCUCUUGGUCGCCGCUAUGUGGAAAAAUGACUAGAAUACAAUUAGUUAUGGGUUUGCACCCAAUUUUGAUCAUGCCAGUGGUGGUCAGAGCAGUGUGUAUGCAUGGCGGGGUUCAGGAGACGAUGUUACUUGAUGUGCAUUUCAACUAGGUUGAAUCUAUCACUCAUCAACUUUUUAUAUACAUGCAAUCGCUUUAAUUAGGUCGUGCUUGGUUUCGGACGAGCUAGGUGAGGGUUGAGAAGAAAACGGUUUCAUUAGGUUUUCUUUUAGCGAGGUUUAAUUUAGUGUCAUCUCUCAACGGACACGUACAUAUACCUUCAUCUUGGUCGUAUAUAUAUAUAUAUACCCCGGCCGGCCCUAAGAAUGCUCUGAAAAUUGUAUGCAGACAGUAAGGCUUCAAUUUCACGUGAAGUGAAAUGCAUGUAAACCGCAUAAUUAAAUGGGUGUGUCUGUAUUGUAGUGUAGCGACAUGUAAGUAUUAUUUGGGUCGAUCAACCAUCAUUUCGGGCGUUUCAUCGAUCUGAAUAAAUCGAGCUGUAGUAGGCCACAUAUCAAUGGUUGCUUGGAGAUGCAUGCAUGCAUAUGUAUCCGGGCCUCCGGUAGAGUAUAUAUGGACAAAUUCACGUGUCACGGGGGAGAAGGAUGGGAAGCCAGCCUUUCGGCUUGCUCACGUUACGUAACUUUUUUUUGUCCAAGUGCAUGCCUUGGAAUCGAUCAGUCACUGAUAUAUGGUUGUGAAAGCUAGCUAGCCUAGCCAGACAGCCCUACGUCGUGCUCGUUUAGUUAUUAGUGCUUGGAGUUGGACUCGAUCAGUCAUCAGCCUGAGACUCAUCAAGUAUAUAUAUAUAUACGAUGGCGAUGUUAAUUCAUAUAUAUAUAUAUGAUAGUAGCUAGUGUAUAUGCAAAGCGUCCUCCUAAUCUAAUCUAAUCUAAUCCGCGCGCUUGCUUCGCUUUGCUUGUCCCUUACGCCGCCCACGUGUCCAAGCUAGCCCCAACUGCCCCGGCCGGGCGCCCAUCGACGGUCCGCCAUUAGUCUCGUCGCCGCCCACCACCUGCGCCCCAGUCACAUAUGGAUGUACGUUGACGAGACGGGCAGGCAUGAUGAUGCUGUAGCUUGGACACACACACGGGCGGGCGGCCGGCGUGCGCGCGCGUGCAUGUACUUGCUUGGCGUACUAUCAUUGCAACUAGCUAGUUGGACAGCCACAGCUCGUUAUUUUUUUCCGGCCGGUACGGUUUGGUCUCGAUCAGACGCUGCAAUACGACAUUGCUACCGGUAACGACGGGUGCGUAAGCAAGCCGACCCGACGACACCCCUGACCGACCCCUUUCUGAAAACGCAAGCAGCAGCUCAGCAGCGCGGCCAGGUCGUAGAAACGCCCAUGGCUGACGAUGUUGGUGUAUAUGGCGUUUGCUUGUGCGUGUCCGGCGCGCGCACGCCACUCUCUCGGCCUGGCGUGCCGUCCGGGUGCCUAGCUAGCUACCUAGUCAUGGAUUAUUAUUAUCUCGUCACAUCAAUGCCGGCGGCCGGGAGUUUGCUUCUGGGUGUCUUUGCGCGCGGCGGCGACCGGCCGGUCCGUCGCCUGUGUGCCGGCGUUAUAUGUGCGCGCGGCUGACCUGGGCGGGACGGCCGCGUGCUGCCGGCGCACCGAGUUGCCGUCCGGCGUGAUUCGUGUGUUUUUGUCGCACGGCCCGCCCACAUCGUCAGCAACAUCUCCGAUUCGGCCACGAAUCCGCCGUCGUCACACCUCAUGCAUGCGUGGUACACAGGACGACCCAAGUUCUGCGCAUGCCUGCGUAUGAGUAUGUACCAAGUACCAACCUCUUCUCGGAUCAGAAACUAAUUAAGCGCAAUUGCGCCAAGUCUAUUUCGACAGUUCUAUCGUUAAUAUAGAUCUGGAAUUUAAUAUUGAGCUAGGGUGACGUGCUCAUGAAUAAGUUAUAUCAAAUAUUUGAUUAUUAGUUACAAGUAUUAUAAGUAAUCUAAUUAUAAAACUAAUUAUACACAUAUAAGGACUAAAUGGUAAGACAGAGUCUACCAAAACUAAUUAGUCCAUGAUUCCCGAUUCGCUCGUGUGAUGCUAAAGUAACCAUUCGUUAAUUAUAGGUUAGUUAAGUUUAAUAAUUUUAUCUUGACAUUUAGUUUUUAUCUAUUUAAUUAGUUUUGUAAGUAGAUUACAUUUAAUACUCAUAAUUGGUAUUUAAACAUUUGAUGUACUCGGGAGAACUAAACACCCCUAGGAAGAGUACGUCAGACUGCUAGUCAUAAAAAACAACAAUAAUAGAAUAUAGUCUUUAUCUAUUUUUUGUUUGUAAUGAAUGUAUUAGAAUUUGUCUACGCAUUAACCACGUAGUAGUAAGAAACAUAUGUACGUAUAUGAUCAAUCAAAAUAUUAACUUUAGUAGUCAAAGGUAAGGCAUGAUAACCAUAUGAUUUACGGUCAAUUUAUAUUGGAGAGAGGUCAAUAAUGUUCAAUUUAUUGUUGUAAACCCACAUUUUAUUUAGAUUAAAAGAUAAUACAAUAAUUUUUUUAAACCAUAUCUAAACGCGAGGCGGGGGGGGCGGAGUCACGGAGUCCACACCUUCAUUAGGGUUUUAUUUAAUAGGAGUAGUGUAGAUAAGAGUCAGAGCGUUUAGAUAAUUAUUUAUACAAUGUAAUAGUUUUUACUUGAUCUGAAGUUGGUGAAACUGUCCUAAAAAAUCCUAAAUCUAAAUUUAUGUAAAACUAAUAUUCAAAAGGAAGCGGCCUCAGCAAUUAAAUUUUGAUAGGCUCAUAAUAGCCGGCUUGUAUUGCGGUUAGGCAAUCGGGUAAGUAUUUUAUAAAGCCGGUGGGUGAAUGGAAGAUAGUUCACAUUCGUUCUAAAAAACAGUUUUUUUUUUAGUCAUCCUUUUUUUUCAUUUACAUUCGAAUAGAUGAUGGCAUACAUACAAACUAAAUUUAUAAGGUAUGAAUGUAUGUUUACUCAUUACUAAUCCGUGCGGAUGGAUUUUGAUAGGUAAACCAACGGUGUGUGUGCAGUCGUUUUCGGUGCUGUUUCCGUUAACUACUCGCAGAACGGAGGAGACACGCAACCGGACACGUCGACCCAUUGCCCUGACCGACCUGUCACAUGCCUUGACGCCUUGUUGCCUUUAGCGUACAAAAUAGCUAGCUCGACCAGUCCUCCCCCGCGAGAGAAACUGACCGGGCGGCUGGCUGCCUGGCCAGUAGUAGUAGCAGGACACGUACUAUACUGCGGUAGGACGGACAAUAGUAGUGGUAGCGGUUGCCCAGGGAAAACAAUCUCGUUCAGCCUCCGUUUCUCGCUGAGCGCCGGUAACGAGAAAUCAGCGGUUUCUCGCCGAAACCCGAUGUUUACCGAUGGAUUGUAUUACUCAAAUUUGAAAUCAUCGGUUUUCGUUUUUUUCUACCGAGAAAUCGCCACUUCCCAGCGGUUUUCGGUGCUAUAUCGCCGAGAAACACUGUUGAGUUAAGAAAAGGUGAAAAUUUAAUAGAAUUAGUUUGUAAAUUGUUUAAAUUAUGUUGUACAAUGGAUAAUAAUAUAUUCACAAAUAAUUUGAUCUCCAAAAUCACAUAAAACAUAUUUAUACAAAUAGAAAACACAAUUCUAGUGCAACACAAAUCAAUAUAAAGUUAUAAUAGUGGCAUACAAGUAUAUAUAAAGUUUUUUCCAUAACACAAUUGUUCACACUAGUAGAAUAAUAAAGUUUACGUGUAUGGAUCACAUAUUCAGCUAGAUUUAUAAUAUAUAGACAUGUUGGAAGCACUUAGGUAUGGGCCCAUUAUAUAAUUAUAAGGAUCCAACUAUGUGACACCAUAAAAUGGAACAUAUGGUUGUUGGGUACUGUCAUUUGCCAGAUAUGAAUAUGCGUAGGGGUGAAGGAGGUGACUCUAGGGUUUAGGUUUUGGUCUUGUCAACCAGGAUAUAGUUGUAACGGCUCUCAAAAUAUCAACUAACAAGUGGAUCUCGUCGAUUUUUUGGCACGUAAACGGUCCAGCAUUCUAGAUUAACAAGUGUACAACCCAUUAACUUUAUUUUGGCACUAGACUCCUAGUACCCUCUAGUUUUUUAUAAAAAAUUUCUCGAUUUUUUUUUAUAAAAAACCUUUUGAAAUUUAAAAUUUACGAUUAAUUUUUUGAUUUUUUUCGUUGAAACUCGUCUCCACGGUUCACGGAGAACGAAAAUAUUUCCGAAAACCGACGGUUUUCUUUUGGGGUGGUUAACCCUGCAAUUGACUGAAUAUGAGUUCGUCGGUAUACCAUAAUAUGGCUGGGACUGAGUAUAUGUUGCUAAUGUGUUCAACUAUUCUAGUGCCCAAUUUAUGUGAUGGAAAAUUAGGCAUAUGAUUUUUUUUCUAAUGCAUGCACUAUCUUAUCUAUAGACUCCACUACAAGUUCAAUCCGAUCAUCAAAACAAUUUAUACUAGAUUGAAAAUUGUGUGAUGACACAUUGUUACUCAGUAGAUGGCUGCCACGAGUCUAUCAAGGAAACAAGCUCCACUUCUCUAUCUUGAAUGACCUUGUUGUGGCGAUCCUCCGUAAAAUGCGAGAGGUACCACCACUUCGCCUGCUUGUCCAGCUACUUCAUAUAGUCUUCAAGUUUUUUAUGGUCGUCGAUAGGGAUGUCAGCGGAUCGGGUAAAGUGCGGGUAAGCCAUUUACCCGUCCGCCAACAUAUCCGCGCCUCUAGUGCUUACCCGUGCCCGCGAGAGCUUGCACACGAGUAAAAUUUUCGACCCGUACCCGUACCCGCAGGAUAUCCGCGGAUAUCAGGCAACCCGUUACCCGCCAGAAAAUACCAUACGAGUAUGUGGUCAUGUUCAUUUCACCAAGAACAUCAACAACUUGACAGACAUAAUAUAAUGGCAAGGAACAUAGUUUAAACUUCAAAGUCCACAAACAUGAUCGAUCAUCCACAAACAUAAGUCUCAAACAUAAGUCCACAAACAUGAUCAACUGGGCUGUGGUCUGUGGGUCGGUGGCAUGGUGAUAUUUUGAUGGGCUAGUAAAUUAAGCGGGUAAUGGGUAAUACCCGCGGGCAAAAUUUUAUAUCCGUUAAUUACCACGGGUGAGAAGUGUUGCUCGUAUCCUUACCCGUGGGCGAGAUUUCUUACCCGUAUCCAUGCCCAUCGGGUACGAAACCCACGGAUAUCCGUGCCCGCGGGCAGAAUUGUCAUCCCUAGUCGUCGACCGAUAAAAUCUCAAAAAUCGGCCUAAGGAUGUUGUCUGUGGAAACAUCGAUGCAAUUUUUGGGAUCGAAUAUCAUGGUCGAUCUAAUAGAUCUAACCUGAUAGAUCCGGUUUUCCUUGCCCAGUGGAGUCACCAAAAGUAUGUUGGCAUAUUUUUAGGAUAAAAUACCAACGAACCUAGGGCCUCCACGCGACAUGCAGGACCUUGGAGUUGGCUCUGCAAUGCGAUCUUCAACUACACCUCUAUGUUCGUACCUUUUUGGUGGACAAACACCAAUUAUCCCUAGAUCCCGCUCACGAGGAGUCGAGACCUUAGGGAUGUAUCUGUGAGGUGCGUAACAGGACAUCUCUACGAGGUGUCGGACGGUCCGCGAUAGGUCAACGGAUAGUCCGCGUGUAGGUCAUUAUAAAGCAGAUAACUACAAUCUUCUCUACAAGGUACGCAGACAGUCCCCGUGUAUGCGGUGGACCGUCUACGAUGGCGGCGAGGGCUUCAUGUAGAACCUAGAUCUCGCCUCCGAGGAGGGGCCCUGUCGGGUAGGAGAUAUUGUACGGUUGCUUCAGCAUCGACAGAGCACCCAAAGCGCCUCUAAACGACGUAGAGCCGAAGAGAGAUGAAGAUUAAGUUUGAAAAAACUACAGCUAGAACUACGCUACAUCUACUCGUAAGACAUAAAGAUAAAUAAUGUAAAUAGAUUGGUUCGGUUGAAUUGUGUAUUCUCAAUUGGCCGUGCUUUUUCAUAUAUAUAGGAUGGAGGUACGGAGUCAUUCCUAGCGAGAUCUAACAGAUUCUCGUGUGUUCGUAAUAAUAAUCACACAUGAGAUAAGAACUUCAAUCUAAAUUAAUCUAAUCUUCUACAGUCCGAACUACUACAGAUCAUUCCAGGCACAGACCAUUCGGACCAUAAAGCCGGGCCGUCUGAAAUCUAAAUGCCAUAUUUGGUGUCCAACAACCCUACUGCUGCGUUGCUUCCGGUAACCAUUUGCAUUUUUUGUAACUCGAGGAUGAGAGCACGCGCGGCACAUAAGAAAUAAAGGAAAGCUAGCUAGCACACGAGCAGGCCAAAUUGAGUCAGGCUACAAUUGCGCUCCUACAUGGGAUGCGACGAACCUUCCCACUGCCGCCGGCGUGCCUCUGUCAUCCAACACCCACCACUCAUCGUUCAUCGUUGCCGCAUGGCGUGCUUCGCAUGACCAUUCAGCACUCGCACACUGCAGGGUGUGUCCCCCCGCCGCCGGCUCAUCGUCGUAAACAAACAGAAAAUAAUCACGGGCUCCGGCAGGGUGGGAGCCGGCAGGGUGUGUGUAGAGAUGGCAAUAGGUAAAUAUCCACCGGAUAUUACUAUCCAAUACUUAUACCUACGACACAAAAAUAACUCUACCGGCUCACUUAUAUACACUGGUGGGUAUAGAUUUACUCUCAUACCUAUAACCAUGUGGGUAUGGGUCACCCACCGGGUCACCUGUACCCACAAAAAUUAAACAUAUAUCAAAAUAGUAUAUUAUACAAAUGUCAAGUAUAUUCAUAUAAAUACCAUUACAAAAUUUCUAGCAUCAUUUCACCACCCAUUCAACACACCAAGGUAAUUAGAUAAAGUAGUAACACUAUGAUAAUACUACAUAGCAUAUUACAUGUUCCUUUACAUGGUCAUUAAAUUGUCGUUAAGCAUUUUAUGACAUUAUGACCUAAACGGUUGUUAAAUAGUAAAAAAGAUGGAUGACUAAAGGCCAAGUUCAUGCUUGGGCUAAGUUUAUAUUGGAUAUUUUAUACCCGCGGGUUAACGGGUAUGGGUGAAGGCGGAACGUUCUAAUACCCGUUUACCCAUUGGGUGAAGAUUUUUGCACAAUAACAGACUCAUGGGUAGAAUAUUUAGCCCACAUACAUACCCUAAUGGAGUAAAUACCUGUCGGGGACCAUAAUUAGGGGUACCCUCAAGACGCCUAAUUCUCAGCUGGUAACCCCCAUCAGCAUAAAGCUGCAAAGGCCUGAUGGGCAUGAUUAAGUCAGGGAUCAGUCCACACGAGUGACUCGAUCACGCUUCACCCGAGCCUAGCCUCGGCCGAAGGCAGCCGACCUCGAGAGACUUCCGUCUCGCCCGAGGCCCCCUUUUUAUGGCGGACACAUCACCGGCUCGCCCAAGGCCUUGGCUUCGCUCAGAAGCAACCUUGACUAAAUCACCACACCGACUGACCAAAUUGCAGGGGCAUUUAACGCACAGGAGGCCUGACACCUCUAUCCUGACACGCGCCUCCGGCAGAGCCGAGGUGACCGCCGUCACUCCACCGCUCCACUGGCCAGUCUGACAGAAGGACAGCGCCGCCUGCGCCACUCCGACUGCAGCGCCACUCGACAGAGUAAGUCUGACAGGCAGUCAGGCCUCGCCAAAGGCGCCACGGCGAACUCCGCCCCGCCCGACCCCAGGGCUCGGACUCGGGCUAAGAUCCGGAAGACGGCGAACUCCGCUCCGCCCGACCCCAGGGCUCGGACUCGGGCUAGGACCCGGAAGACGGCGAACUCCGCUCCGCCCGACCCUAGGGCUCGGACUCGGGCUAAGACCCGGAAGACGGCGAACUCCGCUCCGCCCGACCCCAGGGCUCGGACUCGGGCUAAGACCCGGAAGACGGCGAACUCCGCUCCGCCCGACCCCAGGGCUCGGACUCGGGCUAAGACCCGGAAGACGACGAAACUCCGCCUCGCCCGACCCCAGGGCUCGGACUCCGCCCUGGCCUCGGCCGAACGACUUCCGCCUCGACCGACCCCUUGGCUCGGGCUCGGCCACGGCAACAGAAGGCAGACUCAACAUCGGCUUCGGAGGAAACCCCACGUCGCCCUGCCUAGGGCACAAACCGCCACGUCAACAGGAGGCGCCAUCAUCAUCCCACCCCGAAUCGACUCGGGUCACGGAGAACAAGACCGGCGUCUCAUCCGGCCAGCUCCGCCAGAGAGGCAAUGAUGGCGCUCCACAAGCUCUAUGACGACGGCGGCCCCUAGCUCUCUUACGGAAGCAGGACAACGUCAGCAGGGACUCGACCGCUCCAACAGCUGUCCCUCCAUCAGGCUCCGCCGCACCUCCAACAGCCACGACAUCACGCCAGCAGGGUGCCCAGAUCUCUCCGGCUGCCACAUUGGCAUGUACCUAGGGCGCUAGCUCUCCCUCCGCUAGACACGUAGCACUCUGCUACAUCCCCAUUGUACACCUGGGUCCUCUCCUUACGACUAUAAAAGGAAGGACCAGGGCCUUCUCAGAGAAGGUUGGCCGCGCGGGACCGAGGACGGGACAGGCGCUCUCUUGGGGCCGCUCGCUUCCCUCACCCGCGUGGACGCUUGUAACCCCCCUACUGCAAGCGCACCUGACCUGGGCGCGGGACGAACACGAAGGCCGCGGGACUUCCACCUCUCUCACGCUCGGCUCCGGCCGCCUCGCCUCUCCCCCCUUCGCGCUCGCCCACGCGCUCGACCCAUCUGGGCUGGGGCACGCAGCACACUCACUCGUCGGCUUAGGGACCCCCCUGUCUCGAAACGCCGACAGUUGGCGCGCCAGGUAGGGGCCUGCUGCGUGCUGACGAACAGCUCCCCGUCAAGCUCCAGAUGGGCAGUCUCCAGCAACCUCUCCGGCCCGGGACGGUGCUUCGUUUCGGGACUCUUGAGUUCAUGUCCUUCGACGGCAGCUACGACAUGACACUUCUUCCACCGCCGCGCGACUACGACAAUGGCGGCCGACAACCCGCCCGCCGGCGGCGGAAUCGACGACGUCUACCCCGCGUGGUGGAAGAGCAACAUUCGGGCUCGCUCCGUUCUCUCCCCCGCCAACGGAGGAGGAGGCGGGGCCGUCAAGGCCAGACGGGAGGCCACGCUUCGCCGGCCGUCGAGCGAAUCGACACCCCCGACGCCCCGACGGAAGGCACGCCGGACGUCGACCUCGCGUUCGAGACGGAGGCAAGCGCCGUCCCCCCGCGGCACGCUGACCCCGAGCAAGAAGACGACGCCGGCACGCUCGCGGAAAGCCUGCAGGACGUCGCCCUCGAACCAGAGACGACGGCGCAACCAGUCCCCGAUGUGACUACGUCGCUUCUCGUCGACCAAAAGGUAACGACUAACUCCCAUCUUGCGUCAUUUCGACUCGGCCUCAACCCGCCAAACGACCUCGUUUUGGCGGGCGCUCUCAUUGAGGCGAGUGCAACCCCACUGAGGUUCUGUAUGCGGUCGCCUUGGGACCGACUGACGGACGUCUCGACCUACGGGCCCUCCGGGUCCGAGGAAGAUGACGAUCCCAGCAUCGGUUGGGAUUUCUCCGGACAUGGCAACCCCAGUGCCAUGCGGGACUUCAUGACCGCAUGUGACUACUGUCUAUCCGACCGUUCCGACGGAAGCCGCAGCCUCGGUGACGAGAGCUGCGGCCCAAGCCGCGAAUGUUUCCACAUCGAGCUAGGGGAUCCCACCGAAGGCAACCAUCUUGGCAUGCCGGAGGAUGGUGAUCUCCCUAGGCCGGUGCCUCGCGCCGACAUCCCACGGGAGCUAGCUGUGGUCCCCGCUCCGGCGGGGGGUUACGACCCACAACUCGAGCAAGUCCGCGAGGCGCAGGCCAGGCUCAACGAGGGAACAUGGGCGCUUGAGCCGAUCCGUCGGGACGCCGGACAGGCAUGGGUGGGCCAACCCCUGGCCGGAGAAAUACGUCAUCUGCCCCAAGGUCUCCAGCACCGCGUCGCCAACGACGUCAGGAUCAGGCCGCCGCCCGCAUCCAGCGGGGUCGGUCAGAACCUGGCGACCGCAGCGAUGCUCAUCCGCGCGAUGCCGGAACCGUCAACCACCGAGGGGCGGCGAAUACAGGGAGAACUCAAGAAUCUCCUGGAAGGCGCUGCGGCCCGGCGGGCCGAGAGCACUGCAUCCCGGAGGCAAGGAUAUCCCUCGGAACCUCAUGCCGCGACUUCCCGAUUCAUGCGGGAGGCCUCGGUCUACACCGGGCGCACGCGCAACACCGCGCCUGCGGCCCCGGGCCACCUCGGCAACGAGCACCAUCGACGCGACCGUCGGGCUCACCUCGACGAAAGGGUGCGCCGAGGCUACCACCCCAGGCGUGGGGGGCGCUACGACAGCGGGGAGGAUCGGAGUCCUUCGCCCGAACCACCCGGUCCGCAGGCCUUCAGUCGGGCCACCCGACGGGCGCCAUUCCCGACCCGGUUCCGACCCCCGACUACUAUCACAAAGUACUCGGGGGAAACGAGACCGGAACUGUGGCUCGCGGACUACCGCCUUGCCUGCCAACUGGGCGGAACGGACGACGACAACCUCGUCAUCCGCAACCUCCCCCUGUUCCUCUCCGACACUGCUCGCGCCUGGUUGGAGCACCUGCCUCCGGGGCAGAUUUCCAACUGGGACGACUUGGUCCAAGCCUUCACUGGCAAUUUCCAGGGCACAUACGUGCGCCCCGGGAACUCCUGGGACCUUCGAAGCUGCCGGCAACAGCCGGGGGAGUCGCUCCGGGACUACAUCCGGCGAUUCUCGAAGCAGCGCACCGAGCUGCCCAACAUCACCGACUCGGAUGUCAUCGGCGCGUUCCUCGCCGGCACCACUUGCCGCGACCUGGUGAGCAAGCUGGGUCGCAAAACCCCCACCAGGGCGAGCGAGCUGAUGGACAUCGCCACCAAGUUCGCCUCCGGCCAGGAGGCGGUCGAGGCUAUCUUCCGAAAGGACAAGCAGCCCCAGGGCCGCCCGUCGGAAGAAGCUCCCGAGGCGUCUGCUCCGCGCGGCGCCAAGAAGAAAGGCAAGAAGAAGUCGCAAUCGAAACGCGACACCACAGACGCGGACCUUGUCGCCGCCGCCGAGUAUAAGAACCCUCGGAAGCCCCCCGGAGGUGCAAACCUCUUCGACAAGAUGCUCAAGGAGCCGUGCCCCUACCAUCAGGGGCCCGUCAAGCACACCCUCGAGGAGUGCGUUAUGCUUCGGCGUCAUUUCCACAGGGCCGGCCACCCGCCGAGGGUGGCAGGGCCCACGACGACGACAAGAACGAAGAACACCCAGCAGGGGGGUUCCCCGAGGUCCGCGACUGCUUCAUGAUCUAUGGAGGGCAUGCGGCGAAUACCUCGGCUCGGCACCGCAAGCAAGAGCGCCGGGAGGUCUGCUCGGUGAAGGUGGCGGCGCCAGUCUACCUAGACUGGUCCGACAAGCCCAUCACUUUCGACCGGGCCGACCACCCCGACCAUGUGCCGAGCCCGGGGAAAUACCCGCUCGUCGUCGACCCCGUUGUCAGCGAUGUCAGGCUCACCAAGGUCCUAAUGGACGGGGGCAGCUGCCUCAACAUCAUCUACGCCGAGACCCUCAAGCUUCUGCGCGUCGAUCCGUCCUCCGUCCGAGCAGGCGCUGCGCCCUUCCACGGGAUUAUCCCUGGGAAGCGCGUCCAGCCCCUCGGGCGACUCGACCUCCCAGUCUGCUUCGGGACACCCUCCAACUUCCGAAGGGAGACCCUGACGUUCGAAGUGGUCGGGUUCCGAGGAACCUACCACGCCGUGCUAGGGAGGCCAUGCUACGCGAAGUUCAUGGCCGUCCCCAACAACACCUACCUGAAGCUCAAGAUGCCGGGCCCCAACGGGGUCAUCACCGUCGGCCCCACGUACAAACACGCGUUCGAAUGCGACGUGGAGUGCGUGGAGUACGCCGAGGCCCUCGCCGAGUCCGAGGCCCUCAUCGCUGACCUGGAGAACCUCUCCAAGGAGGUCCCAGACGUGAAGCGCCAUGCCGGCAACUUCGAGCCAGCGGAGACGGUCAAGGCCGUCCCCCUCGACCCCAGCGGCGACACCACCAAGCAGAUCCGGAUCGGUUCCGGGCUCGACCCCAAAUAGGAAGCAGUGCUCGUCGACUUUCUCCGCGCAAACGCCGACGUCUUUGCGUGGAGUCCCUCGGACAUGCCCGGCAUACCGAGGGAUGUCGCCGAGCACUCGCUGGAUAUUCGGGCCGGAGCCCGACCCGUCAGGCAGCCUCUGCGCCGAUUCGACGAGGAGAAGCGCAGAGCGAUUGGCGAAGAGAUCCACAAGCUAAUGGCGGCAGGGUUCAUCAAAGAGGUAUUCCAUCCCGAAUGGCUUGCCAACCCUGUGCUUGUGAGGAAGAAAGGGGGGAAAUGGCGGAUGUGUGUAGACUACACUGGUCUCAACAAAGCAUGUCCGAAGGUUCCCUACCCUCUGCCUCGCAUCGACCAAAUCGUGGAUUCCACUGCUGGGUGCGAAACCCUGUCCUUCCUCGAUGCCUACUCGGGGUAUCACCAGAUCCGGAUGAAAGAGUCCGACCAGCUCGCGACUUCUUUCAUCACGCCGUUCGGCAUGUACUGCUACGUCACCAUGCCGUUCGGCCUGAGGAAUGCAGGCGCGACGUACCAGCGGUGCAUGAACCAUGUGUUCGGCGAACACAUCGGUCGCACAGUCGAGGCCUACGUCGAUGACAUCGUGGUCAAGACAUGGAAGGCUCCCAACCUCCUCUCCGACCUUGAAGUGACAUUCCGGUGUCUCAAGGCGAAGGGAGUCAAGCUUAAUCCUGAGAAGUGUGUCUUCGGGGUGCCCCGAGGCAUGCUCCUAGGGUUCAUCGUCUCUGAGCGAGGCAUCGAGGCCAACCCGGAGAAGAUUGCGGCCAUCACCAGCAUGGGACCCAUCAAGGACUUAAAAGGGGUACAGAGGGUCAUGGGAUGCCUCGCGGCCCUGAGCCGCUUCAUCUCACGCCUCGGCGAAAGAGGUCUGCCUCUGUACCGCCUCUUAAGGAAGGCCGAGUGUUUCGUUUGGACCCCUGAGGCCGAGGAAGCCCUCGGCAACCUGAAGGCGCUCCUUACAAAGGCGCCAGUCUUGGUGCCGCCGGCGAACGGAGAAACCCUCUUGGUCUACGUCGCCGCGACCACUCAGGUGGUUAGCGCCGCGAUUGUGGUCGAAAGGCAGGAGGAAGGGCAUACAUUGCCCGUUCAGAGGCCGGUCUACUUCAUCAGCGAAGUGCUGUCCGAGACUAAGAUCCGCUACCCACAAGUCCAAAAGCUGCUGUAUGCUGUGAUCCUGACGAGGCGGAAGCUACGACACUACUUCGAGUCCCAUCCGGUAACUGUGGUGUCAUCCUUCCCCCUGGGGGAGAUCAUCCAGUGCCGAGAGGCCUCGGGCAGGAUCGCAAAGUGGGCAGUGGAGAUCAUGGGCGAAACGAUCUCGUUCGCCCCUCGGAAGGCCAUCAAGUCCCAAGUGUUGGCGGAUUUCGUGGCUGAAUGGGUCGACACCCAACUACCAACGACUCCGAUCCAACCGGAGCUCUGGACCAUGUUUUUCGACGGGUCGCUGAUGAAGACGGGGGCCGGUGCAGGCCUUCUCUUCAUCUCGCCCCUCGGAAAGCACUUGCGCUACGUGCUGCGCCUCCACUUCCCGGCGUCCAACAAUGUGGCCGAGUACGAAGCUCUGGUCAACGGAUUGCGGAUCGCCAUCGAGCUAGGGGUCAGACGCCUCGACGCCCGCGGUGAUUCGCGGCUCAUCAUCGACCAAGUCAUGAAGAACUCCCACUGCCGCGACCCGAAGAUGGAGGCCUACUGCGACGAGGUUCGGCGCCUGGAAGACAAGUUCUUCGGGCUCGAGCUCAACCACAUCGCUCGGCGCUACAACGAAACCGCAGACGAGCUGGCCAAGAUAGCCUCGGGGCGAACGACAGUCCCCCCAGACGUCUUCUCCCGGGAUCUGCAUCAACCCUCCGUCAAGCUCGACGACGCGCCCGAGCCUGAGGUACCCUCGGCUCAGCCCGAGGUGCCCUCGGCUCAGCCCGAGGUAUCCUCGGCUCAGCCCGAGGUACCCUCGGCUCAGCCCGAGGUACCCUCGGCCCCGAGGGCGGGGCGUUGAACGUCGAGGAAGGGCAGAGCGGGGCCACGCCAGACCAAGAUUGGCAGGCCCCAUACCUGCAAUAUCUCCGUCGAGGAGAGCUACCCCUCGACCAAGUCGAGGCUCGGCGGGUAGCGCGACGCGCCAAGUCAUUCGUCUUGCUGGGCGACGAAGAGGAACUCUACCAUCGUAGCCCCUCGGGCAUCCUCCAGCGAUGCAUCCCCAUCGCCGAAGGUCGGGAACUGCUGCAAGAAAUACACUCGGGGGCUUGCGGCCACCACGCAGCACCCCGAGCCCUUGUUGGAAAUGCCUUCCGGCAAGGCUUCUACUGGCCAACGGCGGUGGCUGACGCCACUAGAAUUGUCCGCACCUGCGAAGGGUGCCAAUUCUAUGCGAAGCGGACACACCUGCCCGCUCAGGCUCUAUAGACAAUACCCAUCACCUGGCCCUUCGCUGUAUGGGGUCUGGACCUCAUCGGUCCCUUGCAGAAGGCGCCCGGGGGCUACACGCACCUGCUGGUCGCCAUCGACAAAUUCUCCAAGUGGAUCGAGGUCCGACCCCUGAACAGCAUCAGGUCCGAGCAGGCGGUGGCAUUCUUCACCAACAUCAUCCAUCGCUUCGGGGUCCCGAACUCCAUCAUCACCGACAACGGCACCCAGUUCACCGGCAAAAAAUUCUUGGAUUUUUGCGAAGAUCACCAUAUCCGGGUGGACUGGGCCGCCGUGGCUCAUCCCAUGUCGAAUGGGCAGGUAGAGCGUGCCAACGGCAUGAUUCUACAAGGGCUCAAGCCUCGGAUCUACAACGACCUCAACAAGUUCGGCAGGCGAUGGAUGAAGGAACUCCCCUCGGUGGUCUGGAGCCUAAGGACGACGCCGAGUCGUGCCACGGGCUUCACGCCGUUUUUCCUGGUCUACGGGGCUGAAGCUAUCUUGCCCACUGACCUGGAAUACGGCUCCCCAAGGGCGAGGGCCUACACCAAACAAAGCAACCAAGCCAGCCGAGAGGAAUCGCUGGACCAGUUGGAGGAAGCUCGGGACAGGGCCUUACUACACUCGACGCGGUACCAACAGUCCCUGCGACGCUACCACGCCCGAGGGGUCCGGUCCCGAGAACUCCAGGUGGGCGACCUGGUGCUUCGGCUGCGACAAGACGCCCGAGGGAGGCACAAGCUCACGCCCCCCUGGGAAGGGCCAUUCGUCAUCGCCAAAGUUCUGAAGCCCGGAACAUACAAGCUGGCCAGCAAUCAAGGCGAGAUCUACGGCAACGCUUGGAACAUCAAACAGCUACGUCGCUUCUAUCCUUAAGAUGUUUUCAAGUUGUUCAUAUACCUCGCACCUACGCAAAGUUUAGUUGUCAAGGAAGGGUCGGCCUAGCCUCGGCGAAACCCGACCCUCCCUCGGGGGCUAAAAGGGGGGAGACCCCCUCUGCGUCGAAUUUUUCCUCGAAAAAGGAUCUCUUUUUAGCAGGAUUUCUUUCGUGCUUCUUGACUACUUCGGAAAGCGGAUCCUGGAAACGACGAGGUACACGUAAGCAGCCAAGGCUGACCGAGCCGAGGGACUCCUACGCCUCCGGGAUACGGAUACCUCACUCGUCCCCUUCUGCGAUAAGUAACUUGCGCUCGGAUAAAGCGACUCCGUGGACCGAACGAGUCAUCACGUUCGGAAGCUCUCCUGCCGAAGCAGUCCUUCAAGCUUUCUCGACUAAGUCGGGGACAGGGCCUCAUGGACGGGUGAAAGUACGCGUAAGCGGCAAGGCCGACCGAGCCGAGGGAUUCCCACGCCUCUGGGAUACGGAUACCUCACUCGUCCCUUCCGCGAAAAGCAGCUCUUGCUCACACAAACAUCCCUGUUACCGACGAAGUCCAGAUGCUCGAAACAGGAGGAAAAAAGGCGCAGCUUCGCAAGUGCAGCGAGGGUGUUUUCUUCUGGUCUCGGCGGCCGCAGGAAGCACACGCUACAAGAUGAUCGGAUCCUGCAGGCUCGGGUCUUCACGCCGAAGGGAGCUGUAGCACCCUCGGCAUCGACGACGUCUUCAGCAAAGCCCGACCCAGCCUCGGGAGGCGCCGCGGUCCAGGGGGUCCUCCGGGGAUCCGGCCCGAGCAGGCGGCUCAACCGGUUACCCCUGGGGCCUCGGUCAACCGGCUCCCAAGGGCGCCAGCCCGAUCUGAGGCCUCGACUGAUCGACUUUGGCGUCGGCCCCGCUGACGGACAACACGGCUAGGCUCCGGCCAACCAGGUUCCCAUUCUCGAGCCAACUCCGCCUCUGUUCAUACUGAUAUCGCUACCCCCGGCCUCGAUCCACCGAAGGGCGACCGAGGGGUCUCUUCAACUAAGCUAGAGGAGCCUCACAUAACAAGGCCGAACGGGCCGAGGGAUUCCUACGCCUCCGGGAUACGGAUACCUCACCCGUCACCUUGACACGGGGCAACUCAUGCUUGGUAAAGCGGUUCAGAUAAUCAAACAGGCGAGACCUAGUGCUCGAAAAUGAGGAAAAAACACGGCUCCGUGCCAAAAUUACAUACACGUUCAGGCCUCGACAGCCACAAUGAACGAACAACCCCCCUCCGAAGGGGAAGGCCUGCGGAGUAGCUGAAGAACGAUGGGCGGCUCGCUGCCGCCCGUUCCAACCGCGACGGCCACCUCCCCUGCCCCAGACAGCGAAGCAGCGUAAGCAGCAGCCUUGGGGGAGGUGUCACGGCAGAAGGGCUCCCCCCCCGCUGAGGACGAGAACCAGCCAUUCAGGCAGGGAGAUGGGGACCCAGGGCCCCUAGCGCCCUGCAUAUCCUGGCAUGGCUGGAGGAAGUCUCCGUGGGGCUCAAGGACGCCCUUCACCCCCGGGCGCAGGGGGAAGAAAGGGGCAGCCGACCCACGCGGAGGCGGCCCCCCGACUCGCCUCGUCUUCCAUCUUGGCCUGGAUGACGAAAAUCCUUGAGGCCGGGAGAGGGGUAGAAGCCGCGGCCUGGCCCGUUUUCCCCACCGUCGAACUAGAGGUCACCAUCUUGGGUGACCGCCGGUGGCGGGGUAUGGCCAGGCUGCGUGAUGAAAAUCCUUGAAGCCGAACGAUGGCUGAGAGGUACCAGCUCCCAUGGAGUUGCGUUCCUCCAACGAGGAGGCGGAAAGGCGGCGGAUACCCCCCAUCCGGGGGCUUGGAAGACGGGAAGACCCGACGCUUAAGGGAGGAAGAAGACAUGGUUGCCUUACGAAGGGAGCCUCCCUCCUUUUAAAGGCAACUCCCCCUACGUGCGCCCCCAAGCGCCGCGGACCGAGUCUUCUCCAACACGCUCCAAGGCCCUCCCCUGCGACUCGGGGGCUGGGUCCCGCAUGUCAUGCAAGCCGGCUCAGGGCAGAAGAAGCCAAACCGCCGCGCAUGGUGCGCACGACCGUCCAGCGGUUACAGGCGACCCCCCAUUUUCGCCCAGACCAACGGGCAGAAGGGGCGGGCAGCCAUGCAGGCGGCAUGCAACCGCGCCAGAUGGACGCGCUUCUCCGACUUCCGACACGCCAGCCUGGAACCCAGGCCCACGCGUCGAGCAACCGGCACGCCAGUUGCUGCAUGCAAGCAACCACACCGCCACUUGUGCCACCAUCGCGCCUCUUCGGUUGCGAAGCCUGUGCCACGACUCGAGGCGACCCAACAGCGCCAGACUGGCGCGUCGGUCAAAGCGACCGAAAGUGGGCCAGCAGUAAUAGCGGUGGCAGGCGGGCGGGCACAGCAGUCACGUCGUCAGCCAGGCUCACGUCCCAUCCUGAGACAGCAAGGGAGCCUCCUCUCACGGCAUGAAGACAGUGCACCCGUGACCCAUUCCUCGAACGGAUCGCACGCGCGCAACGGCCGCCCCGCCAACCACUCACCCCGUCGCAUUAACUCCGCGGCGAGACACGCGGCGCUUUUGGCAGGAGGAGCGCGCGACGCUUCACCUUCGCCGUAAUAACCGCGUCAGAAAAGGUACGCCACAUCGUCCGAUUUCGUAUCCUUUUCCGUUUUCCUCUUUCUCUAUCUCUUGCAACAGGGACCGGGAAAGGGGGAUACCCCGAAAGGGAUCCUUCUCCGCGAAGGAACCGGGCUCCGAGCCCACCCACUACUGGUCAGGGGUUCGAAGGCCAGCCCCCCGAAGGGCUUCAUGGCCGCCUCAGGCUACUCGAGCUCCGCGCCCAUUACUGAUCAGGGGUUCGAAGGCUGGCCCCCGAAGGGUUCACAGUCGCCUCAGACACCGAGCGAGGGAUGACCAGGGGUACGUUCGAUACAUAACCGAGGCUCGGGCUGCGCUCCGAGGUACCCUAGGACAUUUCCGAGACCAGUGGGAACGAUCUUGUAACGGAAUCCCAUCGGAGGGAGGCAUCGAGCCCUCGGACCCCGUCGCCAGGGGACCGGGUCCGGCAAAUCACCCGCAGGUACUUUUGGGCGUGCCUCUGGGCCCCUAGCCGACCCCCAACGAACGGGGCACGGACGUCCACUCGGAUUACCCGCUUGCAGCUCACCGGAGACACCAUGUUCGGUGCCCAUCGAGGGUAACAUGGCGCACUCCCCCCCCUCCUCCUUGCGGAAAGGCGACGUAGGGGCGUAUGUAAAAAGCCGAGUCUGUCCCUGAUUGUCCUCUCGCCCUGUGCAGAGGCUCGGGGGCUGCUCUCGCAAAAACCGGCUCCGGCCAAAUCGUUGACAGCGUCAACAUACCAGCCCGAGAGUUUGGGCCCCGACCGUGCACCCGGGCUACGGCCAGUUCGCAUGAGGGAACGACCAGACCAGCCAAAGUAUUAAGACCUCGAAGGAGUGUAACCACUCCUCCGAGGCCUCGGGGGCUACACCCGGCGGGUGCGCUCGCGCGCACCCACCGGAACGAAAUGCAACCGAGAAAGGCUGGUCCCCUUGCGAAAAAGUGCGACAAAAGCCUCCAAGCGAGUGCUAACACUCCCUUCGAGGCUCGGGGGCUACUGUCGGGGACCAUAAUUAGGGGUACCCUCAAGACGCCUAAUUCUCAGCUGGUAACCCCAUCAGCAUAAAGCUGCAAAGGCCUGAUGGGCAUGAUUAAGUCAGGGAUCAGUCCACACGAGUGACUCGAUCACGCUUCACCCGAGCCUAGCCUCGGCCGAAGGCAGCCGACCUCGAGAGACUUCCGUCUCGCCCGAGGCCCCCUUUUUAUGGCGGACACAUCACCGGCUCGCCCAAGGCCUUGGCUUCGCUCAGAAGCAACCUUGACUAAAUCACCACACCGACUGACCAAAUUGCAGGGGCAUUUAACGCACAGGAGGCCUGACACCUCUAUCCUGACACGCGCCUCCAGCAGAGCCGAGGUGACCGCCGUCACUCCACCGCUCCACUGGCCAGUCUGACAGAAGGACAGCGCCGCCUGCGCCACUCCGACUGCAGCGCCACUCGACAGAGUAAGUCUGACAGGCAGUCAGGCCUCGCCAAAGGCGCCACGGCGAACUCCGCCCCGCCCGACCCCAGGGCUCGGACUCGGGCUAAGAUCCGGAAGACGGCGAACUCCGCUCCGCCCGACCCCAGGGCUCGGACUCGGGCUAGGACCCGGAAGACGGCGAACUCCGCUCCGCCCGACCCAGGGCUCGGACUCGGCUAAGACCCGGAAGACGGCGAACUCCGCUCCGCCCGACCCCAAGGCUCGGACUCGGGCUAAGACCCGGAAGACGGCGAACUCCGCUCCGCCCGACCCAGGGCUCGGACUCGGGCUAAGACCCGGAAGACGACGAAACUCCGCCUCGCCCGACCCCAAGGCUCGGACUCCGCCUGGCCUCGGCCGAACGACUUCCGCCUCGACCGACCCCUUGGCUCGGGCUCGGCCACGGCAACAGAAGGCAGACUCAACCUCGGCUUCGGAGGAAACCCCACGUCGCCCUGCCUAGGGCACAGACCGCCACGUCAACAGGAGGCGCCAUCAUCAUCCCACCCCGAAUCGACUCGGGUCACGGAGAACAAGACCGGCGUCUCAUCCGGCCAGCUCCGCCAGAGAGGCAAUGAUGGCGCUCCACAAGCUCUAUGACGACGGCGGCCCCUAGCUCUCUUACGGAAGCAGGACAACGUCAGCAGGGACUCGACCGCUCCAACAGCUGUCCCUCCAUCAGGCUCCGCCGCACCUCCAACAGCCACGACAUCACGCCAGCAGGGUGCCCAGAUCUCUCCGGCUGCCACAUUGGCAUGUACCUAGGGCGCUAGCUCUCCCUCCGCUAGACACGUAGCACUCUGCUACAUCCCAUUGUACACCUGGGUCCUCUCCUUACGACUAUAAAAGGAAGGACCAGGGCCUUCUCAGAGAAGUUGGCCGCGCGGGACCGAGGACGGGACAGGCGCUCUCUUGGGGCCGCUCGCUUCCCUCACCCGCGUGGACGCUUGUAACCCCCCUACUGCAAGCGCACCUGACCUGGGCGCGGGACGAACACGAAGGCCGCGGGACUUCCACCUCUCUCACGCUCGGCUCCGGCCGCCUCGCCUCUCCCCCUUCCGCUCGCCCACCGCUCGACCCAUCUGGUUGGGGCACGCACACACUCACUCGUCGGCUUAGGGACCCCCUGUCUCGAAACGCCGACAAUACCCAUCAGAUAUUGGAUCGCGGGUACACAUUGCCAUCUCUAUGUGUGUGAUACACGAGCUUUGUGGGCUUGACAACCUCAUCCGCGGAAUCAGCGUGUGGGGUCCAUGAGUGGCCCAAAAUGUAACCAACGGCCGGCUGCGGGCUACAGGCUGCGUGGGAGACUGGGAGGACCCCAAACCUCUCGGGAACUGAGGUGUUUGAUUUGACAACCAAGUUGGAUUUGGAGUCCAUGGAAUAUGGGCAUGUAUAGAUGUACUCUAAGUAUAAGAUCUAAGUAUAAGAUAUGCUAAAACACAAUAUAAUACAAUGAGUAUGUCUAAAAUCUGUGUCUUACUAUAUUUAUUGCACCAAUAAUAACAUUUAAUAAAUUAAAUUGACCAAUCAAUUAAUACCGUGUCUCAAGCAUAGAGUCAAGAUACAGUGUCUUCGUUAAUAUACAUGUUUUGAGUUUUUUAUAUUUACUCCCUUAGACACACUCGAAGAUACAACUCAAGACACUCAUUGUACAUAUCCUAAAAUAAACAACUGUGUUUAAUAUAAAGGAACAACAAUCUUGCAUCAUGAGUGUUGCAUAACCAGAUUCCUCAAUGCCCACAGUUAUUUGGUCCUCUCUCUCCACUCGGUGCUGAUCUGAUUGCUAAAUCUUUAAGGAGGUAUUUGGUUUGAGGGAUGACUCCAUCCAAGAUGUGAUGCAUUAUGGUGGGAUGACCUUGUUCUUCAUGUAAGUACUAACUAAUAGGGUGUUUGGUUUGAGAAAUAAGCUAGUCCAUCAUCUUCUCACUCCUCACUUUUUAGUUUGGUUUAUGGAAUGAAAUGAGUUGAUCUAUCACCACUUUAUUCCUUAUAGUUACUUAGUUAAUAUUAAGAUGAGGAAUGAGAUCAUCCAACUAAAUUUGAGGAAUAGAUUCAUGAUGUAUCACCUUAUAUUGGAUGGACUGAUUCCUCAAACCAAACACCCUCUAACUAACUAUGAGGAAUGAAGUGGUGAUGGAUCAACUCAUUUUAUUUCACCCCAAACAAAAAAUGAGGAGUGAGAAGAUGAUAGACUAGUUUAUUCAUCAACCAAAACAGUGGAUUGUUAGAUAAGAUUGAACAUGAUCAUAUCAUUGAAUAAUUUAUUUCAAGGAACAAAGAGAAUGAAGUUAUUCAAGUAAAAUUUAUAUAACCAAGAGUUUAAUAGGUAUGUUUUUUAUAAAUUCCAUUUCUAUGUAAUACUUUAUAAUAUUUAUAUUAUAAUAUUUUUAUUUUUUAGUAUUUUUGGGAGAAAAGGCCUCUAUUUAACAAUUUUGUGCAGGGCCUGGUUUUUGCCAGCACGGCCAUGUAUGUCAUCAUUACAGCUAGAUAUUAUACUCUAUUUAGGCUUUGUUUAAAUAUUUUAAUAUUGAUCUUAAUUCAUAUUUUUAGGUGGAUUGAUGGCGUAAAUUAGUUUACAAUUUCUCAUCCUCCUGUAACUAACGGGCGUUGCCAUACGUGUGCAGCAACAUAGAUGUCCUCUUGGACGCACCCCAACUUGGCGAGCGCGAUUGGGCCGCGGAUGAGGCGCGUGUGAGCCACACCGCGCCAGGCUGCCCCUCCCUCCGCCGCACAACCUCACCGAUCCCACUUUAAGCCACACCAUCGCCCCACCGUCUCCUCUCGUCCGCCUCCCGCCGGCCACCACCUUGUUCUUGCUGUCUCGGUGCUGCAAUGGCAGCGGCGACCUCGCUGGCAGCGUGCGCACGAGCGUCUGCGUCCGGCCUCCACACGGGCCGCCUCGCCGUGCGCGCCGCCGCCCUCCCGGCAGACGGCCGCAGUGACGGCGCUGCCUCCUAUAAGGAACUUGGUACGUCCGCCUCUCGCAGCUUUAAGCGCAUCCCUUGGAGCAUGCGGAAGAAGACUUCGAAAUUCGUAGUGGCUAGUCACUAGUGUACAAUGCGGGGUCAAUUGGAGGAACUGAGAAACGAGAGGGUAGCAAAACACAGUAGCUAAUUUGGUUGGUCAAGAGAUUCCCGAGGAGGGGACUUCCUUACUAGCUCUUGGCCUCUUAACUGGCAGACAUCCAAAAGUUUCAUUAUCUUGGCACAAAGUUAAUUUGUUCACCUGAUUCCUGGAUAAAAAGCAGUCUGAAUAUAGAACGCAAAAUUCUCCUUUUUGCAUUAAAGUUCAGAGGUUGAGAAAAACUGCACUGAGCCUAGCUGAACAAAGUACUACUCCUUAAACCUAGAAUCUCAAAUUACUAAAUAAACUGAUUGCUUGUUGUUUGAAGGUCUGUACUCCUUGAAAAAGAGGAUUGAAGAUGCAGUUGUGCGGGUUGAAACGACCGCUUCCGAUGCUCUGGAGUUGGAGGAAGCACAGAGAAUUAAGCAGGAAGAAGUACUGCAGAAACGUAACUUGUGGGAUAAUCCAGCUAAGUCACAUGAGACUCUGUCUGCUCUGGCUGAUGCUAUCAGGGUGGUCGACCAUCUUAAAGAUCUUCGCUUCAAGGUACUUUCUAUACAGUAUUAUGAGUUCAACAAACGGUUUUUGUUCUCAGGAUUUCAAGAAACAAAUAUAUGCUUUUUAUAGUGUGAUGUUUCAUGCAUGCAAACAGGCCUUAAAAGACACGCUAAACCAUGUGUACUCUGUCACUUCCCUUCACUAAAUUGCACAAAUAUACAGUUUCAAUUCUUUUUGUAUUUGUUCUGUGCACAGAAACUACAAUUUGAAUUGGCGCUUCUGUUUUUAUUUGUGGUGAUCAUUAGAUAUAUUGUGCAGGCUGAAGAGGCGAAGUUGAUUAGUCAAUUAUCAGAGAUGGAUGCCAUAAAUGGUGAGCUAUUUAAGCAAGCAUACAAAUCUUCAGUAGACGCUAGUGAGUAUCUAGAUCGCUACCAGAUGUACAAGCUUCUUAAGGGUCCGUAUGACAAGGAGGGAGCGUGCAUUAUUGUUACUGCAGUAUCUAACGGUGUUACUUCUGAGGUAAGUUGACUGUACCUGCAUCCUAUAUGUGUAUGGUCAAAUGGUAAUGACAAUAGAAUAAUAGUAUAAGAAAUACUGAUGUAGCUUUAGUUACAAUUUCACCUUUCUAAUUUGAAUAUAUAACCUUAAUCACUGCCCUUUUUACCUUCAUGAAUUUGUUGUUAAUUAGUAUCCUUCUCAAAUCCAUAUAAAAACUAAAGCAACUGGCCAGUUAAUUCAUAAAAUUUCUUUCAAAUAUGCUAAUAGCCUAUAGUGAUUCGUACUCCCAUACUGCUAGAUGGAAGCUGGUAUUUUACUAUGAAUGUGGUCAACCUUUUACUCACAAAAAUGUUGAUAUUUGUCUGCUGCAGCUGUGGGCAGAGAAGGUCUUUGGCAUGUAUACAAGUUGGGCACGGAAGCAAGGUUACAAGGUUGGAUUGAUUGAGAAGAUAUUUUCAACUAGUGGCCAUAUCCAAUCUGCAACAAUGGAGAUUGAAUCAGAGUACAUGUUUGGCACCCUUUCUGGAGAAAAAGGAAUGCAUCAAAUGAUAUACUCCUCCCUUGAAAAUUCUGACAUUGAUCAGGUGAUUAUCCUUUCUGUUGUUAUUUGUUAAUUUUUAUCAGAAUUCAUCAGGAAUUGUUGAGUGCCAAGUUUAAAUUAAUAUACAUGACAAACUAUCCAUGUAAAUCUUACACAGCAGUAAGCUUCUGCUGCUGCUGCUGCUGCUGCUCUGCAAGAUAUAUUAGCCAAUAGAUUGCUCAAGUCAAAGAAAGUAAUCCUUGAGUCUCACAUGUUCAGAAUUAAGCUUGAGACUGUUUUUUUUUUCUUUUCUCGAACACACAGGAGAGCUCAAAAGUGUUAACUAAUAUGAAUAACCGCACAUGGAACUAUUUUGGAUAGAGUUGACCAUAGAUAGAGUUAUGUUGCUUAGUCUCAAAUAGUAGCAGGGAGGUCACAAGUUCUUACAAAAAGGUCGGCCAAAGAUGAAGCCCAAUUAAAUACACAAUUCAGAAUGAAAACCAUCAUAACUUUUAACAUAGUUAAACCAACAUGCUGAUCUAAGCGAGAACAUCAAGUAACAUGUUAUUAUGUUAGGUAAGUCUGAUCCUUUUACUACUGGGUUGAAAGAAUAGACUGCGAGGUGAUGCUUUCUGAUUUAGUAUUUCAAUGCUAAACUUCCUGUUUUACUUCUGAAGAUGUCUGGUAGAAAAUCUGGGUUAUGGAGUAUGGGCACAAUUCUGUCAUGAUCUUUUUUCAUAUGCUGCCAAGUAUCAGAAUGGCUAACCCAAUAUUUACCAAAGCUUGCAGGCAUUAUCAGCUAGAGUCGACAUAAUUCCCCUGUUCUUGGAUAGACCAGUUGUUCUUCACUUGGAUGACGAUGAUAUAGAGACCUCUCCCUCACCUUCUGUACAUAAGAAGGGAGAUAGAAGAAAUGGUGUUGCCGUUAGGGUUCAACACGUACCAAGUGGAGUCACUGCUGAAAGUUCAGGUACUGAACAAAUGUCGCUUAUGCAAAUGUGAACUAGUACGCAAUUGUUAAUUGUGGCUGGAAUUUAACAAGGUAUCCUAUCAACAGGUGAGAGAAGCUACUUUGCGAACAAGCUAAAAGCCACAAGUAGGUUGAAAGCAAAGCUCCUUCUAAUAGCUAGAGAAUUGAAAGUAUCGGAUAUAAAAACAAUCAACAGACAAGCUGUAGAGGAUAAAUGCAACUGUGGAGCACGAAGAUACACAUUUGGACGUCAGAAAUUGGUACAUGAUCUCAAUACAGGCAUCCAAUUGUCAGACUUGAACUCAGUCUUGGAAGGCGAUAUCGAACCAUUCAUCAGAGGCCGUAUUACAUCCAGACAAUUGUGAUGCACCCAGCUCUCACAAAGUCAUUGAUCUGUUCGCUCGUUAUGAUUCUGUACAUUUAUUUCUUUUCUUUUACAGAACAAAUCACAUCAUAAGAUAAUAUCUGUAAAUAUAUCACAUUUCAAGUCAAAAGGGCAUGCCAAAAGGUAUACAAAACAUCAAUAUUAAUGAGCAUUGUCAAGCUUGAAUCUCUUUUAUUGUGUAGAGUUAGUGGAACUUGUUGGCUAUCAACACCGCAUCCUCAAUAGCUAGUCCUUCGCCUUACACCACCUCAUUGUCAUAGAAACCAGACUACAAAUCUGACCUUGAAGAGUCAAUUCAUGCAAAUACACCAUUGGACAAGAUGUAACAUUUGGUGUUUUUUAUGUGAUAUAAUACUAACUUUUUAAAAUUUAUUGUUUGAUCGUGUGUUGCAUGUAAUAAUAGGCUAAACUUAAGCCAAUCUUUUUCCUUCUCACCCACCUUUCAAAUUCCAACAUCUAUACUUUUGUGAUGGCAACCCUCUUGUUAUGAUGUUGAUGGUGCUAAUGAUGUGACAUGAUUUAUUUCAAAAUAAAAUUUGGUUUAAAUUCAAGCCUCCACUCAGAUUCAACAUGAAGUCAUUAAUACAUGAUUUCCUAUUUUCUGAAAUCCAAAAUCAUAUCUCCCUCUCGUCUCCUUCAAAGAAUGUUUCUAAAUUAACCUUGUGCAUUUCUAAAUUUGGAGUUAAAUCUCUUUGAAUACCCUAGGGAUAAAUGGAAAAGAACGCCCUCCAUCCUUGACCAACUAUAGACAGCUUGGGGUGCUAGGAAGGGGUUUCCUUCUUCUCUUUUUUUAUCCUCCCUUUUGUUCCUUCUUACUUCUUCCUUCUUCCAAAAAAACAGGAGGGGCUCUGAAAGAUCCUAGUUUUAUUUUGGUAAUUGAGUAACAACUUAGAUGGAUUUAUGUGUUAUAUGUUGAAAUACAUAUGUGCAGAUGUGCUUAGACCACAUGCACAUUAGUGUGAGCACCAAAUAAAGUCAUGGUCUAGAGGUCGCUUGGACAUGUUGUGUUGGGGAUGUGUCUUUAUUGAAGGUCCUCAACUCGUGAGUUCUAUUCGUUUCUGUUUUGGGGGUAAUUGUGUAAGCUUCGUCUUUGGAACCUUCGUCACCCGAAAAGGGUAGUAGAAGCUUUGUCACCAGAGCAGCUCGGGUGAAGCGUUUCAGAAGGACUGGAUGUCAUCUUUGGUGUCACCGGAGCGAAGGAAGAUUGAGCACACUUGCACGACACAUUUUGUGAGGGAAAGUACAUCAAUACCCCAUUGGAUUCUAUAGUUCACGUGUAUAAAGUUUAGGGGCACAAAUGUAAUUUCAUACGAAGUUGCUCAUUACCAUAUCCCUACAAAUAGGUGUAUAAUGCCCAUGCAAAGCAGCACUUUCGCUGCUCAUGUACACUCAGUUGGCCCAAAAUGCUCCGCCUCCAAAGCUUCUUGAGUGUAAAUACCUCUGGACAAUGUAGAGCCGCUAGAUAGGUGAGCAACAAGUGGCAUCAUGGGUCCAUGGAGCCACCGAGUGGGCUACAUAGCGACGGGUGACGAUUGACUUCUGCCUACGUUGUGUGAUGCGCUAGGGCGACUGAGCGUGAGGGCGAGUGGACCACCAGAUGUAAUUGGGCCACCAACUCAAAAGACUCCAGGUGUACUUUUUCAUUUUAACCUGAAUACUAUUUUAUUUUUUGUUGUAUAUAACACUAUAUAUACUGAAAUUUUUGACAAAAAUCUUGGGUAUUCAUUUGAAUACCCGUGACACUAGUGUAGGCACACUCAUGUCAGAGCUUGCACAUUAUUUUCUAGUGUGCAUCCUAUAGGGACAUCGGAUGGGUCUGAUGCAAGUUUUGAUAGCACAUGAAAAGUAGUUUUUUUUGUGCACAGAGUUGUCCUGUGUGCAUCGAACAUGUACACCAGAUUGUUCUUUCAAAGAAGUUGUUUUAGGUGUGCUUUGAGCUGUGGUGAGAACUGGACAUAUCAUAUGGGUUAUAUAUAUAUGUGGGUUGGUUGGUCAUUUGAGAGUGUUGAGAUCUUUGUGAACCCUAUCACAUGUAUAGGUGCCCAUGAGAGUCCUCCACUCACAUAUGAAUACUUCAGAUUCUGAUUUGUGAUGCGAUGGUGACAAACUGAGAUCAUAAGGGUUCCCCCAUAGGACCUAAAAGCAUCUACCGCUAGUUUAGUUUUGUUGAUUAAUGACUAAAGUGUGUUUUGCAGAAACCAGGUAAGUUACACCACUAUAAUGGAAGAUGGUUGAGCUUAUGUGGUAUUCAUGCUCUUAUUAAUGAAACCAAUCAUUGGUUUUAAAGGAUGAUCGAGAAGGUUAAGGAUCAUCUAGUUCCAAGAAACAAUGUAGUCGUUGAACACUUAGAGUACUGACAACCUUAUUUUUCUUUGGUCGUACUAUAAAGAGGGGCAUGAAAUGGGAAGCUUGACCUAGACAACUCUAACUAAGAGUGGUGAUGCACACUUAUGAAAAUUAGUGCAAAGUAAACCCAUGAGAGCCUAUGAGAAGUUUGAAAGAAAACCCAACUUUAAAAGUGAUUGAAACAAGUGAAUUGGUGGUGUUGCAACAGAACUGGACGUUUUUGGUGGGCACUAUUUAUGUGCCAUUCAUAGGAGUGUGCCUUGUUGAGAAUGAGAGACACCAGCAUGUCCGGUGUGUAUAGAAUAUGGUCCACCAGACAGGGCAUCUAAAAAGCUUGCAGAAUUGGCCUCAGACACAUUGUACUCAACAAACAUGUUUGGUGUACCACUAGACAGGGUACUCGAGAGAGAUUCUGAAAUGUAUCUAUGAAGCUAAGUCCUAACCGCAUGUGUCUAAGUACCAUCGGAUAGGGUACUCAGUGAGGUCUACAUCUAUGCACUCAAGGUUGUACUCACUAGAUGUGUAUGCUAUGACACUAGUGUGAGCAUGAGAUACUAGCAUAAUAACAACUAUUUUUAAAAUUAGCUAUUGGGAAAGCACCAGACGUGUUUGGUGUAGGGAGUUGAUGUGCACUAAACAUGUCCAGUAUGCUAUGACACUACAGCUCAAGUCAUGAGCCCCAACUCGAAUACGUGAGGUGAGGGCCAACACCAAUGGGGCUACCACAUGUAGCGUAGCCGCCAUAGGUAUGUCCUAUGGAAAUGAAACCUGAGCAGGUGGUGCUAGGAUCGAUGAUGAGGUGGUGUAUGCCUCUCUCUUUUGGUGACUCUAUUGCCUCAUUGCUUGUUUGGAGCUAGAUUUGGUCGCCCCUCAUAGUGGAGUAGAUGUGUCCUCUUUCAAGGUCAAAAUGGGUGCAGGCAUUAGCGCUAGUUGUGCCACCUCGACAAUCCACCUACUCUACUAGUUGUCUUGUCCACCGGUGAGAUUUGUGUUCAUGUGCCACCCUAUGUUUCAUCGUGGCCAAAGUAAGCGUUGGCAGCAGUGCCUGUGUUGAUUCCUACUUCGUCAUGGUGGUGGUGACCUACCCAGGGGAUGCCCUUGGUUGCAUGGAGUUCUAUGCAAUAGAUCAUCCUAGUUUUGACUAGGGUUCUUCAAUGACACCUCAAGCGUCAUAUACCUCGAUGGAGGCGUCAUUAAAAAACUACAUGCUUUAGUUUGUGUUGAUGGUCGUGUCCAUAAUGAUUGAAAGGGAAUUAGGCUUACACCUAUUUCCUAAUUGAUUUUGGUGGUUGAAUUGCCCAACACAAAUAAUUGGACUAACUAGUUUGCUCUAGUCUAUAAGUUAUACAGGUGCCAAAGGUUCACACUUAGCCAAUAAAAAGAACAAGAAAUGGGUUCAACCAAAAGAGCAAGGGAUAACCGAAGGCUGCCCUGGUCUGGCGCACCGGACUAUCCGGUGCACCACCGGACAGUGUCCGGUGCACCAGGGAACUCGACGCCCAACUUCGCAUCUUCGGGAUUUUUCAGAGGCGCUUCGCUAUAAUUCAUCGGACUGUCCGGUGCACCACCGGACAGUGUCCAGUGCCCCAGAGGAGAGCGACUCUGAACUCGCCAGCUUCGGAUUUCCGCUCCGCUAUAAUUCACCGGACAUGUCCGGUGCACACCGGACUGUCCGGUGAGCCAGCGGAGCAACGACUACUUCGCGCCAACGGUCGACUGCAGGGGCAUUGAAUGCGCGCCAGCGCGCGCAGAAGUCAGAGCACGCGCGGGAGGCACACCGGACAGUCUACAGGACUUGUUCGGUGCACCACCGGACAGCCAGGCGGGUCCCCACGUCAGAGCUCCAACGGUCGGAACCCAACGGCCUGGUGACGCGGCUGGCGCACCGAACAGUGUCCGGUGGCGCACCGGACUGUCCGGUGCGCCAUGCGACAGCAGCCUCCACCAAACGGCUAGUUUGGUGGUUGGGGCUAUAAAUACCCCAACCACCCCCACAUUCAAGUCAUCCAAGUUUUCCAACUUCCAACCACUUACAAGAGCUCUAGCAUUCAAUUCUAGACACACCCAAGUGCUCAAAUCAUCUCCCAAUUCCACAAAAGCUUUAGUGUUAAGUGAGAGAGAUUUGUUGUGUUCUUUUGAGCUCUUGUGCUUGUAUUGCUUUCUUUCUCAUUCUUUCUUGAGAUCAAACUCACUUGUAAUUGAAGCAAGAGACACCAAUCGUGUGGUGAUCCUUGUGGGAACUUUGUGUUCCAAGUGAUUGAGAAGAAAAGCUCACUCGGUCCAAGGGACCGUUUGAGAGAGGGAAAGGGUUGAAAGAGACCCGGUCUUUGUGACCACCUCAAUGGGGAGUAGGUUUGCGAGAACCGAACCUCGGUAAAACAAAUCCGCGUGUCACACUCUUUAUUCGCUUGCGAUUUGUUUUGCACCCUCUCUCGCGGACUCGAUUAUAUUUCUAACGCUAACCCGGCUUGUAGUUGUGAUUAAUUUUGUAAAUUUCAGUUUCGCCCUAUUCACCCCCCCUCUAGGCGACUUUCAAUUGGUAUCGGAGCCGGUGCUUCAUUAGAGCCUAACCGCUCAAAGUGAUGUCGGGAGGUCACACCAAGAGGGAGAUGGAGACCGGUGACAAGCCCAUCGGCGACAAGCCCACUACAAGUCACGGGAAGGCUUCAUCGGAAGAGUCCCGCAACAAAAAGAAAGGGAAGGAAAAGAAAUCCUCUUCCCACAAGUCGCAUCAAAGUGGCGACAAGAAAAAGAAGAUGAGGAAGGUGGUCUACUACGAGACCGAUACUUCAUCACCUUCCACAUCCGGCUCCGACGCGCCAUCCAUCACUUCUAAGCGCCAUGAGCGCAAGAAGUUUAGUAAGAUCCCCCUACGAUAUCCUCGCAUUCCUAAACAUACGCCUUUACUUUCCGUCCCAUUAGGCAAACCACCAACAUUUGAUGGUGAAGACUAUGCUAGGUGGAGUGAUUUAAUGCAAUUUCAUCUAACUUCACUCCACAAAAGUAUAUGGGAUGUUGUUGAGUUUGGUGUACAGGUACCUUCCGUAGGGGAUGAGGAUUAUGAUGAGGACGAGGUUGCCCAAAUUGAGCACUUCAACUCCCAAGCCACAACUAUACUCCUCGCCUCUCUAAGUCGAGAGGAGUAUAACAAGGUGCAAGGAUUAAAGAGCGCCAAGGAAGUUUGGGACGUGCUCAAGACCGCGCACGAGGGAGAUGAGCUAACCAAGAUCACCAAGCGGGAAACGAUCGAGGGGGAGCUCGGUCGCUUCCGGCUUCGCAAAGGGGAAGAGACACAAGACAUGUACAACCGGCUCAAAACCUUGGUGAACCAAGUGCGCAACCUCGGGAGCAAAAAGUGGGAUGACCACGAGAUGGUUAAGGUUAUUCUUAGAUCACUUAUUUUCCUUAACCCUACUCAAGUUCAAUUAAUUCGUGGUAAUCCUAGAUAUACACUAAUGACUCCCGAGGAAGUAAUCAGGAAUUUUGUGAGCUUUGAGUACAUGAUCAAGGGCUCAAAGAAAAUCAAUGAGCUAGAUGAUCCCUCCACAUCCGAAGCACAACCGGUCGCAUUUAAGGCGACAGAGGAGAAAAAGGAGGAGUCUGCACUGAGUAGACAACCAAUCGACGCCUCAAAGCUCGACAACGAGGAAAUGACGCUCGUCAUCAAGAGCUUCCGCCAAAUCCUCAAACAAAGGAGGGGGAAAGAUUACAAGCCCCGCUCCAAGAAGGUUUGCUACAAGUGUGGUAAGCCCGGUCACUUUAUAGCAAAAUGUCCUAUUUCUAGUGACAGUGACAGGGGCGACGACAAGAAGGGGAGAAGAAAGGAGAAGAAGAAAUACUACAAGAAAAAGGGUGGCGACGCCCAUGUAUGCCGCGAGUGGGACUCGGACGAGAGCUCCUCCGACUCCUCCUCCGACGAGGACGCCGCCAACAUCGCCAUCAACAAAGGCCUUCUCUUCCCCAACGUCGGCCACAAGUGCCUCAUGGCAAAGGACGAUAAAAAGAAGAAGGUUAAAUCUAAAUCCUCCACUAAGUAUGAGUCCUCUAGAGAUGAUAAUGCUAGUGAUGAGGAAGAUAAUUUGUGUACUCUUUUUGCCAACUUAAACAUGCAACAAAAAGAAAAAUUAAAUGAAUUGAUUAGUGUUAUCCAUGAGAAGGAUGAUCUCUUGGACUCCCAAGAGGACUUCCUUAUUAAAUAAAACAAGAAGCAUGUUAAAGUUAAAAAUGCUUACGCUCUAGAAGUAGAAAAAUAUGAAAAACUAUCUAGUGAGCUAAGCACUUGCCAUGAGACUAUAGACAACCUUAGAAAUGAAAAUGCUAAUUUGUUAGCUAAGGUUGAUUUAAAUGUUUGUGAUGCUUCAAUUCCCAAUCUUAGAAAUGAUAAUGAUAAUUUGCUUGCUAAGAUUGAAGAAUUAAACAUUAUUCUUGCUAGCCUUAGGAAUGAAAAUGAAAAAUUGCUUGCUAAGGCUAAAGAACUUGAUGUUUGCAAUAUUACAAUUUCCGAUCUUAGGGAUAAAAAUGAUAUAUUGCGUGCCAAGAUUGUUGAACUUAAUUCUUGCAAACCCUCUAUAUCUACCGUUGAACACACUACUAUUUGCACUAGAUGUAGAGAUGUUAACAUUGAUGCUAUUCAUGAUCACAUGGCUUUAAUUAAACAACAAAAUGAUCAUAUAGCAAAGUUAGAUGCUAAAAUUGCUGAGCAUGACUUAGAAAACGAAAAGUUCAAAUUUGCUAGAAGCAUGCUUUAUAGAGGGAGACGCCCUGGCAUUAAGGAUGGCAUUGGUUUCCAACAGGGAGGCAAUGUCAAACUUAAUGCCCCUCCUAAGAAAUUGUCCAACUUUGUUAAGGGCAAGGCUCUCAUGCCUCAAGAUAACGAGGGUUACAUUUUGUACCCUGCCGGUUAUCCUGAGAGCAAAAUUAGAAGAAUUCAUUCUAGGAAGUCUCACUCUGGCCCUAACCAUGCAUUUAUGUAUAAGGGCGAGACAUCUAGUUCUAGGCAACAACCCGUGCUAAGUUGCCUAAGAAGAAAACUCCUAGUGCAUCAAAUGAUCAUGACAUUUCAUUUAAGACUUUUGAUGCAUCUUAUGUGUUAACUAACAAAUCCGGCAAGGUAGUUGCCAAGUAUGUUGGGGGCAAGCACAAGAGGUCAAAAACUUGUGUUUGGAUACCCAAAGUUCUUGUGUCUAAUGCCAAAGGACCCAAAACCAUUUGGGUACCUAAAGUCAAGAACUAAACAUGUUUUGUAGGUUUAUGCAUCCGGGGGCUCAAGUUGGGUAAUCGACAGCGGGUGCACAAACCACAUGACAGGGGAGAAAAAGAUGUUCUCCUCCUACGAGAAAAACCAAGAUCCCCAACGAGCUAUCGCAUUCGGGGAUGGAAAUCAAGGUUUGGUCAAAGGAUUGGGUAAAAUUGCUAUAUCUCCUGACCAUUCUAUUUCUAAUGUUUUUCUUGUAGAUUCAUUAGAUUACAAUUUGCUUUCCGUUUCUCAAUUAUGCAAAAUGGGCUACAACUGUCUAUUUACUGAUGUAGGUGUCACUAUCUUUAGAAGAAGUGAUGCUUCAAUAGCAUUUAAGGGAGUGUUAGAGGGUCAGCUAUACUUAGUAAAUUUUGAUAGAGCUGAACUCGACACUUGCUUAAUUGCUAAGACUAACAUGGGUUGGCUCUGGCACCGCCGACUAGCCCAUGUUGAGAUGAAGAAUCUUCAUAAGCUUCUAAAGGGAGAGCACAUUUUAGGAUUAACAAAUGUUCAUUUUGAGAAAGACAUGAUUUGUAGCGCAUGCCAAGCAGGGAAACAAGUUGGGACUCAUCAUCCACACAAGAACAUCAUGACGACUGACAGGCCACUGGAGCUCCUACACAUGGAUCUAUUCGGUCCGAUAGCUUACAUAAGCAUCGGCGGGAGUAAGUACUGUCUAGUUAUUGUGGAUGAUUAUUCUCGCUUCACUUGGGUAUUCUUUUUGCAGGAAAAAUCUCAUACCCAAGAGACUUUAAAAGGAUUCUUGAGACGGGCUCAAAAUGAGUUCGGCUUAAGAAUCAAGAAAAUUAGAAGCGACAACGGGACGGAGUUCAAGAACUCACAAAUCGAAGGCUUCCUUGAGGAGGAGGGCAUCAAGCAUGAGUUCUCUUCUCCCUACACCCCACAACAAAAUGGUGUAGUGGAGAGGAAGAAUAGAACUCUAUUGGACAUGGCAAGAACCAUGCUUGAUGAGUACAAGACUUCGGAUCGGUUUUGGGCCGAGGCGGUCAACACCGCCUGCUAUGCCAUCAACCGGUUGUAUCUACACCGAAUCCUCAAGAAGACAUCAUACAAACUCCUAACCGGUAAAAAGCCCAAUAUUUCAUAUUUUAGAGUCUUUGGUAGCAAAUGUUUUAUUCUUGUUAAAAGAGGUAGAAAAUCUAAAUUUGCUCCUAAGACUGUAGAAGGCUUUUUACUAGGAUAUGAUUCAAACACAAGGGCAUAUAGAGUAUUUAACAAGUCCUCGGGACAAGUUAAAGUUUCUUGUGACGUUGUGUUUGAUGAGACUAACGGCUCUCAAGUAGAGCAAGUUGAUCUUGAUGAGAUAGGUGAUGAAGAGGCUCCAUGCAUCGCGCUAAGGAACAUGUCCAUUAGGGAUGUGUGUCCUAAGGAAUUCGAAGAGCCUCCAAAUGCACAAGAUCAACCAUCCUCCUCCACGCAAGCAUCUCCACUAACUCAAAAUGAGGAUGAAGCUCAAGUUGAUGAAGUAGAAGAUCAAGCAAAUGAGCCACCUCAAGAUGACGUCAAUGAUCAAGGGGGAGAUGCAAAUGAUCAAGACAAGGAGGAUGAAGAACCAACGCCGCCACACCCAAGAGUCCACCAAGCAAUCCAACAAGAUCACCCCGUCGACACCAUCCUCGGCGACAUUCAUAAGGGGGUAACCACUAGAUCUCGUGUUGCUCAUUUUUGUGAACAUUACUCUUUUGUUUCCUCUAUUGAGCCACAUAGGAUAGAGGAAGCACUUCAAGAUUCGGAUUGGGUGGUGGCGAUGCAAGAGGAGCUCAACAACUUCACUAGGAAUGAGGUAUGGCAUUUGGUUCCACGUCCUAAUCAAAAUGUUGUAGGAACCAAGUGGGUUUUCCGCAACAAGCAAGACGAGCAUGGUGUGGUGACAAGGAACAAAGCCCGACUUGUGGCCAAAGGAUACUCCCAAGUCGAAGGUUUGGAUUUCGGUGAAACCUAUGCACCCGUAGCUAGGCUUGAGUCAAUUCGUAUAUUAUUGGCCUAUGCUACUUACCAUGGCUUCAAGCUUUACCAAAUGGACGUGAAGAGUGCCUUCCUCAAUUGGCCAAUCAAGGAAGAGGUAUAUGUUGAGCAACCUCCCAGCUUUGAAGAUAGUGAGUACCCUAACCAUGUCUAUAAACUCUCUAAGGCACUUUAUGGGCUCAAGCAAGCCCCAAGAGCAUGGUAUGAAUGCCUUAGAGAUUUCCUCAUCACUAAUGGAUUCAAAGUCGGAAAGGCCGAUCCUACACUCUUUACCAAAACACUUGAAAAUGAUUUGUUUGUAUGCUAAAUUUAUGUUGAUGAUAUCAUAUUUGGGUCUACUAACGAAUCUACAUGUGAGGAAUUUAGUAGGAUCAUGACACAAAAAUUCGAGAUGUCUAUGAUGGGGGAGUUGAAGUAUUUCUUAGGAUUUCAAGUGAAGCAACUCCAAGAGGGCACCUUCCUAAGCCAAACGAAGUAUACUCAAGAUAUUCUAAGCAAGUUUGGGAUGAAGGAUGCCAAGCCCAUCAAGACACCCAUGGGAACCAAUGGGCAUCUCGACCUCGACACGGAAGGUAAAUCCGUAGAUCAAAAGGUAUACCGGUCGAUGAUUGGGUCUUUACUCUAUUUAUGUGCAUCUCGACUGGAUAUUAUGCUUUCCGUAUGCAUGUGUGCAAGAUUCCAAGCCGACUGAAAGGAUCACGAUGCCCAAGAGGGGGGUGAAUUGGGCUUUUAUAAAAAUCAACACUAAUUAAAACCUAAGCAAGAGCUAAACAAGAGCCCAACUUCACCCCAACAACUAGCACUAAGAAUGUAAUACUAGAAAUGUAACAAAGCUAAGAUAAUACUUCAAAUACUUGCUAAACAAAUACACAAUGUAAAGUGCUUGAAUUAAGUGUGGAAUGUAAAGCAAAGUUUAGAAGACUCCUCCAAUUUUUUCCGAGGUAUCGAAGAGUCGGCACUCUCCACUAGUCCUCGUUGGAGCACCCGCGCAAGGGUAUCGCUCCCCCUUGGUCCUCGCAAGAACCAAGUGCUCACUACGAGAUGAUCCUUUGCCACUCCGGCGCGGUGGAUCCCUCGAGACCGCUUACAAACUUGAGUCGGGUCACCAACAAGAUCUUCACGGUGAUCACCGAGCUCCCAACGCCACCAAGCCGUCUAGGUGAUGCCGAUCACCAAGAGUAACAAGCCGUAGACUUUCGCUUGACCAAGAGAAGCCUAAUGCAAGUGGUGUGUGCUCUAGGUGGCUCUCACUAGCGCUAAUGAGGAACAAGCGCGGAUUAUGAUUCUCUAAUCUCCUCACUAGGCUUUUGGUGCUUGCAAUGCUCUACCAAUGUGCUGGAAUAAAUGUGGAGUGCAAGACAUUGAAUAUGGUGGGUGGAGGGGGGUAUAAAUAGCCCUCACCCACCAACUAGCCGUUACAGGCAAUUUACUGCGCGAUGGCGCACCGGACAGUCCGGUGCGCCACCGGUGCGCCAACGGUGCGCCACCGGUGCGCCAACGGUCACUUCCAACGGCUAGUUCUGACAGAGAGCCGUUGGACUCAUGGCGCACCGGACAGUGAACAGUCCACUGUCCGGUGCACACCGGACAGUCCGGUGCGGUGUCCGGUGUGCCACUAAAAUUCAACUCUGAACACUGCGCUCUCGGGUUUCUGCGAAGGGAAAUCACUGCCGUGGACCAGCCUGGCCCCACCUGGCAGAGGGUGCACCGGACAGUCCGGUGCACACCGGACAGUCCGGUGCACACCGGACAGUCCGGUGCCCCUAAGCCAGAAACACUAAGACUUGUUUUUCAGCUGAUUUUCAAAUCGGUUUUCGCUCUAACUUGUGUGUGAGUUCUAGAGUGACACCUAGCACUGUAUAUGAGUGUGAUUGUGCACCAACACUACACUAGAACUCUCUUGGUCAAACUACUCAUCGACAACCCCUCUUUAUAGUACGGCUAAAAGAGAAUAAAAGACCUAACUAAAUCGCGAGUGUCCACAUCUCCUUGACACUCGGACUCCGUAGACCUUCACCUUUUGUUCCGUCGUUUUAGCCGUCGCUUCGAGUUCUUAUUUCCGGGAUUGUUUUCACCGUUGUAGUACUUCUACCUGUCAUGCGACCUAACUUACCAUUUGUCUCUGCAAAACACACGUUAGUCACAUAUAAUAUUACGUUGUCAUUAAUCACUAAAACCAACCAGGGGCCUAGAUGCUUUCAAUCUCCCCCUUUUUGGUGAUUGAUGACAACCCUACAAGUUUUGUGAGAGUAGUUUGUUUUGAAGAUUCUGUCAAUAGAAAGAAUGGUUAGUUAUACUCAGUAAUCUUUGACAGAAAGAAUGUGUACCAUAAUAAUAAGAGUGAGCGCAUACACAUCAUAAGAUUCUUGUUCAUAUAAAAGAGAAGGUAAAUUAAUGAAACAAGAGCUAGAAGACUGGUGAUAUGAUAUAAGGUGAAAACAUAAUACACACAGUCAAUCAUACGCAACGAGAGUAUAUGACGAGUUUGUGAGCCAAAAACAUCAAGCUAGUACAGAGAGUAGCAGGCACAUAUAUUACAUCAAAAUGACUCUGACUCUCUAACUCCCCCUAGCUCUCACAACUCAUAUCUCUCCCCCUUUGGCGUCAAACACCAAAAGGGACCUGAACCUAAACACCUGAAGCAGGAGGAGGCGGCGGGGGCGCAUCCGGUCGAGGUCGAGGUAGCAGAGCAAACGCCGACGGAGGGUCAGAGUCAGUCUCGGAUCCAGGAUCUGCGGUAGAAGCUAGAGCUGGUACUGACUCAGACUGAGGCCGAGCUGCAGGAGCUACCGGAGCAGAAGCGGUCACAGAUACUGCCACUGCGGUAGUGGGAACAGCAGAUGCUGGUGGCACUGGCGGCUGCGGAUAGACAGAGCUGAGAACCGGAGAGGUGAACGCCAAAGUGACCGGCCGGAGCAGAGAGGUACCAACAGGGGGUCCAGACAAAAUCGAAGGCACCACUGGAGCGUGAAGCGGAGGAGGCGGAGCAGACUGAACUGGAGGUGCUGAGAUACCAGAAUGCUGAAGCAUGAGAGCCAUGAAUGCCCUAUUCUCUGCCCUAUCCUGAAUGAGCUGCUGCUGAAGUGCAUCCUGCCUGUCCUGCAUGCUCUGAAACAUCGAGAGCAUCGUCUCGGAUAACCGGGCCUGCUCGGCUGCCAGGUUGGCCAGAAUCGCCGCAAGAGCAGGGUCCAAAGUCGGAGGAGGAGCAGAGGCAGCACGAGAACUCCCAGCCUCAUGAUCAUGUGAGCGUGGAGGCAUAGGAGGCAGAGGCGGAGGAGGAACCCCAAAAUCAUCAUCAUCAUCAUCAUCAUCAGCGGCUGUACCCUGAGUGUCAAACUGUCGAAGAGCUGCAUCCUCGACCUGAGUGUCAAACACAGAAGCAGAAGCUGGCACUGGAAUCUCAGGAGCAGGACGGUAAGAUCCAAAUACAAGGCGUGAGGCCUCAAGAGUGCUCUGAAAUCGAGGUGGCUGAAUCAGCUGCGCAAAGAUGUGGCACAAGUAGUGAGCAUAAGGUAGCUGCCGACGAGCACGAAUCCCAUCCAGAACGGUGUCCUCGAUCUCACAGAUCAGAAAGUCCACAACAUCAAACUCAGAGUGGGAUACCAGGGCACCAAGGAGCCAAAGCUGAAUAUGAGUGGUAGCCUCCCUGUAUCCCAUCCUCGGCAGGAGUGUCCGUCUGAUGAGCUCAUAUAAGUACUUCGCUGGUGUAGUAAAGUCUGCUGGAGAACGUUGCGACCCAUCUGUGAAAGGCGGGCGGAACAGAGCCGCGACGUGAGCUGUCCCUGGAGCCACACCGCCGUGAGGGCGACGAGGAGGGUCAAAAGAGCCGUAGCAGAGGCUGUGAAGGCGAGUCGUCGACUCUGGGAAUCCAAAGAGCUGACGGAUCUGACUGGCAGUGAUCGUGACAUCCUCUCGCUCAAAGCGGAACCUCAUCCAGUGAUGAUCCGGGUCAAUCCAAACGGAGGCGUAGAAGACGCGGACCCACUCCUCAACAUAUCUGCCGCUGAUAGUCAGAAGGGUCAGGAGGCCAGGCAGAUAGGUGAGAUGCGCCUCAGACUCAGCACCGGCUGCAAGCAGAAAAGCUGGAAGAUCCAAGAGGCGGUGCACUCGCAGCGCUAUCUGAGCAGACAUCUGAGCUCUGAAGAAUGACUCCUGAAUCCGUGUGCUGAAAAGAACACCAACUGCUGGGUCUCUCUGAGCUGGUAGCCAAGACUCCACGGGUACGUACCUGAACCGACGUACCCGUGCUGCAGUAGCACGCUGAAGAUCAAACAGACGAGGAUCCGAAACCAGAGGACGGACCUCAGUCUCAUCACGCUCCCGGAAUCGAGGUGGAGGAACAGGAGGAGCUGAAGCGGGAGCGGGAGCAGGGGUAGCAGUGGAAGCUGGUGUAGUGGUGGUAGUGGGUUUGGCUGUGGAGGUGGAUGGAGCAAUAGGAGUGACGGGAGCAGGCAGGGUGGGUGGCGGAGUGGAAGCAGAGGUGUGAGUGGAGGAGCGAGACCGGGAGGUGAGACGACGAGCACGGAAUGCAAUCUGAUCGGAUGGAACAUGCGGCUGAUCUCCAAGUGCGGCCUGCGCAGCGACUGCUGCAGCUGCUGCCGCUGCACGAGCCUCUCCGUCCGUACGCCGCUUCUUGCGGCCUUCCUGCUGCUCCAAAUAGACAGUCUUGCCCUUCACCUGCCUGAAGGGGCGACGAGGGUCCUCAUCAUCGCCACCCCCUGGCGUCGACGCAUUCUUCGUGCGCGGCAUCCUGAACUAAUGUCUGCAAAUGAGAUAGAGAGACUAAGCACAGAGCAAAAAUGACCGAUAGAUUUAGCAAAUAAUGAGAUGACUACCUGGAAAGCUCACACGAGAUGUGACGAUCCAGGCAGGACGGGAGACGGCACACGGUCAAACAAGGUCACUGAAAUGACAGAAGAGGUGAGCACGUAUUAGUCACAUAGUCAUAAGCAUGUGAAUAAAUACAUACACAGAGAGAUAUGGCACGAGACGGGACGAUCAAGAAGUCAAACGACGUGAAAACGGCGUUUGACAGACAAAUAGUGACAUAGGAUGAUUGGAAUUCGAAUUGAGGCACGAAACGAUAUGGGAUUGAGCCGAUACUUCACGAAUAGGUUUAUAUAGGUCAAUAUGAGUGAAGUGUGUGCUUGGUUUGAAUUUAGGCGAAGAAAUAGGGAUUUGGGCACUCGGCUCGGAAACGAUCGCGCAAAAUGGGAAUUUUGGUGAAAUUUAAGCCUGGGAUCUCGGAUUGGUGUGAAAUUUGGCAAGUAGGUUACUGGAAGUGUGGUGAAGGUGCCUGAAAAAUUUGGGUUCAAUUGGAGCGAGUUUGGCUGGUUUGGGCAUUUCAUCGAACACGUGAAGGGCGAGGAAUUAGGGUUUUAGGAAAAUGGCCUUUUGAGGUAUGAAAACCCUCCCGAAGGAGCUAGGAACCUGCAAGAAUGUUUGAGGCACACAUAGGAACACAAAUGGCCACAAGGUUUCACUGGUUUUCACAGAGAUUUGAAUUUUGCACAGAGGAGAGAAAAUAGAGCUCCACUGCCUUUCUGUCAGAGAACAAGAGAGAAAGGGAGAGGAGAGGGGAGAGCAGCUGACCGAGAGAGGGAGAGAAGAUGAGCGCAGGCACAGUGUCGCCGGAGAGUCGUCGCCGGUGAGGGGAGAUCGCCGGGAGGAAAGAAAUCGCCAAGAACAGAGAGCAGUUGGCGGCUUGCUGGGAAAUGAAAGAGGCCUCUGGCUCGGUCGGGCUGGGGGCCGUUUUUUAAAACGCGAGAUGGGCACACCGGACAGUCUACAGUGCCUGUCCGGUGCACACCGGACAGCGCACAGGAAAAUUUGAUUUUAGCGCGCGGCUGCCGGUGCACCGGACAUUGCACAGUGCAGUGUCCGGUGCACACCGGACUGUCCGGUGAGCCCAGACAGAGGAGAGUUUGGAAAAUUUUGAAUUUUUCUAUCUAACUCCCAACCAAACCAAAUCCCAACUUAUAAUCACACAAAAUAACACUUGUUGGGACAGGUAUUGGCACCCUCAUAUAUUUUUCAAAAUAUUUCGCCAUAGGCUAGAUAAUUUUUAGAGAAAAUAGGCAAAUGGUGAAUUUUGCAUUUUGGUUUGCACUAGGGGUUCUCGUGAGUGAUUUGAGUUUUGAAUACUCCCCCUAAGUGCAGUACCUCAUGCACAUUUCAAGAACCAAUAAUUGCAUAGAAAGUAAGAAUUUAAGUGCUAAAAGCUUAAAACUAAGACUUGUCAGGUUUGACCCGAGUUAAGCUUUUUCACUCGCUUUGUUGGCGGUUAUCUCAACUAGGUUAGACAAGCCCUAGAUGCAAUACAAGGAAUUUAAAUAUGCAAUGCAAGCUUGACAACACCAUUUGACAUUUCACAUAAAAUUUCUGAGAUUAAGAAUAUUUAGUUCAUUCCUCAACAUGCAAAAGCGGGUCUUAUCAAGUGGCUUAGUGAAAAUAUCCGCUAAUUGAUCUUCCGACCUCACUCCUUCUAAAAUGAUAUCUCCUUUAGCAACAUGAUCUCUAAGGAAGUGAUGACGGAUAUCAAUGUGCUUGGUGCGAGAGUGUUGUACAGGAUUAUUAGCAAUUUUAACAGCACUCUCAUUAUCACACAACAAAGGUACUUUUUCUAGAACUACGCCAUAGUCUAGAAGAGUUUGUUUCAUAUAUAAAAUCUAUGUGCAACAAGCACCUGCGGCAAUGUAUUCCGCUUCGGCAGUUGACAAGGCAACACUAUUUUGCUUUUUGGAUGUCCAUGAAACUAGUGAUCUACCAAGCAGAUGGCAUCCCCCAGAAGUACUUUUCCUAUCAAUUUUGCAACCGGCAUAAUCCGAAUCGGAAUAGCCAAUUAAAUCAAAAGUAGCUCCUUUGGGAUACCACAGACCAACGCUUGUGGUGUGCCUGAGAUACCUAAGAAUUCUCUUAACAGCGCGAAGGUGAGCUUUCUUAGGAUUAGAUUGAAAUCUAGCACACAUGCAGACACUAAACAUAAUAUCGGGCCUAGAUGCGGUAAGGUAUAAUAAACUACCAAUCAUAGAACGGUAGAGAGUUUGAUUAACCGGGUUACCUCCCUCAUCUAAGUCGAGAUGUCCAUUUGUAGGCAUGGGGGUCUUGAUUGGUUUGCACUUCUCCAUGUUGAACCUUUUCAACAAGUCUUUGGUAUACUUCUCUUGUGAGAGAAAGUUACCAUCUUUCAUUUGCUUGACUUGAAAGCCGAGGAAGUAUGUUAGCUCACCAAUCAUUGACAUCUCGAACUCCUUCGACAUCAACUCACCAAAUUCCUUGCAAUGAUAGUCAUUUGUCGAGCCAAAGAUUAUAUCAUCAACAUAUACUUGACAAAUAAAAAUAUCACUGUUAUGUUUCUUUGUGAAGAGAGUUGUGUCGACGGUCCCGAUUUUGAAGCCCUUUUCGAUGAGGAAGUCGCGAAGACGCUCAUACCAAGCCCUUGGAGCUUGCUUUAGCCCAUAAAGCGCCUUGGACAACCUGUAAGCAUGAUUAGGAUAUCUAGGGUCUUCAAAUCCAGGCGGUUGCUCAACAUAUACAAGUUCAUUUAUGAAGCCAUUUAAAAAUGCACUUUUUACAUCCAUUUGAUAAAGUUUUAUAUCAUAGCAUGAUGCAUAUGCAAGUAGGAUACGGAUGGCUUCCAGUCGAGCAACCGGUGCAAAGGUCUCUCCAAAAUCUAAGCCUUCAACUUGAGAGAAUCCCUUUGCGACAAGUCUUGCCUUGUUUCUUACAAUCACACCUUGAUCAUCUUGUUUGUUUCUGAACACCCACUUUGUUCCAAUGAUUCUUGCAUCUUGUGGGGGCUUCUCCAGGGUCCAAACUUCGUUACGGGUGAAGUUGUUAAGUUCUUCAUGCAUGGCAUUCACCCAGUCCGGAUCCUGUAGCGCCUCAUCUAUACAAGUAGGCUCAACACAAGACACAAAAGAGUGAUGUUCAAUAAAAUUAGCAUGUUUAUGUGAUCGAGUAAUAACCCCUUGUGAAGGACUCCCGAUGAUUUGGUUUUGAGGAUGAGCUUGAAGUAGUGAUGAGUUUCUCCUGUCAACCACUUGGGAAGAAGAUCCUGGAGCAUCAACAUCUUCGGCUUGUACCCUUGCUUGUUCAUGAGAGACAAAUGUAUCUUCAUUUGCAUGCCUCUCAUCUUUUUCAUCAUCUUGUGGUACAUUUGAUGAAGAAGGCCGGUCAAUGAUUUGCACCUCUUCUUCAUCUUCUUUUGGUUUGAUAGCUCCAAUAGGCAUGUUCUUCAUUGCUUCCCUAAGUGGCUCAUUACCUACAUCAUCAAGAUUUUCAAGUGCUCCUUGGGAGCCAUUAGUCUCAUCAAAUUCCACAUCAUAUGUUUCUUCUACCACGCCAGUGGCAUGGUUGAAUACUCGAUAUGCUUUGGACUUUAAUGAAUAACCCAAAAGAUAACCAAUAUCACAACGUCUUUGAAACUUCCCUAGAUGAUGGCGUUUUUUGUAGAUGUAGCAUUUGCACCCAAACACCCGGAAGAAAGAGACGUCUGGCUUUUUCCCAUUUAGCAGUUCAUAAGGAGUCUUCGCAAGUAGCCGGUGAGGAAAUAGCCUGUUUGAUGCAUAGCAAGCAGUGUUGACAGCUUCGGCCCAAAACCUCUCCGGUGUGUUAUACUCAUCAAUCAUUGUUCUUGCAAGGGUGAUCAAGGUCCUAUUUUUCCUUUCAACAACUCCAUUUUGUUGAGGUGUAUAUGUGGCAGAUACUUCAUGCUUGAUCCCAAUUUCAUCACAGUACUCAUGAAUGUUGGUGUUGUCAAAUUCUUUGCCAUUGUCACUUCUAAUCUUCUUAAUCUUGCAAUCAAAUUCAUUUUGUGCUUUCUUGGCAAACUUCUUGAAUAUAGAUGCAACUUCAGAUUUGUCAUGGAGAAAGAACACCCAAGUGUAUCUUGAGAAGUCAUCAACAAUCACUAGACAGUAGAGGUUGCCACCGGCACUGACAUAAUUUGUAGGUCCAAAUAAAUCCAUAUGAAGUAGUUCCAGUGGCCUUGAUGUUGACAUGAAAGCUUUAGUGGGAUGUGUAUUAGCAACCUGCUUUCCAGCUUGACAUGCACUGCAUGGCUUGUCUUUUUCAAAUACCACAUCCUUUAAUCCUCUAACCAUAUCUUUCUUUAAUACCUUCUUGAGUGUGCUCAUCCCAACAUGUGCAAGCCUCCUAUGCCAAAGCCAUCCAAGAGAAGCUUUGGUGAAGAGGCAAGUUCUUAAGUCUGCAUCUUCUGAAGUGAAAUCCACUAAGUAGAGGUUGUUGUAUCUAAAUCCCUUGAAUACCAUUGAUUCAUCAUCCAUUUUUGUUACAAUAACCUCUGAUGGAGUGAAUAAGCAUUGAAGUCCAAGAUCACAGAGUUGUCCCACUGAUAAUAAAUUGAAGCUCAAGGGUGCAACUAAAAGAACAUUUGAUAUUGAUAAAUCAUUUGAGAUUGCCACCUUGCCAAGUCCUUGCACUUUUCCUUUUGAGUUGUCUCCAAAUGUGAUUUUAUCUUGACCAUCAACAUUCUCAUCUAGUGAGGUGAACAUCCGUGGGUUGCCUGUCAUAUGUUGUGUGCAUCCACUGUCAAUAACCUAAUGGCUCCCACCGGUCUUGUAGUUCACCUACAUUCACAGACAAUUCAAGCUUGAGUUUUGAGGGCCCUAUAUUGCAUAGGACCAGUGACUCUCUCAAUUAAGGACUUUGCCACCCAGAUUUGUCUAGGUCUACUCUUAUUUGGUGGACCUAGGAAUGUAACCUUAAUCUUUCCAUUUGCAACCUUUCUUAGAACAUAGUGAGCAUUGAAAGCAAAUGGUCUUGAGUGCUUAGGCAAGGGAGUUGGUGGUUUAGCUUUGCAGUUGUGGGCAAAAUGACCUUCAUUUCCACACUCAAAGCAUUUGAUAGGCUUGUGAGUCUGCUUUGGCUUGUAUUGAGUGAUAGCUUUCUUUUGCACAAAAGCAUUGUAUCCAAUACCACUCUUGUUAUUUUUCAUAACAGUGUUCAUAAGCAGCUCAUUUUGGAGGUAUUGACCCUUGUUGAACUUUUGCACACUUGUUGCAAGAUGUUCAUUUUCACUUUUUAGUUUCUUGACCUCAUUCUUAAGCCUUUGAUUAUCCACUGCCAACUCAUUGUUGAAAUCAUUGUUCUCAAUAGCAACUUUUCCUCUAGUAGUUGCAUCAGUCAAGUAAUUCUUCAAUUUUUGGUUGUCUAAAGUCAGGACUUCAACUUUUUCAGUCAAUUCAGCAUGUAGACUAGUUUGCUCUUCUUGAAUCAAAUCAUCACAUGAGGUUGCUGUUGGGGACUUGUUCUCAAGUGCUAUGAGUUAAGAACAAGGCAACACAGAGAAUGUUAAACGAUAAAGUCCUUCGUCCUUUGAAGCAUUAUUUCCCUUAGGAUAUAACGAUCUUCGGACGAAGGUCAUGAAGAACGAACCUUCAUCAUCACAGUAUACAUUAAUGAAAGACGAAGCAUAUGAAACAUAAAAGAUAGCAUGAAUAAUCAUAUAACAUUAUCCAUUUAACUUUAUUAUAUCAUCAUAGAGAAAUAGAAACAAUAUCGAAUUAUAAAUGUACCUUCGGCUUGGAAGGAGAUGAAAAUACAAGUGUGACGCAAAAGCAAAUGCCAAGUCAACGUGAACAGUACGGGAGUACUGUUCAUCUAUUUAUAGACGUGGGACGCAGCCCAUGUAAAAUUACAUUCAUGUCCACUACAUUUGCUAAUGACUUAUGAGGAUCUGUCAAAGCCUAAGUAGUCUUUUCAUCUUUAAGUCGGUUCCCCUUUCUGCCACUAUGCCGAAGCUCCCCUGCGCAUAGCUUCGGCUAUGCACCAUCCCUCGUACGGCUUGAUGAUCAGCCCGUCCUUCAUCUCAAUCUUCCUUCGUCUAGCUUAAGCUUCGUCCUGAUCGUACUUCAUGUUCACAAUCUGGGUCCGAAGAUAUCUGUUCAUACAUUUCACUUGGAAGAUAUUGUCAAAUCAUGUUUUUGAGGACCUUCGGAGGACGAAGGCCCCUAACAGUAGCCCCUCGCAAUAUUAAUUUAUUAAUGAUAAAUUUAGAUUGCGAUAUGGACGAAGGCCUUAAGCCGAAGGUCCGAAAAAACACCUUCCCUUUGCUAGAAUAGCAACAUUCACUGACAAGUGGGUCUUUCAACUUUCAACGCACUGGGCGUAUAAAUAAGAUCAUACCACAAACUCAUUUUGGUACGCACACUUGCCAUCUGCCCCUGCUUACUCAAUUUUAUCUCUUGCGCGCAAAAAUUUACUGAGCUUUUAGUUUUGAAGCUUCGGCAUUGAAAACAGUUUUUAGCAUUUCCGAAGAUGUCUGAAGACAAAAAGGCCGGUCCUGAGAUGAAGCUGAGUCUCUCUGAAGAGAAGAACCUGGGGUUCCUUAUAGCGAUGGCGGAGACCAAUACGGAAAAAAUUACCAAGGAGAUACUGGAAGGCUUGUCUGAAGAUACUGGUGACAGCGACAGUUAUGAUGUAGAAAGCGGUGGGGAAGAGUCCGAAGAUCGGCCAUGGCGGCCAAGUCACGCGGUUUUCGGGAAAACCACCAUUAAGCAGAGUCAUAUUGAUAAUAUGAGGGGCCGAUAUUUUCAAGAUAUAUCUAUUGUGAGAGCAGAUGCUGGAGAAAAAACUUCUCCCACCCCCGAAGAAGAUGAAGUCGUAAUCUUCCGAAGCUUUCUCAAGGCUGGGCUUCGAUUCCCCCUGAGCAACUUUGUUGUUGAAGUUCUGAAAACAUUUCAAAUCUACCUUCAUCAAAUUACUCCUGAAGCUAUCAUAAGAAUGGGGAUGUUUGUCUGGGCUGCGAGAAGCCAAGGUUUAGAACCAAAUGCCAAAAGCUUUUGCAACAUUCAUGAGUUGUUAUAUGAGACGAAGCCCUGGGGGAAAGAACAAUAUCACAACAACUUUGGGUGUUACAGCUUCGUUGCCCGCUCCGGGUCAAGCUGCCCUGUGCCGACCUUUCGGAAGAGAUGGCCCGGAGCCUGGAUGACUGAAUGGUUCUAUGUAAAAAAUGACCUAACAACGCAAGAAGACGUCAAGAGUAUCAUUAUGCGCCCCAUCUGGCAACGUUUCGGACUUCGAAGGCCGAAGGUUGAAAUGAAUGAAGCAGCCGAGGAAUGCCAAAGAGCCUUCGGCGUAGUCUGCUCUUUUAUUGGGACAAGGGACUUGAUUCAAGAACAUAUUGCCUUCAGGGUGUGGCCACUUGCAGGAAAGUGGGAAAUGCCGAAGGAGACCAUCAAAGAGUCCGACGAAGGCGGACUGGUCAGACUAAAAUACACAUUCAAAUACGGGGAUAAAUUUGUUGAACCUGAUGACGACUGGUUGAAAAGCAUUGAAACAUUAAGUGACAAACUGCUUGGGGCAUAUUCGAAGGCCGAGAACACUGCAUUAUCAGCAGCCUUCGGAGGCCGAAAGAAGAAAAGACUCAACCGGGUAUUUGACGCAGUCGGGUUUGUCUACCCUGACUAUCACUAUCCGGUGUUGGGUCGCAAAAGAAAGAAUACUUCUUCUGCAACAGAAACUACCACAAGUGCCACUAAUGAGCCAGCGCCGCAAAGGAAAAAGAUGAAGGUGCUCACCCACCGAGCGCGCUUUAUUGAGCCGGCCACAAUGCCAGAAUUCAUUGGUGAAGUUUCCUUGGCCUCUGAAACUACAGAACCAGCUCCAGUGCCGAAGAUAGAAGAGAAAUCUGAAGCACCUUUAGCAGAGAAGGCGGAAAAAUCGAGAAUUGAAGGACAAAAAGUAUUGGAAAUCUUAAGUCCUUCAGCGAAUGCUGAAACAGGAAAAAUCCAAAAGGGCCCAUUGAUGACCCCAAAAAGAAAAAGAAUGGUGAACGUACUAGAUGUCUUGGAAACAAUUAUGUCUUCAAGCACAACUCCAAAGAAGACUGUCGAACUUGCUGAAGCGUCUACCGAAACUUCGAAGCAACAAGCUGAAGCUGAAGCUAAAGCUGAAGCUGGGCCUUCAGAGCCCACCAAGGAACAAUCUUUGGAAACCGAAAAAACAUCAGAACCAGUUUUGGUUGAGAAGAUUGACACUGCCGUCCCCGAAGCUCCUGCCAGCACAUGCGAUUAUAUCAUACGACAUGCUUCGGGGAAAAAAUUAUCUGAAGAAGAAACUUAUGAAGCCAAUCACUAUGCCAGAGAGUUAAAAUAUCCAAAGGGAGCAGUGGUGUUCAAUGGGACAAAUGAGGAUGACUUCCUAUACUGCCUCCCUGAUAACAAAGAAUUAUCUGUUUGCCGAGAGAUGGCUAGAAGUAUGGGGUUCCCGAAGCUCGAAGCUGGAUUAUGUGCUAUGACGAAGGAGGAUCUCGCGGACAGUCUUGCGUAUAACAGCCUAAAGGUAUGGGAAUUAGUCAUUUUGAAAAAAAAAUUUACAAUACAUAAUUCAUUCUUUUAUUCUUAUACCAAGUCUUUACAUAUAAUUCAUUCUUUUAUUCUUAUACCAAUUCUUUACAUAUAGGGCUUAAUCCUAAGCAACGCAUUAAGAGCACAAAAGAGUGCCGAAGAUGAGAGCUAUGAAAUUGCGUUCAACAACCUUCGGUCAGAAGUUAUUAAACUGAGAAACGAAGCUCUGGAAAAGGAUAAAAUUUUGCUUACAUUGGUAGACAAGGUUAAAAAGGACGAAGCUGCCUCAAAGAUCCAGGCCGAAGCCCAAAAACGUGAGAUUAAAGAUCUUCAGAAACAGCUAGCUAGAGCUAAAGAGGAACGUGUGCUUGAAGAAACAAAACGAGAGCUUAGUGAUCAGUUGGUAAAUCAUUUAGAGUUAAGUACUCAGGAGCUUCGUGCAUCCCAGAGGAAAUGCUAUGUUAAAUCUAUAGAAUGCGUCAAAAAGAUAAAAUCCAGCUUCGCCAGCGUUGGCGCAUUUUCUAGUGAAGAAAGUUUCUCCAGAGGCAAUCCCGAAGGUCCAUUGGAAUGGAUUAGUCAUGAAGCAGAAGCUUUCGAGGAAAUCCUGAGCAGCCGCGGUGAUAUCUGCGCAUUUUCGGGUGCCAGAGGAGUUGCUACUAUUCUAGAGAAGAAAGGUUGUGAUCAUAUUAAGCUGCUUGCGCAAUCCGAAGCCACUUUAUCCGCUGAAGAUAUUAAAGACCCCUCGACCGAAGCUAGCCAAGUUGGUGGAAAAUUUUUCACCGACGUCUGGGAUAAUGGUGGCCGAGAAAUGGCAGGAGAAAUUAUUCAAAGAAGUGAAAAGGGCAUUCACGAUGCUAGAGAAGUGGCUAAGGCUGCUGACAAGAGCGCAGAGCCCGAAGGUCAAUUAGGUAUUAAUUAAUAGUUUGUAUCGUGUUGUAAUUUUUAUUUCAAACUUUGUUCGCGGUUUGUAAUAGUAAUGCAAAAAUAUUCUCUUCCCUCAGAACCUGCUGGAUCGUUUGUUGACCUUCACACAAAAGGGGAUGACGAAAUUAAACAAAUGGCCGAAACUAUCGUGGAUAAAGUUGUUGAACAGCUUCUAAAUGAGACUGCCGAAAUAGUAUUAAGAGAAGACUAGGUGUUAUUAGGAAAAACAGUUGAAGUGUGAUUUAUGUAAUAUUUGGUACAUUUAAAUGUAAUAUACAGGUCUCUGUUCAUUAUUCAAUUCUUUACGAUGCAUGAAACUUUACAUACGUACCGCUUUUGAGCCUUCGGCGAAAAAACACCUUCCCUUCUUUUCAUGCUUCGUGAAGAAAAAUUUUUAUGUAUCACAACAAUGUCCAUAGUGCUCAGAUGAAGAAUAUCCAAGCUUCGUGAAAACAUUCUCCGAAGCUAUACUCCGAAGAUGAAGAUUGUGUCUCCUUGUGACUUAACACGAUUUUCACUCUUUCAAAGCAUACUUCCGAAGAUCAAUAUUGUGUCCCCUUCUUGUGCCAUAUGCAACAUGAUGUAUGAUGCUUAUGCUAUGCAAAAUGAUGUGAUGAUGUUAUGUUACGUAGAUGACAUUUGUUCCGAAAGAUACACACAUAUCCCCACACAAUAUUUUUGUAUCAGCGCUGAUUCUUCGCUGUAAGCUCUGCAUUCCCUUAGGAACGUCUUUGGAGCUUCUUCGCCUUUUACUUAGGCGGUAUAAGCUCUGCAUUCCCUUAGGAACGUCUUUGGAGCUUCUUCGCCUUUUACUUAGGCGGUAUCAGCGUUGACUUUUCGUUGUAUGCUCUGCAUUCCCUUAGGAACGUCUUUGGAGCAAAAACUUACACUGCGCUCCCUUUGGAACGGCUUUUUGUAACUUCAGCAACUUACUCUGCGUUCCUUAGAACGACUUUUUGUUACUUCGAAGGAUUUUUAAUAAUUCGAAGGUCCUCCGCAAACUUUCAAGCUUCAGCAACUUAAGCCUUCGGAGAAAAUAGAUUUCCCUUAUGACCAACCACAAAACCAUUACAUGAAAAUCGAAAUGUUCUUUAUUAUACAGAAAAUAAAACUAAAUGGAAAAGACUGCUAUCAAGGUAGGAUACUUGUCAAUAAAUGUGCUUUGACUCCGGCACGGUGCUGUUGACUGUACGAGCUUCGGACUGCUCUCUGAAGUCCCUUUGGUGUGGAGCAUAUUGGCUCCCUUCUGGCUGUUGGCCUUGUUGCAGCGGUGGUGGAGGUAGAGGUUGUUGCCAGGAAGCUUGAGGUUGACUUGCCGAAGCAACAAAAAUUGCAGGGUGGUUACCUACGUAUUCUGGGAUGUAAGGCACAUGGCACGAAGCAGUAUGCAUGACCUGCUUCGGCUGAGCUUGUUGUGCUGCAGCUUCGGCUAUCUCCUUUUGCUUUUGGAUGGUAACAUGGCACAUUCUGGUGGUAUGGCCCUUGUUUUCACCGCAAAACAAGCAAAAUAUUCUCCUUGGUUGAUCUCCAAAUCUUCCGCCAAAGCCCCUGGCGCCUCUUCCUCUUGGAGCUGGUGGCCGGAAGAAGCUUUGUUGUUGCCCCGAAGCCUGUGAGGAGGGCUGCGGCCUGUGCUGCUGAUUCCCCUUAUCAUCAUUUUGAGUAGAGUUAUGGAUGGACCUGACAUGCCUCGGAUAGAAUCUUCCUCCGAAGCCCCUGGUCAACUCAGAAAAUCUGAAAGCCUCCUCCCUUCUUUGGCGAAAAUCAUUGUCGGCACGAAUGUACUCGUCCAUCUUUUGGAACAGCUUCUCCAGAGUCUGAGGGGGCUUCCUAGCAAAAUAUUGAGCUGCAGGUCCAGGACGAAGCCCCUUGAUCAUGGCCUCGAUGACAAUUUCAUUGGGCACCGUUGGUGCCUGCGCCCUCAAACGCAAGAACCUUCUGACAUACGCCUGAAGGUAUUCUUCAUGAUCCUGAGUGCACUGGAACAAGGCUUGAGCAGUGACCGGCUUCGUCUGAAACCCUUGAAAGCUGGUUAACAACAUAUCCUUCAGCUUCUGCCAUGAAGUGAUUGUUCCUGGUCGAAGAGAGGAAUACCAGGUCUGAGCAACACUCCUGACAGCCAUAACAAAAGAUUUUGCCAUGACUGCAGCAUUGCCACCAUACGAAGACACUGUUGCUUCGUAGCUCAUCAAGAACUGCUUCGGGUCUGAAUGGCCGUCAAAGAUGGGAAGUUGGGGUGGCUUAUAGGACGGGGGCCAGGGUGUAGCCUGCAGUUCGGCGGACAGAGGAGAAGCAUCAUCGAAAACAAAAUUUCCCUGAUGGAAAUUGUCAUACCAGUCAUCUUCGUUGACGAAGCCCUCCUGAUGAAGGUCUUUCUGCUGAGGCCUUCGGUUCUGCUCAUCGUGAGAAAGAUGGCGAACUUCCUCAGAGGCUUCGUCUAUCUGCCUUUGCAACUCAGCUAGUCGGGCCAUCUUCUCCUUCUUCCUCUGCACCUGUUGAUGUAGCAUCUCCAUAUCCCUGAUUUCUUGGUCUAGCUCAUCCUCCUGAAGCGUCGGGCUGACGGCCUUCCUCUUCUGGCUUCGGGCCUCCCGAAGAGAGACAGUUUCCUGGUUAGGGUCCAGCGGUUGCAGAGCUGCAGCCCCAGUCGCUGAAGCUUUCUUCGGUGCCAUAGCGAGGGUCUAUGGCUUCCGAAGGUGUUCAAAAAACUCGAAAUUGAAGUGAGUUCACCGGCGGUGGGCGCCAAUGUUGGGGACUUGUUCUCAAGUGCUAUGAGUUAAGAACAAGGCAACACAGAGAAUGUUAAACGAUAAAGUCCUUCGUCCUUUGAAGCAUUAUUUCCCUUAGGAUAUAACGAUCUUCGGACGAAGGUCAUGAAGAACGAACCUUCAUCAUCACAGUAUACAUUAAUGAAAGACGAAGCAUAUGAAACAUAAAAGAUAGCAUGAAUAAUCAUAUAACAUUAUCCAUUUAACUUUAUUAUAUCAUCAUAGAGAAAUAGAAACAAUAUCGAAUUAUAAAUGUACCUUCGGCUUGGAAGGAGAUGAAAAUACAAGUGUGACGCAAAAGCAAAUGCCAAGUCAACGUGAACAGUACGGGAGUACUGUUCAUCUAUUUAUAGACGUGGGACGCAGCCCAUGUAAAAUUACAUUCAUGUCCACUACAUUUGCUAAUGACUUAUGAGGAUCUGUCAAAGCCUAAGUAGUCUUUUCAUCUUUAAGUCGGUUCCCCUUUCUGCCACUAUGCCGAAGCUCCCCUGCGCAUAGCUUCGGCUAUGCACCAUCCCUCGUACGGCUUGAUGAUCAGCCCGUCCUUCAUCUCAAUCUUCCUUCGUCUAGCUUAAGCUUCGUCCUGAUCGUACUUCAUGUUCACAAUCUGGGUCCGAAGAUAUCUGUUCAUACAUUUCACUUGGAAGAUAUUGUCAAAUCAUGUUUUUGAGGACCUUCGGAGGACGAAGGCCCCCAACAGUUGCUACAUCAAGCUUAACAACAGGGUUAAUAGCCUCAUGUGUUUUGCAAGAUAAAAGUUCAUUUUCAACAAGAAGAUUGUCAUGAUCAAAUUUAAUUUGAGUAUAGUCUUCCUUGAUCUUUACUAGUCUAUUUUGCAACUCCCUAUUAGCUUCAUUUAAUUUGUCAUAUUUUUCCUUAGCAUCUUUUAGGGAGUUUGUGAGCUCAUUUACAGUUGAUGACAUAGUUUUAUUUUCUUCUUUUAUUUCAUCACUAGCCUUUAUAACUAUGUCAUAUUUGGCAUUUAAAGAUUCAUUUUCAUUUUUCAACCUAUCACUUUUAGCUUUUGACUUUCUAAUGAUUUGAGUAUAUUCUUUAAGUAAGUCAUCUAACUCAUCAUAUGAAGGUGAAGCAAAUUCUUCAUCACUAUCACUAUCACUAUCAUCAUCAAUAUUAAUAUCAUUUUGUACCUUCCGUUCACCCCUAGCCAUGAGGCAUAGGUGAGAAGUGGAUGAUGGCGAUGGUGGUGGUGAAGAGAAGUCCCCGGCGAUGGCAGCAACUUUUUCAUCAUUCUCUUCUUCACUUGAAGAAGACCCACUUGAUGAUUCGAUGUCGGUUAGCCAGUCGCCAACAAUAUAUGCCUUUCCAUUCUUCUUCUUGUGAAACCUCUUUUGCUUUCCAUCCUUCCUCUUGAAGAAUUUCUUUUCCUUCUUUUCAUCAUCGCUGUCAUCUUCUUUCUUGCCCUUGAACUUGUUCUUCUUGGGCUUGUUGCAUUGAUGAGCAAGAUGACCAAGCUCACCACAGUUGUAGCAGUCCAUCUCAGAAAUGGGCUUUCUUUUGUUGGAAAAGAACUUCUUCUUUCUUGAAUCAAAUUUGAUGCCCUCUCUAUUUAGCUUCUUCAACAUCUUGGUGGUCUUCCUUACCAUCAAGGCAAUGUUUGCAUCAAGGUCAUCAUCACUUGAGGAUUCUUCCUCAACUUGUAUUUUUGCUUUUCCUUUUCUUUCAUGAUUUGCUUUGAGAGCCAAAUCUUUUCUUUUGGAAGAUGAUUCUUCUUUGUCGUUGAUGUGCAUGUACAUUUCAUGGGCAUUGAUCUUUCCCAAAAUUUGUGUGGGUGUGGUAACUGAAAGAUCCAUUUGAUGUAGCACAGUGACAAUGUGUCCAUAUUUGUCUAUUGGGAGGACACUGAGAAUCUUCCUCACAACAUCCGGUUGUGAGAUUUGAGUAAGCCCCAAUCCAUUGACUUCUUCUACAAGAAUAUUAAGUCGUGAGUACAUAGCAUUUGCAUUUUCAUUCGUAAGCAUUUCAAAAGAAUUUAACUUUCGCAUGGCUAUGUGAUAUCUUUCCUCACGUUCACUUCUAGUUCCUUCAUGUAGAGCACAAAUGUCCAUCCACAAAUCAUGAGCAUUUUUAUGAUUCCUUACUCUAUUGAACACAUCUUUGCAAAGGCCUCUAAAAAGGGUGUUUUUGGCCUUAGCAUUCCAUUUCUCAUAAUUGUACUCAUCACCUACAAGAUUUGUGGGAUCUCUAGGUUCGGGGAACCCUUGUGUGGCGGCUUUAUAGACACCAAUGUCUAUAGCCUCUAAGUAUGCUUCCAUACGAAUUUUCCAAUAAGGAAAAUCGUCACCAUCAAAAACGGGAGGAGGACCAUCCCCACCGGACAUCGCAACUCUAGCGGUUAAGCUAAUCUAUGAGCAACAAGGCUUUGAUACCAAUUGAAAGGAUCACGAUGCCCAAGAGGGGGGGUGAAUUGGGCUUUUCUAAAAAUCAACACUAAUUAAAACCUAAGCAAGAGCUAAACAAGAGCCCAACUUCACCCCAACAACUAGCACUAAGAAUGUAAUACUAGAAAUGUAACAAAGCUAAGAUAAUACUUCAAAUACUUGCUAAACAAAUAAACAAUGUAAAGUGCUUGAAUUAAGUGCGGAAUGUAAAGCAAAGUUUAGAAGACUCCUCCAAUUUUUCCUGAGGUAUCGAAGAGUCGGCACUCUCCACUAGUCCUCGUUGGAGCACCCGCGCAAGGGUAUCGCUCCCCCUUGGUCCUCGCAAGAACCAAGUGCUCACUACGAGAUGAUCCUUUGCCACUCCGGCGCGGUGGAUCCCUCGAUACCGCUUACAAACUUGAGUCGGGUCACCAACAAGAUCUUCACGGUGAUCACCGAGCUCCCAACGCCACCAAGCCGUCUAGGUGAUGCCGAUCACCAAGAGUAACAAGCCGUAGACUUUCGCUUGACCAAGAGAAGCCUAAUGCAAGUGGUGUGUGCUCUAGGUGGCUCUCACUAGCGCUAAUGAGGAACAAGCGCGGAUUAUGAUUCUCUAAUCUCCUCACUAGGCUUUUGGUGCUUGCAAUGCUCUACCAAUGUGCUGGAAUAAAUGUGGAGUGCAAGACAUUGAAUAUGGUGGGUGGAGGGGGGUAUAAAUAGCCCUCACCCACCAACUAGCCGUUACAGGCAAUUUACUGCGCGAUGGCGCACCGGACAGUCCGGUGCGCCACCGGUGCGCCAACGGUGCGCCACCGGUGCGCCAACGGUCACUUCCAACGGCUAGUUCUGACAGAGAGCCGUUGGACUCAUGGCGCACCGGACAGUGAACAGUCCACUGUCCGGUGCACACCGGACAGUCCGGUGCGGUGUCCGGUGUGCCACUAAAAUUCAACUCUGAACACUGCGCUCUCGGGUUUCUGCGAAGGGAAAUCACUGCCGUGGACCAGCCUGGCCCCACCUGGCAGAGGGUGCACCGGACAGUCCGGUGCACACCGGACAGUCCGGUGCCCCUAAGCCAGAAACACUAAGACUUGUUUUUCAGCUGAUUUUCAAAUCGGUUUUCGCUCUAACUUGUGUGUGAGUUCUAGAGUGACACCUAGCACUGUAUAUGAGUGUGAUUGUGCACCAACACUACACUAGAACUCUCUUGGUCAAACUACUCAUCGACAACCCCUCUUUAUAGUACGGCUAAAAGAGAAUAAAAGACCUAACUAAAUCGCGAGUGUCCACAUCUCCUUGACACUCGGACUCCGUAGACCUUCACCUUUUGUUCCAUCGUUUUAGCCGUCGCUUCGAGUUCUUAUUUCCGGGAUUGUUUUCACCGUUGUAGUACUUCUACCUGUCAUGCGACCUAACUUACCAUUUGUCUCUGCAAAACACACGUUAGUCACAUAUAAUAUUACGUUGUCAUUAAUCACUAAAACCAUCCAGGGGCCUAGAAGCUUUCACCGACCCUAAGGAAGCUCACCUUACGGCCGUAAAACGAAUCUUGAGAUAUUUAGUUUAUACUCCUAAGUUUGGGCUUUGGUAUCCUAGGGGAUCCACAUUUGAUUUAAUUGGUUAUUCGGAUGUCGAUUGGGCAGGGUGUAAGAUUAAUAGAAAGAGCACAUCGGGGACUUACCAGUUCUUGGGAAGAUCCUUGGUGUCUUGGGCUUCAAAGAAGCAAAAUUCCGUAGCUCUUUCUACCGCCGAAGCCGAGUACAUUGCCGCAGGCCACUGUUGCGCGCAACUACUUUGGAUGAGGCAAACCCUUAGGGACUAUGGUUACAAAUUAACCAAAGUUCCUCUUCUACGUGAUAAUGAGAGUGCAAUCCGCAUGGCGGAUAAUCCUGUUGAGCAUAGCCGCACUAAGCACAUAGCCAUUCGGUAUCACUUUCUAAGGGAUCACCAACAAAAGGGAGAUAUUGAGAUUGCAUAUAUUAACACUAAGGAUCAAUUAGCCGAUAUCUUUACCAAGCCUCUUGAUGAACAAACCUUUAACAAACUUAGGCAUGAGUUAAAUAUUCUUGAUUCUAGGAACUUCUUUUGUUGAUUUGCACACAUAGUACAUUCAUAUACCUUUGAUCAUGUCUCUUUUAUAUAUGCUAUGACUAAUGUGUUUUCAAGUGAAUUUCAAACCAAGUCAUAGGUGUAUUAAAAGGAAAUUGGAGUCUUCGGCGAAGACAAAGGCUUCCACUCCACUCCAUAACUCAUCCUUCGCCGUUGCUCCGAGCAACUCUCCGGCUUUGGUAUAAUCUUCACUCAUAUGUUUUAUUUGCCAAAGGGGAGAAAAGUAGUUCAAAGGGCUUAUAUCUCACUCAAGUAUUCGUUUUUGGCGAUUCAUGCCAAAGGGGGAGAAAGUAUUAGCCCAAAGCAAAAAGACCGCACCACCACCCUAAUUUUAAAAACUAAUGAUUUUCAAUUAGGCAAUUUCAAAUUGGUAUCUUAUUGUGUUUAAAAGGGGAAGAAGUUAGUAUUUUCAAAAGUGAUAUCUUAAAACCCUCUUGAACACUAAGAGAAGAAUUUAUUGAGGGGGAGUUUUGUUUAGUCAAAGGAAAAGCAUUUGAAACAGGGGGAGAAAAUUUCAAAUCUUGAAAAUGCUUCGCGAAAUCUUAUUCAUUUAUCUUUGACUAUUUGCAAAAAGAACUUUGAAAAGAAUUUACAAAAGAAUUUGCAAAACAAAACUUGUGGUGCAAGCGUGGUCCAAAAUGUUAAAAAUGAAGAAACAAUCCAUGCGUAUCUUAAAAGUAUUUAUAUUGGCUCAAUUCCAAGCAACCUUUGCACUUACAUUUUGCAAACUAGUUCAAUUAUACACUUCUAUACUUGCUUUGGUUUGUGUUGGCAUCAAUCACCAAAAAGGGGGAGAUUGAAAGGGAAUUAGGCUUACACCUAUUUCCUAAUUGAUUUUGGUGGUUGAAUUGCCCAACACAAAUAAUUGGACUAACUAGUUUGCUCUAGUCUAUAAGUUAUACAGUUGCCAAAGGUUCACACUUAGCCAAUAAAAAGAACAAGAAAUGGGUUCAACCAAAAGAGCAAGGGAUAACCGAAGGCUGCCCUGGUCUGGCGCACCGGACUGUCCGGUGUGCCACCGGACAGUGUCCGGUGCACCAGGGAACUCGACGCCCAACUUCGCAUCUUCGGGAUUUUUCAGAGGCGCUUCGCUAUAAUUCCACUCCGCUAUAAUUCCAGAGGAGAGCGACUCUGAACUCGCCAGCUUCGGAUUUCCGCUCCGCUAUAAUUCACCGGGCAUGUCCGGUGCACACCGGACUGUCCGGUGAGCCAGCGAAGCAACGGCUACUUCGCGCCAACGGUCGACUGUAGGCGCAUUGAAUGCGCGCCAGCGCACGCAGAAGUCAGAGCACACGCGGGAGGCACACCGGACAGUCUACAGGACUUGUCUGGUGCACCACCGGACAGCCAGGCGGGCCCCCACGUCAGAGCUCCAACGGUCGGAACCCAACGACCUGGUGACGUGGCUGGCGCACCGGACAGUGUCCGGUGGCGCACCGGACUGUCCGGUGUGCCAUGCGACAGCAGCCUCCACCAAACGGCUAGUUUGGUGGUUGGGGCUAUAAAUACCCCAACCACCCCCACAUUCAAGUCAUCCAAGUUUUCCAACUUCCAACCACUUACAAGAGCUCUAGCAUUCAAUUCUAGACACACCCAAGUGAUCAAAUCCUCUCCCAAUUUCACAAAAGCUUUAGUGUUAAGUGAGAGAGAUUUGUUGUGUUCUUUUGAGCUCUUGUGCUUGGAUUGCUUUCUUUCUCAUUCUUUCUUGAGAUCAAACUCACUUGUAAUUGAGGCAAGAGACACCAAUCGUGUGGUGAUCCUUGUGGGAACUUUGUGUUCCAAGUGAUUGAGAAGAAAAGCUCACUCGGUCCAAGGGACCGUUUGAGAGAGGGAAAGGGUUAAAAGAGACCCGGUCUUUGUGACCACCUCAACGGGGAGUAGGUUUGCGAGAACCGAACCUCGGUAAACAAAUCCGCGUGUCACACUCUUUAUUCGCUUGCGAUUUGUUUUGCACCCUCUCUCGCGGACUCGAUUAUAUUUCUAACGCUAACCCGGCUUGUAGUUGUGAUUAAUUUUGUAAAUUUCAGUUUUGCCCUAUUCACCCCCCUCUAGGCGACUUUCAAUGAUAACCUUAGGCGUCACCCCCAUCCUAAAGGCAUCACUAAAGAAUUAGUUGUGGCUCAUCAUUUGCUCCCCUUGACCCCCUUAGUUGUUGGAUCCUGCUUGUCCCAUGCGUGGUCACCACCCUUUUAUAAUUCCUACAAUGUUGUUGGCUCAUUGUGGAGUUUCUCGUUGUAUCUGUGUGUGCCCAUGUUCUUCGUUGCAGUGGUAUGUCUUGUAGUGCUUGACAUUGUCGAUCGUCGUUAUUUAGCUUUUUAUAGUAUAUGCUUUUGCCAUUAUUGUUUUCUCCCAUGGCAAAUGCUUGGCCAUUAUUGAAUUCUCUGGUGGAUGCUUUGUCACAGUUAUCACUGGUCUCCUCUCUAGCAAAUGUUUUGUUGCAAGGAAUACGAUGUUUGUUCCUGUUUGUGGAUGCUUUGUCACAGAUGUCACCUUCACUUAUUCACGAUGGAUGCUUGGUAGUUAUUAGAUUCUUUGAUGGACGCUUUGCCAUUGUUGUCUCUUUGGUCCCCUCUCUAGUAGAUGCUUUGCUACCAAGAGUGUGUUGACCCUCUACUUAGCGGAUACAUGGCCCGCGUCGUCACUUGGCCUUUGUUGGCGGAUGCUUUGCCACCCAUUCUGUUGAAUGUUGGUCUGUUUUCUUUGGUUGGAUGCUUUGCCACCAUGUUAUUGUUCAAUUUAUAGGAAACCAUUGUGUUGAUAUAAGAGGUUCUUUGUCGCUCUUUCUUCUUCUUUUUUCAUUUUCUUUGAGUUCACUCACCACUAGCUUAGUGAUUUGUAAUCUAUGCUAUAAGAGCUCCUUUGUUGCUAUGCCGUAUAAUUCUCUUCCUUUUAGUAAAACAUAAGCAUAUUUCUGACAAAAAAAGAAUUCAUUUGAUUUUUAGAUUCAAAUUUUGGGGAUGUUACGCAUAACCAUGAUCAUCUUGUCGUUGUCGAUAACAUCCUUCGUUGACAUGCAUCAUGUGCCGAGGCAAGAAGACACUAUUUCUAUCGAUCCAUUCACGUACCACCAUUCUUCAUAAUAAAACUGUGUAUAAGUCCUGGUGUAAUCGGAUCGGAUACAGAUGAAUAUUAUUUGUACCAUAUUUGUUUUCAUAUUUUCUUUUUUGGAUCCGGACAACAUCGAGUUGUGUCGGAUAAGAUUUAAAUGACAUCUUAAAAGUCCAAUCUUAAGUAUACAAAUACGAAUAUAAAUCGAAUACUGAAUACCUAGACUAGAAUAUGGAUCUGAUGUCAUCCCUUUUAGGUAGAUCGAAUUCGAAUACAGACGUAUAAUAUUCGUAUCAUCUACAUCCCUAUAAGUGAGGUUUUAACAUUGGUUGGCUCUACAUUCACACACACCUAACCAAUAAAACACAUAUAUUUUUGUGUUUCAUUAAAAUUAAAGUCUACUCAUAUGAUAUAUAGAAACUACAUCAAUGUUCACUGUGACUAGUGAAUUCAUUAAAUACGUAUUAGUAGCACAGAAAGUCCACUGAAAGUUUCGACACAAAGUCAACAGAUAACUUAGUGACAUAAAUCCCUUAGCCGUCCAAAGAGCUGGCUUUUUUAUUCGAAGUUCAAUUUCAGUGAAAACACAAAAAAAUCAAAGAAAAAUAUUGAUCACACUUCACACGCGUUGCCCAUGCGUUGGUCUCUCGACGACUCGACGCGUAUAAGAAUCCUCAUGGCAUACUCAUCUGAGAGUAGCCUUAGACACUCCCAGUGGUGGUCGCAAAGCAAUACAUGAUCGCCUGCAGCUGGGAUGCAUAAGUAUACAGGUUGCAUGCAGUGAUACAUAUAUACCUAUUGAUUGAUGUGUGUAGACUGUAGGGUAUGUGGACGUGUUCCUCGAUCGAGCUAGCUUCAGUUGAACUUGAUGGGGUAGACGCGCUGCAUGUUGGGGUAGAAGAGCCCCCAGUUCUGCUCCACGCCGCUCUGCUUGAGGUUCUCGUUGAACAUGGAGAAGAGGAUGGUCUCGAUGGCGCCCGGGUGGCGCGGCGUUCCCCGGCCGACGUGG
rnacentral:lncRNA from 1 species